rnacentral:lncRNA from 1 species
AUACGAGCAAGAUUGGUUGCUUUCUCUUUGUUUAUGAUUUCUUCUACUUCUUCUGAACGUGAAAUCCUUAGCCGAGUAAGAUUUGGAGAAAGCAAUAGCCAAGUCAGAUCCUUAAUGCCAUGACAGCUAUAAAUUGUCACGACGGAGAGGUUGGUAAAGCAUGGACUUGUUGGAUUGUGUAAAUGAGAUGAGUCGGUCUUGCUUCCUCUGCAUUUAAUAUAUGUAUCAAUCGCCGACACAUGACUACCAUCCACAUGGAGCACACUAAGAUUCUCCAUACUCAACAGCGAUGACAUAUUGAAUGGCUUUUCUUUAAAACCUCGAAUACCCAGAGAAUUGAUGCAGUUAGCCAACCUUGGAUCGCCUAAUAUAUGCUUCAAACCCAACUCGGUAGAGAUCGUUAUCUCUAGAACUUGUAGAUGCUCCAAGGGCUGCAGCUCCUCCAACAUGCUAACAUCUCCAUCAACUUUAGAAAAUCUUAGUUUCAAAAUUCUUAAACUCGACAGCUUUGAUAUCCCACUGAUACUACGAAGACUGUAUGUAUAACUCAAAUCCAGAUGAAUUAGCUUUUUCAACUCUUGGAAACCAACUGGCAGUUGCUUUAUACUUGUGCCCCACAAGUUAAGAUACUGCAAGGAGGCCAGCUUCGAUAUCUGCUUAGGAAGUUUUUCGAAAGCGAGAUUAAGUGAUAGAUCCAAAACAACUAGCUUUUGCAUAGAGCCGAUGAAUUCACCUGAGAGAUUCUUCAACUUAUUCUUCUGGAGGAGCAGAGUUGUAAGUUCAGAACACUUGGAACUGCAUUUUAUCUCUUUAACCUCAUUCCUCAUUAAAGACAUCCUUCUCACAGCUCUCCAAUUCUUGACUUUUGGCGUUUCGUGUAAUCCGACUCCUGCUUGAACAAAAAAAGACUCAGAUGCAAUCCAUAGAGCCAUUUCGCGAACCACGUCAUGCAUCACAACAAGACCUAUCCUAUCAGGCUGUUCUGUCAGUAAAUUUGAGCGGAUAAGGGUACCAAGUACCUCAUAACCCUUAUUCACUGCCCUUUUAUAAGAUUGGUGUUCCCCGAUGAAUCCCUCGCACAUCCAAUAUUUUAUCAAAUCUCCUUUAUCUAUCUCAUAAUCUUCCGGAAACAGAGCACAAUAGAGGAAACACGACUUGAUAUGUUCACCCGCCAAGCUAUCAUAGCUAUACUUCAGAAUCGGAAGAAUUUUGUUUUCCAUGUCAAAAAACUCUGCAGCUGAUCUGGACAAAACAUCGACUGCAAGCUCCCAUUCUUGUACCGUAGUUUGAGAUGACAUUGUCUCACCAAUGACAACAAGCGCUAGUGGCAGACCACAACAUUCUUUAGCGACCUUUUUGGCAAGCUCGACAAUGGCAGGAUCUCUACUUAAUGUAUUGUCUCCUACUUUGCUUUUGAACAAUUUCCAUGCUUCUUCUUGUCCCAAACAGUCGACUUUCAUCGGCUCAUGAUCUCCCAUCCGCCCACAUACUUCCCGAGAACGAGUGGUGAAUGCUACUUUGCAUCCAUUUUCUCUGGUGGGAAACGGAACUCCAAUGGCUUCUAAAUCCAAUUUCUCCCAUAUAUCAUCUAACAUCAGGACAAAUCUCUUCCCUUUUAAAACUCUGUGUAUAUUGAUUGCCUUGUCACUUUCACUUUUGUUCUUCCACUCGCCGUCGCAAAGGUGUAGGUUUUUUGCAAUAUCAUCUUGAAGCUUUGAAAUAGUUGCACCUUGAGACACCACAACCCAGAUCACAACAUCAAAUCUACCUAUUUCAGUGAACUUAUUGUGGAUUUUCUUGAAAAGGGUAGUCUUGCCUACACCACCCAUACCGUGCAAACCCAUGAUUCCAACUCCAUCUUCCAUAAGGCGCUUCCAUGCCUUUUCCAGCAUUGUUUCCUGACCAAUCGUAGGCCCAGUAGGCCUUUCUUCUACUGCAGAUCUCAAAACCGGCUCAGUAACCUCUUUAAAAUUACCCUCCGAUUUGAGUUUCUUAACCUCUUUCAGCAACAAGAAUACCUUUUUCCCAUAUUUGUAGCUGGAACAUACACUUUUUGAAGAUAAACCACAGAGACAUAACUUCUUAAGCUCAACAGGACUAGUACUAAGCAGAUUAUUGAAUCGUGUAUCGAUGCUCUCGACACGUGUUAGCCAUACCUUGACAGCUUCAAGCCUUUGUUGAUGUUGUGCCUCCUCUCUCGCUACUUUGUUCUUCACCUCAGCUUCAAUUGCCUUGAGAUCAUCCAUUUCCCUCUUCAGAGCCCUGAGAUUCUCCUUGAGGUUUCGAAUAUAACCUUUGCCACAUAAGAAUCUAAAGAUACGAUUGAGAUCACCACCAGUAAGUUGGAUAGGAUUACAACUCCCCAUGUCGAUAGAAAGAGAGAAAACUUUGAGUAAGCAACAAACGAAAGCUAAAGAUGAAGAAGUGUUUUAUGUGAAAAGCAUUUUACAAGUGACGAAGGCAUAUAUGAUUUGUUAUCUGUCGGUCCUCUUUGGUUUCUAAUUUCCACCACUCCCACAUAUGCAUCGACUGAUACGAUUCACAUGAAAAAUGAAAAGCCACACAAUUUCUCUAUGGUGAUAGAAAGAGAAUAUUUCUGAAGCUGAAGAAGUUUUUAUUGUCAAAAAUAUCAUUGGAGAUAAGAUAACACAUCUUUCUCCAAUACGGGUGGUUAGGAGAUUUUCCAAAGGGAAAAAAAAAAAUUGCUUACGAAAGACUUUGACUAUUCUAAUAUCCGACCAUAGAUUUUACGAGUGAAGACUUUGCUCAAACUUAUUUCAAGUCAACUAAAGUCCUAUCUUCUGCUCUUAUGUUCUUCGUUUGGCGCUUGUAGCUGUCAAUUUGUUAGCCAUGUUGGCUUUGUUAUUGUUUGUAAACAAGUCUUCCUCUAAUGGAGCGUAGCUAAUCUAUAAAAUCUCAUUUGAGCAAAAAGAAAAUUAAAAGGAAACCCAAGUCUAAGGUGACAGAAACGUGGAUUGGUCAAGUAGUGGAGAUGAUUAAGUAAUCAUUGUCUGUUAUGCCCAAAGUAGCUUACGAAGUGGAGUCUUCUUUUGCGUUGAAAUCCUAUACGAUUAUUGUGUUGUGCCGAUUCUAUUUUUUCGUUAGUCUCUCUGUAGUAGAAGAACAUACCUUAGAUUUAGGCAUUGCCUGUUUAUGAUUUCAUUUAGAUUCAUGUUUCUUUUUAGCACCCUAUUGAGAAUUUAUUAUGUGCUACUUGAGAUAAAUCUGGGUUUGAAUUCUUUAAGUUGCUCAUUAAUGGAGUUUUAGUCAUGUCUAAGAGUAGAAAGUAUAUAAAAGCUUUUAAAAAAAGACUUGAUGAAUGGCAGAAAGAAUAUGAUCAGGGAGUUUUAUAAAGCUGAGGAUGAUGAAAAAUCGAACAUACAAAGUAUUUUGCCAUGUCUAAAACCAGAAUGUCCUACUGCCAAAUCUGUUGGGUAGUAGAACUUUUCUAGUCAAUGCGGUGGCAAAUCGAAUCUGGGGGAAGAAGUGUAAGAUUUUUUCUCGAAAACUUGGUGAAACUUCUUAAUGUUGUAUCACGUAUUGUUGUUCCAUGGACUUCCGCUGCCACUUUAAUAUAUAUUUUUAUCGUCCCAUUCAUUUCUUGCUGAACAAGAAACCCAAAUGUGGAAAGAAAAGAAGAAGAAAUUGUUUGUGAUUUUAUCCUUUGAAGAUCAAUACACAUAUGUUUUUACAUUUUUAAAUAAUGAAAUUAAUCCCCCAAAUACAUGCAUGACUUUUCUAAUAAUUUUUUAUUAUGUUGUUCCAAUUUGUGUUUGUUGGGUGUAUGAUAUAUUAUGAUGCAAAUGGAGAGUAUCAGUCUAAAUAAGGGUGCAUACUUCAAGCUAUUCUAGAGCAAACAAGUAAGAAACUUUAGAGAUGAAAAAAAACAACUCAAGCGGAAGAGUAUAAGAGAACUGAUUACCAGAUGGAUUAAAGGCAAGAAACGUUUUUGGUAUCUUCGUCCUCCCAUUCAAGCUCAGUUUAUCUCUUCUCCAGGACCCAUACCUAUUGUAAACCAGGCAAUUCGUGGGACACUUGUAGCAUCUAAGGGAAGCUUUCUCAGCUGUGGACACUCUUCUACUGUUAAUUUUUGCAAUAACAGUAGAUACUCUCCGGCUUAAGCAAAUUUCUUAUCGAAAACACUUCUAGUUUCUGAAACGGUGUAAUACCUCUAACUGUAAGAUUGACUUCUUUCUCUUUGCUUAUAAUAAUAUCUUCUACUUCUUCUGAAUAUCCACGUAGACGACAAGAUUUGGAGCAAACAGUGGAUUUCUAAGUUCUCUAGUUUGGGAAAUUUCGUGGCUUAUGAUGAACAAGUUGGGGUUUACUGAAAUUGAGUUCUGGUUUAAUCAAGACUGGUUAUAUCAUUAAUUCUUUAAGCCGGUUAAAGCAGUAUUAUGGUUCUAUUUUGGAAGUGGGUUCACUGACAUUGAUUUUUUUUGUUUUGUUUUAUAAUUUAAUUCAUUUUCAUAGAUGAAUUUGAAAGGUUACAGCGCAAAUAAACCUCAGACCGGUGAUCAGGUGAAACAUGAAAGAUAAAAUUAUGUAUAAGCUUUCCAGCAGUCAAAUCCCAUACCUAUUGGAUAUGAUCAAAUAUUAUAUCAAUUGUUAGAAACACAUACGUUGGGGAAAAGAGAAUGCGCAAGAUCCAUUUAUAGAUAUUGCAGUGCUUACCUUUACAACAUUGUCAAGUCCUCCAGUCACUACAAAAUUUACAACAUACGUUGGAGUAAAUUUGAUAGUGUUGAUGCCACGAGUAUGACCCUUGUACCUCUGUAUGCAUCCCUUCUUUCUGAUGUCCCAAAUCUUCAAAUUCGUGUCACUUGAUCUAUGAUGCCAAAAAUUCACCAAAUGGAUGAAAUUCAACAGCAGAACAAUUGGAUCUAUGUCCAGUAAAAGCUCGAACCACUACACUUCAAGAGUAAGAGUGAACAUGUUAGACCUCAUAAUUCUAAAGUAAACGAUAGAUAUGGUGUGGUACACUGCUCAAAUAUCAGGACCCAUAAUCAACAUCUAACUCAAUCGGUAUCUCUAUAUGUUCCCAUUUGAUGAAACUAGCUAGGCAUAUAAGGAGCAACAAGUAUUCUAAAGGAGAGCAGAAAAUCAAUCAACUAACUCUUUGCUUCUUCUAGAUCCCAAAGCUUUCUCACACCCGAAGAAGCUCCACCAAGCACCAAAACUUCUGCCGAGUCAAAAGCUACUGAAUCCACUGCACUAGUAUGUCCACAUAAACUCUGCAAACAACUCAAGAAAUGAAUAUAGCAGCACUCUUCUAUAUAAAAAACAAUACACACUUUUUGCUCAACAAGGAGGAAAAAUUUAGACAAGAGAGAAAACGUGAAACACACCAUUAAAGAAGUAGGCUUGCCGAUCGCCCAAAGGUUGACAUUGUAAUCAUCACCACCAGUAAUAAGGAGCCGUGAUGUCUUCUUUCCGAUACUUAAGCAAUUUACAUUUGCAGAAUGUGCCAAAAACUCCUCUACGUUUCCAAAAUCAAGUCAAGGUAUAAGCAAACACCAGACAAGAACAGCUAAAGAAAGGAGCAGCCUUUGAAGCAACUCGACAGCAAAACAUAAAGCAGGUCAUAAAUGGAGAGAAGUACUUUCACAUACAAAACAUAUCCAGAAAAUAUCCAUUUUCUAUCAUAUUGAGCAGCCAGUGAUAGAAACAUUUGACCCGGAAUUAAUUUCUGCUAAAAUCUUGAAAUGCUAAUCAAAACUUGAAGCUUAUCAAUAGCAAACUAAGCUUUGCUCUUGGGAGUUUUUAAAGAUAAAACCCUAACGAUUCGGUGAUUUAAAAAAAAAAAAAAAAAGACGACAAAAAUUUCUCAGGAUGGAGCUAAAAAUCCAGAGUUCGUUCAAUUUUACUCAGCUUAAGAAUCAACAACAUCGCCAGGAAUAUAAAAGGAUACGCAGCUUAUAUCCACGCUUCGCCAUUUUCUACUCGAUUUCCAGCAAAUCCGUGGGAAUCAAUGGAAUCCGAAUCUCUAGCUUCCGUAAUCGAUCGAAAAAACGGUGAAUCGGAGCUGAAAAAAAAAUCCCAAUUGUCACUACACGACAGAGCUCGAGAUUUUCGGGAAAUUCAAAAGGAGAAACACGGAGGUUGCUUCCCGUUGAGAUUUCAAAUCUAGAACGUGAGAAAAGAAUCAAAUUCCGGGAACAAGAAUUUUGAAGGAAACGAGAUAAUCAGAGAUUCAAAUAGUGACACGGAGCAGAAAGAAAAAAAGAAACAGAAGAGAAGAAGAAAAAUGGUAAAGCGAAGGAAGUUUUUUAUGUUGUCAAUAUUAUUCGAUAGGUGAGGAAGCACCUCAUCAUCUCUUGGAUUUGUUUGUUUCCUAAAGACAUUGUCAACCUUAUAUAUAUAAAUAGGGUAAUUAAGCGUAGUGUUUUGUUUGGUAAGACAUAAUAUUAUACAUAUAUAACAUUUAAAUACUCGAAUCAAAGAGAUAAUUAAGAAAUUUUGAAUCAAAGCCUAUAACAUAGUGUCUAGAAAAUCAAUAAAAAAUCUUUAAAUGAUUUAGAUAUUAAAAUCAAUUUUUAAAAAUAUUUCUCAAAAUUUUGUGGAUAAAAUAAUCUAAACGAGAAUUGUUUUCAUUGUUUUGUAUAAUAUUUCGAAAAUUGAAAGUAGACUAAAUUAUGUAGAAAAGAAGAAUCUACGACCGCUAACAAACACCUGAACACGAAAUUCAUUAUGAUUAAACAAAUAUCAAACUUUCUUUUUUUCCAACAUUAGUAUCAUGUUUUUCAUGUCAGUCAGUUUCUAUGUUGCUUCUCAUCUUUAGAUGCUUUAGUAUUUCUCAAUGUUUUUAAACCCGACCCGGACAACGACCCGAAGUAUUCUUCGGAUUGUCGGUUAACUGGAUUGACCUGGAUUAAUCCGGGUCAACCGCGGAUCAACUAAGUAUAUAUAUUUGUUAUGUUUUUUAAUAAAUUUUAUCACUUUUGUUACAUUUUUUUUAAUGUAAAAAAAUACAAAUUUUUGCUAAAAAGUUUUGUCACUAAAUCGCAUUAAUUAUUAUAUAUCUUUUUCUAUAUAAUUUUUUUUAAUAAAAUUAAAUUAAAAUAUACACUAAAUAUAGUGAUCAUAUUAACUAUAUUUUUGAACAUUUUUAAUUAUAUAUUUUUUCCUUUUAUUUAUUUUCUUUUUUAAACAGUUAAUUUUUUACUAGAAAAUUUGAUAUUACAAAACUUACAAUUGUAUAAUGGUGAGAAAAUAACAAACUAUUCAAUAAAAUAUAGAAAAACAAACUGUUAUUACUACUAAAAACAUUCAAAUAAAAGUAUAUUAAUUGUCUCUAAAAUCCAAAAAUAAUGUAGAAAAUUUUAGCAAUAUUUUUUGAUUUUGUUACCACCUCAUUUUUUCCAUCUUCUGUUAUUGUAAGUGCUCUGCAUCUUGUUCUAAUUUUGUUUUCUAAAACUGUAUUUUUUUUUUAAAAAAAUAUCAUAUAUUCAUAAAUAAAUUUAUAAAACUAUUAAUUUUUUUCCAAACCAGAAACCCAUCCAGAUCGGGUUUUUGCCGGUUCACCGAGUUUAAGCGGGUUUUUCUGGAUUUAAGCGGUUUAAUAGCAUUUUGGGUUUCAACAAAAACUAAACCGGAAAUUUUACCAGGUCACGGUUUAACCGGUUAAACCGUCCGGUCCGAUCUGGGUCUGAAAACAUUGGUAUUUCUCUUACAACUAUGCUCAUGGUAUUUAGUGGUUGGAUGAUUUACUUUAAGAUUAGAAUACUAAUAAUUUGAAUAUUCUUACAACAAUUUCAACUGUAGUUGAAAUCUGAAGCCAUAUUAAAUGAUAAAUAUACUCAGUUUUUAAUUAUUCACAAACUACAAAAAUUAGUCUAGAUUUCGAUAUAGAAUUUUAUAAUUAUCAAUAUUUUCUUCUUCUUUUCCUGAUAGCAUAAGCUUUUAUUGUUUAUUUUUAGUUAAAAAAGAAAAUAAAGUAUAGCAAAUUAAACACAUUAUUGAAACAAAUGUUAGGAAUCUUAUACUGAAUAUUUGAUAGAACCCAAAGUAAUAUAUAAGUGAAAUGGAUCAAUCCGCACCAAUUAUUUUUAAAUCAGAACCCCAUAAAACGUAAUGUGGUAGCGGAAUCCAAAUUUUGUUGACUUACGGUAGUAAUAUAUAAGUGAAAUUAAUCAAUCUGCUAAUUACCAGCUACUUUUAAAUCAGAAUAUCAUAACGUAAUGUGGUAGCAUAAUCCAACUUUGUUGAUUUAAGUAGGAUAGCCCGAAUAAGAAAUAUUGUAGUUCGUGUAUGGCAUACUGCAAAUCUUAGAAUAUGUUUUGGUUUGAGUCUUCAAGAUGUGCGAGAUAGUUAUCAUCUAGAGGAAAUGGACUUAAAGAACUAUAUAAGAGAUACACUCAUAAUUCAUAUAUACCAGAAUCCAUUUUAUUACCAAUUUUUUUUUAGUUAGAACCUAUAAAACUUAGAAACAUAUAUCAUGAUAUAGAAUCAAAGGUCAUCUCACUAAAAAUUAUUAUGCUCACAUAUGGUUUAGUUAUUCAAAAAAAUAAAUAAUCAAACAUACGAAUUAACCAAAAUAUAGUCUUAAAAGUUUUAGGUCUGCUAAAAUGUUUUUUUUAGGUGUUACUAUGCUAAGCUUCAAAUUGUAUUGUAUUCACUCUUCAGUAUAAGACUAAUGAACAUUUAAUUUACAAUUUUGAAUUUUCUAAUGGAGUAGACCGAGAUCAGGCCCAGGCUAUAACCGCUUCUUACAGGCUAUUGAUGCAAUCAAAUGUUACAAAUUGCGAACGGCUAUUUGCUUUGUGUUAGCAUUGGUCCAUUGAAUUUUAAUUUUUUUUUAUAAUAUAUUGAGUCAUAUGUAAAUACUAGAUGCCUGGUACCGGUUCUUAUCAGCUUCGCUGCUUUGUAUAUAGUCGCCGUCUGCAAGAAUCAUUCUGAGAAAUGCUAGACAAGAGUGAGAAAGACAAUUUUGUAAAAGAAAGAAGAUUGAGUUUUGCCAGAAACUACUCUACAAGAUUGUUGUAGUUUCUGGACACGCAGCUAAUUCAAACGACGAACCAAUGUUCAAGACCGGUGGGUGGUGAAUAAUUGAGCGUAUCAAUUAAGCUUGCGAAUUUGUUUUUUUUUUUUUGGCUGAAGAUUUGUUCUUGGGUUCUUGUUUUAAUGUUCUUAAUGUGGUGAAGCCAUUAGGAAAGGAAUGUGAAAACUCUUAAAAUUAAGAAGACUCUUUCCAUGUCUUCUUAAGCGAAGUUGUCUCUAGUUAUUGCCCCAAAUCAGAAAGCCACUAGACAUAGUUUAGGAUUAGAUGGAAGUCAUAGCGUCUUCAGAUUAGGUUUAGGGGAUUUAAAUUAAAGAGUCUGAAAAACAGGAUCUUCAUGAUUUAGCAAAAUCAUAUAACUUUUCAUCUUGAUUCCUCCUGUUAACAACAGAAACACACUGCAAGAUGAAAUAGAAAAAGCUACAGGUAGAGGAAUUUGAUUUUGGAUAGUGAGGAAUCAAAAUACACAGUGAAUUCAGAGGCAUCACAUACUUUUAUGAUAUAAGCAUAAAAACUGUUGAUUAUAUAAAUACAUGUAGCUUGAGAAGGAAGCAAUCCGCCUUAACUUAUUACAUAGAAAAUUGAAAAGAGAAAAUCCAAUUGAACAACACAACACACUGCAGAGAGAGAUAAGAAUGCAUAGGAAAAGCAAUAAUACAAUCCAAAUGAGCAACACAUCACACUUUCAAGAAGAAAGAGAACGCAGAAGAAGAAGCGAGGAUUCUGGUUUCUGACAGUGAGGAAUCCCAAUCCAGCUUAAGGGAUGGUUAGACAUACUGAAUCCGCUAAAGAAGAAAAAAAUAAACAAAAGUUAGUGAAUAUUCAUAAAAAAAAUACAUUUCACCUAAAACUGCUAGGAAUAUCCAGCAAAAUCUUAAGAAGCUGAACUAAUAUUAAUCAGUUUCUAUUAAAUAUUUUUAUAUAUUCUUUGCUUAACGAAUGUGAAAGGAAAAGAAGAAGAAGAAAAACACUGUUUGUAGAUAUAGUCAUUUGAACAGCUCAAUGCACAUAUGUAGAAAUUUUAAUGACCCCUCGUAUAUAUCCAUUAAACACAGGUCUGAUGAUUUUCCAGAUAAUUGUCUAAUUUUGUGCCUCAAUUUGUGUUUUGUUGGAUAUCAUGAUGCAAAUGGAUAAUAUCAGACCAAAGAAAAAACGAUCACACCUCAUUCUAACCUUGAGCAAACUUGAAAGAAACGCAGUAAGAUAAAAUAAUUUAUUCAAGCGGAAGAGAAUAAGAGAAAUGAUUACCGAAUGGAUUAAAGGCAAGAUACGUUUUUUGGUAUCUUCAUCCUCCCAUUCAAGCUCAGUUUUCUGUUCUUCAGGACGCAUAUAUAUUCCAAACCCGUCAAGUCGUGGGACACUUGUAGCAUCAAAGGGAAGCUUUCUCAGCUUUGGACAAUUUCCUACAUAUAUGUGCCGCAAUGAUGGAAAGGGGAGAGGACUCCAGUAGAUACUCUCCAGCUCAGGCAACUGUAACAGGGAUAACUUUUCUAGUUUCUGAAAUGGUGUAGUACCUGUAAGAUUGGUUGCUUUCUCUUUGUUUAUGAUUUCUUCUAGUUCUCCUAAAUGUGAAAUGUCUAGCCAAGUCAGAUUUGGAGCAAACAGUAGCCAAGUCAGAUCCUUAAUGCCAGGACAGCUAACCAUUGCCACGACGGAGAGGUUGGUAAAGCGUGGACUUGUCCGAUUGUGUAAAUGAGAUGAGUCGGUCUCGCUUUCUCUGCAUUUAGUAUAUGUAUUAAUCUCCGAGACAUGACUUUUUUUCACACAGUGCUCACGAAGAUUCUCCAUACUCACCAGCGAUGACAUAUUGAAUGGCUUUUCUUUAAAACCUUGAAUAACCAGAUGAAUGAUGCAGUUAGCCAACCUUUGAUCGCCUAAUAUAUGCUUCAAACCCAACUCGGUAGAGAUCGUUAUGUCUAGAACUUGUAGAUGCUACAAGAGCUGCAGCUCCUUCAACAAGCUAACAUCUUCAUGAACUUUAGAAUUUUCUAGUCUCAAAAUUCUUAAACUCGACAGCUUUGAUAUCCCACUGAUACUACAAAGACUCUCUGUACCAGUCAAAUCCAGAUGAAUUAGCUUUUUCAACUCUUGGAAACCAACUGGCAGUUGCUUUAUACUUGUGUACGACAAGUUAAGAUACUGCAAGGAGGCCAGCUUCGAUAUCUGCUCAGGAAGUUUUUGGAAAUCAUCAUUAUCUGAUAGAUCCAAAACAACUAGCUUUUGCAUAGAGCCGAUGAAUUCACCUGAGAGAUUCUUCAACUUAUUCUUCUGGAGGAGCAGAGUUGUAAGUUCAGAACACUUGGAACUGCAUUUUAUCUCUUUAACCUCAUUCCUCAUUAAAGACAUCCUUCUCACAGCUCUCCAAUUCUUGACUUUUGGCGUUUCGUGUAAUCCGACUCCUGCUUGAACAAAAAAAGACUCAGAUGCAAUCCAUAGAGCCAUUUCGCGAACCACGUCAUGCAUCACAACAAGACCUAUCCUAUCAGGCUGUUCUGUCAGUAAAUUUGAGCGGAUAAGGGUACCAAGUACCUCAUAACCCUUAUUCACUGCCCUUUUAUAAGAUUGGUGUUCCCCGAUGAAUCCCUCGCACAUCCAAUAUUUUAUCAAAUCUCCUUUAUCUAUCUCAUAAUCUUCCGGAAACAGAGCACAAUAGAGGAAACACGACUUGAUAUGUUCACCCGCCAAGCUAUCAUAGCUAUACUUCAGAAUCGGAAGAAUUUUGUUUUCCAUGUCAGAAAACUCUGCAGCUGAUCUGGACAAAACAUCGACUGCAAGCUCCCAUUCUUGUACCGUAGUUUGAGAUGACAUUGUCUCACCAAUGACAACAAGCGCUAGUGGCAGACCACAACAUUCUUUAGCGACCUUUUUGGCAAGCUCGACAAUGGCAGGAUCUCUACUUAAUGUAUUAUCUCCUACCUUGCUUUUGAACAAUUCCCAUGCUUCAGUCCAUUCCAAACAGUUGACUUUCAUCGGCUCAUGAUCUCCCAUCCGCCCACAUACUACCCGAGAACGAGUGCUGAAUGUUACUUUGCAUCCAUUUUCUCUGGUUGGAAACGGAACUCCAAUGACUUCUAAAUCAACUUUCUCCCAUAUAUCAUCUAACAUCAGGACAAAUCUCUUCCCUUUUAAAACUCUGUGUAUAUUGAUUGCCUUGUCACUUUCACUUUUGUUCUUCCACUCGCCGUCGCAAAGGUGUAGCUUUUGUGCAAUAUCAUCUUGAAGCUUUGAAGUAGUUGCACCUUGAGACACCACGACCCAGAUCACAACAUCAAAUCUACCAGCCACUUCAGUGAACUUAUUGUGGAUAUUCUUGAAAAGGGUAGUCUUGCCUACACCUCCCAUACCGUGCAAACCCAUGAUUCCAACUCCAUCUUCCAUAAGGCGCUUCCAUGCCUUUUCCAGCAUUGUUUCCUGACCGAUCGUAGGCCCACUAGGCCUCUCUUCUACUACAGAUCUCAAACCCGGCUCAGUAACCUCUUUAGAAUUACCCUCUGAUUUGAGAAUCUGGACCUCUUCCAGCAACAAGAAUACCUUUUUCCCAUAUUUGUAGCUCGAACAUACACUUUUUGAACAUAAACCACAGAGACACAACUUCUUAAGCUCAACAGGACUAGUACUAAGCAGAUCAUUGAACCGUGUAUCGAUGCUCUCGACACGUGUUAGCCAUACCUUGACAGCUUCAAGCCUUUGUUGAUGUUGUGCCUCCUCUCUCGCCACUUUGUUCUUCACCUCAGCUUCAAUUGCCUUGAGAUCAUCCAUUUCCCUCUUCAGAGCCCUGAGAUUCUCCUUGAGGUUUCGAAUAUAACCCUUACCACAUAAGCAUCUGACGAUAUGGUUCAACGUUUGAUCACAGGAAAGUUGGAAAGACACACAAUUCCCCAUGGUGAUAGAAAGAGAGAAAACUUUGAGUAAGCAACAAACGAAAGCUAAAGAUGAAGAAGUGUUUUAUGUGAAAAGCAUUUAACUAAUUCUGAAGAAGGAAGAGAGGAUUAGUUAGAUUUUAGUCUACUAUGCGUUUUAAUUUCCGCCAUUGUUUCGAAGGACGUUUAGUCGUUUACUUUAGAUGCAAUUAUGUUUGAAAAAUUCAAAGGUCAAUUACCAACUCUUAUCAUUAUUAAGAUGCAACUAUGUUUUAAAUUAUACAAAGGUCAAUGAUUUAAUCGCCCAGUUUGGAUUAUUAUGCAACUAUGUUUUAAAAAAACAAAGCUCAAUUAAUGUUUAAUCACUGGGUUUGGAUUAUUAUCAUCACUUGUUGUUAAUUAUUUAAAUCAUUCACUUUAAAAUAUUUGUGAAAAAUCAAUUACUUUAGAAUAUUUUCCAAAUGACAUGGGAACCAAUAACCAUGAUCAAAAACGGUGUGGUGCGAUCGCACGAAGCCAAAAACAACUUACAAGAAAUCUGGAACAGAGCAGACAAUGGAGAAGUCUAAGGAUCUCGUCAAGGCUGAGAACUCAGAAUGGCCUCCAAAUUUUAUCUGCACCUGAAUUCAGAAUGGCCUAACAAAAAGUGCAGAAUGGCUUAUAAAAACUGCCCAUACCAAGCAAAAAAAAAAAAAAAAAAAAAAACAAAAAACAAAGUCAGUCAAUAACAGAUAUCAGUCUCGAAGUUGCUUUUUUGUUUCACCAAAAAAAAGAAAAGAAGAAGUUGCUUCUUUUGUGGGAAAAGCAGAGGUCAUAUAAAGGCUCAUUGUUACAGGUUUCAGAGGAAAGUAAAUCAGUUUUAGAAUCAUCAAGACUAUAUGGAAAAACCAUUGAGAUUCACAGAAGCAAAGAAUUUUAUUUUGGACAUCGAGGAAUAAAAAUCUAAAAUCAAAAUCCAAAGGUACAUUGAAGGAUGUUUAGACCCAAAACGGCUACAAAAGAAAAGAAAGAAAAAAAAGUUAGUGACACUUGUGGAACGCAUUGAAAUUGAGAGGGACAACAUAUUCUGAAAAUAAAAUUCCAUUUUAACAUGUCUGCAGGGAUUAUCCAACUAAUUCUACCUCACCAUUGAUAUCUUAAGAAGCUGAACUAGGUUUAAACGGUUUUGUUGCGGAUAUCACCAAUAUCAAUUCGUUCAAAUUGAGUUUCCGAUCUGAAUCUUUAGAUGAAAUAGAAACGAGAAAUAAGCAAUAGAAACUACACACAAGAUUUAUCCAGUUUAGGGGCCAACCGCGACCCUACAUCUGGCAGAGACUUCCUCGGAAUUCACUAAGAGAAUGGUUUACAGAGUAGCCGUUACUCUCACUGGAAGAUACCCCGAGAAUCCCUUUCACUCACCGGAAAGAUCUCACAGUUUUCACUCACCAAUUACAAAAAAUGGUAUGUCGAAGAAGAUCUCUCUCUCUCUCUCUCUCUCUCUCUCUCUCUCUCUCUCUCUCUGUCUGCAACUAAUUAAUGACCGACCCGUAGUAACAAACCGAAACAACCCCUGCGCGUAAACACACGCUCUAACGGUCACUCUUCGAUAUCAGCUUCUAGAAGAAGCUCGUAACGAUGACGUCUUGGAGUCUUACCUUAUCCGGUUCACCUAAUCCUGAAAUCAAUAUCCUGACUUCAUAAACCGGAACCUGCUAAUUGAACUAGAUGGUUUAUCAACCAAACCCAUCGGACAGGUUUUUUAACUUUCUCUUUUAACAUUUUUCUCCUCCCAUAUAUUCUUUGCUGAACAAGAAACCCAAAUGCCAAAUGUGAAAGAAGAAGAAGAAGAAUUAUUUGUGAUUUGAUCAUUGAAGAAUUCAAUACACACAUGUUUUGUAAUUUUGGAAUUAAUGAUACCCCAUACAAAUCCACCAAACACAUGUUUUAUUUUCAACGUAAUUUUACAGUUUGUGAUCCAGAUUUGUUUGUUGAGUAUCAUGAUGUACAUAUGGAUCAUAUCAGUCUAAUAAAACGAUUCAGACCUCAUGCUAACCUUGAGUGAAAGAAACUUAGUAGUAAAAAUAAUUACCCAAACAGAAGAGUUUAAAGGCAUCUUCUAUAUAUAAUUCUAUAUUUUACUCUAUUUAGAUACUCCAUUUUUAGAGUAAUUCUAUUUUUAGAGUAAUUCCAUUUUUUAAUAGUAAUUCCAUUUUGGAGUGAAAUAUGAAAUAGGUUUAGAGAGAAUUUUCUUCGAACUCGAAAUUUGGAGUAGAGUCGGAGAUGAUCUAAGAGAACUGAUUACCCCAUCGAAUGAACGCAAGAAACGAUUCUUGGUAUCUUCGUCCUCCAUUCAAGCUCAGUUUUUUGUUCUUGAGGAAUCAAUCUUAUUACAAACUGGCCAACUCAUGAGAAACUUGUAGCAUUUAAGGGUAGCUUUCUCAGCUUUGGACAGAGAUCAGCUACUAUGUGCUUCAGAAAUGGAAAGGCAAGAGGACUCCCGUAGAUACUCUCCAGCUUAGGCAAAUUCCUAAAUGUUAUAAAUUUUAGUUUAUGAAAUGGUCUUAUACCUGUAAGAUUGUUACUUUUUUGUUUACAAUGUCUUCCAGUCUUCUUGAAUUUUCAAUCUGUAGGUAGACAAAAUAUAUUGACUAGAUUAUGUUGAAAAAUGUCAAUCUCUAAAACAUUGCUUCAGUUCGCCAACCUUCAAUCGCCCAAUAAUUGCUCCAAAUCCAACUCCGCAGAUAUGAUUAUGGUUAGAACUUGUGGAUUCUCCAAGAGCUGAAGCUCCUUCAAUAAGCUAGCAUCUCCAUGAAAAUUAGAAUAUUGGAAUUUCAAAAUUCUUUAACUUGAUACUUUUGAUAUCCCAUUGAUACUAGAAAGUCUCUAUGUAACAAUCAAAUUCAGCUGACUUCGCUUUUUAAAAUCUUGGUAGCCAACAUGGAGUUGCUCUAUACUGUAUACAACAAGUCAAGAUACUGCAAGGAUGCCAGCUCUGAUAGUUUUUUCAUAGAGCGGAUGAAUUUACCUGAGAGAUUUUUCAAAUUAUCACUCUGGAGGAACAGAGUUUUAUAAGUUCAGAGCACUUGGAAAUGCAAGUUAUCUCUUUAAUCGUAUUCUUCAUUAAAGACAUCCUUCUCACAGCUUUCCAAUGCUUGACUUUUGGUACAUAACCCUUAUUCUUCGCUCUUUUAAAAACUUGGCAUUCUCCAAUGAAUCCCUCGCAGAUCACGUACUCUAUCAAUUUUUCUUUAUCUAUUCGAACAUCUUCUGGAAACAGAGCACAAUAAAAGAAACAUGACUUGAUACGUUCAUCCACCAAGCAAUUGUAGCUGUACUGGACAUUUUGCUAAUGUUGAGCAAACAUGACUUUAUCUAUAGAGGAAACAUGACUUUAUCUAUAGUGUUUUUGGUCAAUAGGUGGAAUGCAUUUAGCUAAUGACGAUGAAAGAGAGAGAUUGUGUUAGAUUUCAUUCCUCUUUGCUUUGUAAUUUCUCCCAUAGUUUCAAAGUCGUCGACUUGAUGCAACCAUGUUUUUAUAAAGAUGAUUAAUCCCCAGUUUCGGAGUAUUUUAAUCACAUUAGAUGCCACUAUGUUUUAAAAGACAAAGCUCAAAUUCGUUGACUUGAGCUUUUCAAGAACGAUUUGAAACGUGUGGCUGAUGUUCCAGAAAGAAAUGCACCUGAUUUCAGAAUGGCCUCCAGAAACCUGCACCAUACCAAGUAAAAUCAAAACAAAUUAAAGUCAGAUAAUAAAAAAUUAAAAGAGGAAUGCUUCUGGGGGACAACUCCUAAGCAGCAUUGCUCUUGGAUUUGGAAAUCUAUUCUCUCUCUCUUAUGCCCCUUGCAAAGAAUCUGAUCGGAUGUGAUGUUAGGGAUGGCGUGUCAACAAGUUUCUGGUUUGACUCUUGGACCAAUUUAGGUCUGUUGAUUGACUUGACAGGUCUUGAUGACCCACAAAAAAUGGGAAUUCCUCUUUACUCUUCGGUUGCUGACUCUUGUUCUCCCAACGGGUGGAGACUUUCCUCAGCUAGGACCAGAGACUCAUCUCAUUUAGCUAUCCGCAACACCAUUACUGAGUUAUCCAUCCCGCACCAAGAUCAGGGUGGAGACGUGUUUCUUUGGGGUGUAGAAGGUUCAAGAAGAGAUUAUUUCUGUACCAGCAAAACUUGGCAUAUUCUGAGGCUUAAGGAGGAUAUAAAACGUUGGUUGAAAGCUGUGUGGUUCAAGAGAGCCACUCUGAAGCAUGCUUUCACCUUUUGGACGGCAAACUAAGACAGGUUACCACUGAAAACAAAGCUUGUGAGCUGGGGAAUUAAUAUCUCUCCAACAUGCUGCCUUUGUGACAUGGAGGAAGAGACUAGAGACCAUUUGUUUCUACACUGUCCAUUUUCUGAAGCAGUUUUGACCAUGGGGAUUCGGCGACUCGAAUUUUUUUGGAGUCUCAUUCUCUAAUUGGCAGUCCAUGAUCAACUGGAUGCUUCAACGAACACCAAGACUCUCCUCUACCCUGAAGAAGAUCCCAGGCGACAAUUUACUUGUUAUGGCGUGAACGAAACCAGAUAAUACAUGAUGGUCCUCUAUCUUCUGAAAACCAUCUCUUCGAUUAGUUGGAUAGACUGAUUAGAGACACAUUGUUGGCACACAAUCCCAGCGUAACUAUAGGGGUCUUCUAUCUCUUUGGUUUAAGAGCCACUAGUUCUUCAAGCUCGAUUGUAAUUCUACUAAAAUGAUCUGUUUCCAAGCCUUUUUCCUUUUUUUAGGCUUUUGAAACAGUGGCUGAGAGAUUUAUAGAAUAGCAGCGGAUUAAGCAAGAAUAUAGAGAGAUUUAGGUGAGAUUAAUGAAAAACUAAAGAAAAGAAGAGAGAAUCAAGAGAUUUAGAGAAAAAGAUAUGUAUUCUCAUUUUCUUAGAUCUAUAGAAAGCUGCUACAUGUGUUUAAGUAGGAAGACAAAGAAAACCCUAACACAUAUGGGCUUACUAAAUACCUUAUAAAGUUUUAUAAAGUUUAUAAAAUCUUAUAAAGUCUUAUAAAGUCUUUUAAAGUUUUCUAAUUGGAUUCCCACCAGAAAAGCUGAGAAUGAUCCAUCUUGUUUAACAGUGGCUAAUGUAAUAUACAAUAUAAUUCAAAUUUUAUUUUAAAAAAUAUAAGUUGCUUCUUUUGUGGGCAAAAAACAGGUCAUACAAAAGCUCGUCGUUAGUCUUUACAAGUUUCAGAGGACAGUAAUAUAUAAAAUCAUCAAAUUAUAUCGAAAACCCAUUGAGAUACACAAAAGCGUGUGUUCAAGAGGAAAGAAUUGUACAAGAAUAAUCUAUAACAUGUUGCAUCUAAUUGUGUCGAUGUUACAUGGGAUCUUCUUCGUCCAUCUACUAUAGUCAUAACAGGAUGUUAAAGCAAGACUUAAAGAUGAUGGAUCCGAGUCUGAAGUUACAGAAACGUGGAUUAAGCAAUAAAUUGGAGAUGAUGAAAAUAAGUUAUGCCCAAAGUAGCUUAUGAUGUGGAAGUGGGUUUUGUUUUUUUUUUGCGAAUCCUAAAAGAUUAUUGUGUUGUGCUGAUUCUACGUUAGUCUUAGAAGAAUGGAGUGUGUAAAAUAGAGAAAAUUUUAUAAAAGAAGUAACGUUCAUAUGUAGAAAAGCAUGCUUUUGAAUGAAUAAUGACUUGGUUUAUUUUUCUGUUGAAAGAAAAAAAAAUUAUUUAAUAUUUCAAAACGAGUGUAAAAGUGGAAUACUUUCUCGCGACAGAAAAAAUAUUCACUGCUGGUGAUCUAAAUGACGAUCCCAAAUAGACAAAUAAUAUUAGAAAUCUAUCUAUACACUAUUAUUUGCGAGGUUAAAAAUUUUAGGUGUCGUUCCCACAACAAUUGUUCUACAUGGCAUUAAUGAAAAAAUAUUAUUUAUCGUUUUAAUUUGUUUUGAUAAAUCGAUCAUUAAUCCUACGUGUAAAAACUUGUGACUUGGCUUUUUUCUUCGAUAAUGGGCUACAGAAUUUGUUCAUGGGCCAGCGAUUUUGUUUUCACUCAUAGCCACCGAUUCUGGUAAUAGGGCACCAACGUCGAAACCCUAAACUCUAAAGCAUAUAUCCUACUAUAUAUACAUGUAUUAUCUACAUAUAUUUUUACAUACAACAACCGUCUUCAAGGUCUAGCAAUUUUUACAAAACUCGUCCACCUCUAUUACACGAAUACAUCUUUUUUAUAUCCCAAUCUGGUUUAAAAUAUAUCGUUUGUUUAGUUGGUUGUUCUUCCAUGCUAACCUUUGAAUCGUUUUGUUCUGAUCGAGAUUCUUUUAUGCUAACCAGUCAAAUAUCUAUGUUUUUUCUCUAUCAUGUUCUAUAUUACUAUGCAUCACAACUAUCUUAUUUUUUAACCCCUGUUUUACUCUCUAUGCGAUUGGUCAUCGAGAUAUCAUAUUUGUGUUCUUUCUUUUGCUUUGUAAUUCUAUAUAUAAAAUUCGAUGCUUCAGUAUUAGAUAUUCAUGUUUCUCUUUAUUAAAUUUUUCUUAUGGUUAUAUUUGAUAUUAUUCGUAAAUCUAAAUUGACCUGAGCUUCUUUAUUGUUUUCCUUGAACCUAGAGUUCAUCGUGCAAACUAUAUGUGAUUGGUUCAAACUUUUGCAAUCAUAUCUUCAAAUGAAUCUAACAUGUAAUUGUAAAUAAAUCAUUAGUACUUUUUUUGUCAACAACUUAUUAGGACUUCUAAUUUUCUUAAUUGAUAUUCGUAAACUCUCUAAUUUAUUAUUUUGAUAUUCUUAGAAGGAUCAAAACCAUAGAAAUGAGUUUUUUUGUGUGUAUAAUUCAUGUUUUAGUUUAGGUUUGUAUUAAUUUUUCUGGUAACAUAUUGUGAAUGAAUGUUAUUUAUUGUUUGAUUGUUUGAUUGUUCUUUGUUUCUCCUUGGGUUCUACUUUACAUUUUCUUUAUAUUGUUGUUUAUGUUUAUUUUUAUUUCUAAAUAUAAUUUAUGGUUUUCGUGGUAGCUUUUGUGGACAAGUAAAAAAAAAAAAGAGUAACCAGUUCAGAUUAAUUUUGGUUUCAUAGUUUACUAAAGAUAUGUAACAUGAACAAAACGUCUAUUGUUUUAUAACAUUCCCAUUGUUUUCUACCCAAAGGCAAUUAUGUUGGUUCUGGAAAAAAUGUUUUAUAGUUUUGAUUUUUACCCAACACAUUCUUUUAUCAGAAAAACAUUAAAUUACUCUCAAGAUUAAACUUAUCAGGCAUUAAAGCAAUAUCUUUGUUGGUAAGUCGAUGAAUGAGAAUGUGAUGUCUCAUAACUUCAAAGAGCAAAGGAAAAAUAAGUGACAACGAGACUAGAUUCGGUGUGAGUAGAAUCUUUACGCAUGUUAAGUACUUGUUGAUAUACAACAAUCGUAUUGAGAACAGAGUGCAAACCAAUUGCAAAUUGCACCAUCCAAUUGGUGUUAAAUUAUAUUAUGGUUAAUCCCUGACCCAUUUCUUAGUUUCAUCAUUUGUUAAUGAAUCAUCAGUUUUUUUUAACCCCUGAUGAGAGAUAAAAUCAGCUGAAGGAAGGAGAGUCACCAAUACAGAGAAAGAAGAAUUUUUGCUAUAAAAUAUUCAGGUCUUAAUUUUCAUCAUCCUUGUAAUUUGUUUCAGCUUGCUAAAACUACUUUUUUAGUGUUGCAGACUUCAUCAGAAUACCUAAUAAAUUGAUGAUUCUCUGACACCAGAAUCUAAGAAAUAUACUCACACGUGAUAAACUGAAAUUUUUGUGAAUUGCAGAAUGAACAUACUCACACGUUGCAUUUCUCAUAUGUUUUGAUGUCUAACAAGUAAUUCUUGUGUCAUAUAGCUUUGUUGCUUUAAAAUUUUAGUUUUUGAAUUGAAUUUAUCUUAAAACAAUCCAUCCUUUGAUUGCUUCUCUAAAACCAAAAUCUUACAAGACAAAGCUUAUAUUGUAUCUUCGAAGAAGGUUGAAGAAUGAGAUGAAAUCUCGAGUAUGUUUCUAUGUUCAAAAAACUCAAAUCAGAUUGUUAUGUGUUUCUGAAGUUCACUGGUUUAGUACUUGAACACGAGCAAACAGAGAUUGAACACUCAUACAUUGAGUUGGACAAUACUAAAACGGGUCGGAAUCCCUUACUGAAAUGCGUGAGGAAAACACAGAAGCUAAAGAAAAUAAUGGAUGAAAUGAAAAAAGAUAGUUGGGUGGCAAAUAAAUGUGUGAUUGAUAUGAAAAAUUGGAAAAAAGAGAUGACGAAGACUUGAAGGUAAUGAAGAGAACAAAAUUGAGAAGGAGAAGUUGAGGAGAUAAGGCUAAAGCUAUAUUGUAGAAUUUAUCAUUAAUUUAAAGAGAAGAAGAAGACGAAAAAGAAGGGAAAACCUAAGGAGAUAUAAGUUAUGAAUAUAGAGAGGGAGGUAUGGAGAGAGAGAGAGAGAUGGAGAAAGAAGGAGAGAGAGGGAGAUACAGAGAGAGGGGGAGAUACAAAGAGAGGGGGAGAGACAGCGCGAUGGAGAGAGAGGGGGAGUGAGGAGAUACAAAAAGAGAGGGAGAAGGAAGGAGGGAGAUAGAGACAGACAGAGAGAGAGAUGAAAACAUUGUAUGUGCAAGUAAACAAAUCAGAAUAUGAAAACAAGAGAAAAUAUGAAUCAGAAUAAUAAUCAUUCUGAAAAUAUGAAUACAAUGAAGACUGAGAAGCAGUGAAAAGACAAAGAAAAUCAAAAUAAAAUGUCGGGAGACUAGAUGAUGAUGAAGAAAAGGAUGAGGGAUAGGAAGACUGAAAGAUAUGUAAGAGGAAGAAGAAGAAGAAGUAGAAGUAGAAGUCAAAGACGAUGAAGAAAAAGAAGGAAAAAACAAGGAAGAAAAAACUCCGAAAGAUGAAUAAGAGGAAGAAGAGAAAAAUGAAUUCAAUGGAAAGAAGAAGAAUAAAAAUUCGAAGAGAAAGAAGAAAAAUACAUUGAAAUGGGAUAAAAAAGAAGAAUACGAGUAAACCCGGAAAAAAAAUUUCAGGGGAAAGAAUUGAUCAAACACAUCAAAAAAGAGUAAGAAAAAUACGAAGAAGAAAAAAAUAAAAGAUAAGGAAUAUGAAGAAGAGUUGAACAAAGAAGGAGAAAACAAAGAAGAAGACAAAUAAGAAGAGAAAGAAGAAGUAGAAAUAAAAAGAUGAGGAAUAAGAAAAGCGAAAAAUAAAUAAGAAAAAGAAGAAGAAAAGGCAAAGGCGAUAAAAAAUAAUUUCAUUUUAUACAUGAUUCUUCUGAUUGUUUAUAUGUAUUGUAACUAUCUAAGCUUUUGGCUAUAACUGGUCAUUGGUUUUUGUUGUCUUACAGUGUAUAGGUACUUCCUCUCUUCCCUUGUAUAUUUGUACGUGAUUAUCGUGACAUUUCUACGUAGGUAUUAGAGUAUUGAUACUUACGAUCUAAUUACACAUAUAUUGGAUGGUUGGAAGACAAUGAAGAAAAAUAAUAAAAAAAAAGAUGAUAAAGAAGAACAACCAAAAGAUAAAGAAGAAGAAAAAGAAGAAAACGAAUAACCAUUAUGUGGAAAUGAAAAAUUCGUAUUUGUAUUAGUUUAGUUUGUUUGUAAGUUUUAUACAUUUAUUUAGUAUUGCAUUUUGGGUGUUUCAUUUUAUGGAUUUGUUUUAUUUUGGUCAUAUUAAGUCACAAUUGUUUUGAUUUUCUUGAUUCACAUAAUAUAAAGUUUUGUUUUACAAUUUUAAAUCUCUCAAAGGUCCGCGCAAGGAGCUGACAAGACACCUAGUUUUAAUUUAAAUAAAAACAGAUUUUAUUUGAAUUCAAAAUGAUUAUUGGUAAGCCGGUGAUCACUUUGUAUUUUAAAACUUAAAAUUUUUUUUUAAGUUAAUACUCUUCUUCCCUAAAUAUUAAAAAAAGAAUGGGCAUUAUGACAAUCUUACUUUGUCUUGUAAAGAAAAAACUUAUGUUUUUCCUAACUCGAACGUUACAUCAUUAAUCGAAAUUAAAAUGUUCGACCUGAUAAAGAUACAUUCCAAACACGAGAAGCAAACGUAGCUGCGUAUCUUCUAUCAUAGCUGUAUCAAGUAUUGAGUAUGGUAAUCGAUUUGUAUUAUUGAUGAAGUAUAGUCACAAUAUAUACAAGAGGAGAGGCCAAUAUACAACGGUAAUCUACAUUAACUAUAUGAGCGAUUAUAGGAGAUGAUUAUAGGAUAUGAUGAGAUAUGAGGAAUAUGUGUUUCCAUAUUCUAUCACACCCACUCAAGAUGGACGGCCUGGUGAGAGUCUGAUCUUGACAAAAAGAGUUUGUAAUCGAGCUCGGGAGAGUGGUGUCGUGAGAGCAUCAGCCAACUGAUCCGGAGAUGUGACAUGAGUAACUCGCAGCUGGCCAGGCUGAACAAACUGGCGUACGAAAUGGUAGUCUAAAGCGAUAUACUUCAUCCUAGAAUGAAAAACAGAGUCUAUUGCUGCCAAAUAUGUAGCUCCUAUGUUGUCAGAAUAAAUGACUGGAGUGGAGGUGACAUUGAGGCCCAAUUCUGAUAGGAGAGAUGAAAUCCAGCAAACUUCAGCAGUGCUAGACGCGACUGAGGUAUUCAGCUUCGGUAGAAGAGCGAGAGACCCCAGUUUGUUUCUUCGAGGACCGAGCAAUGGGAUGACUUCCGAAGUAGACAAUAUAAGCAUUUGUGGAUGUGUAGUCGUCUUUGUUACCCACUCAAUCAGCAUCGGUGAAGGCAUGCAGAUCUGGUUUGUUGUUCGCUCGUAGAUAGAUGCCGUGAGAUAUAGUACCAGAGAGGUAGCGCAGGAUUCUUUUUACGGCAGUCCAAUGUUCAGUGGUCGGACGAUGCAUGAACUGAGAUAGUUUGUUAACAGAGAACAAGAUAUCAGGCCUAGUAAGGGAGAGAUAUUGAAGACUCCCCACAAUAAUUUGGUAUUCUGUUGCAUCAUCUAAGGCAGUACCGGAGAGAAGAGUGAGCGAUGAGUUGGCUUCCAUUGGUGUUGAGACAUGUUUAGCAUUGGUCAUGUUGGCCUUGUGCAUUAAAUCUGCAAUAUAACGACGUUGUGUUAGGUGUAGUCCAUCUUUCGUACGAGUUACCUUAAUACCUAAAAAUAAGAUAAAUCACCUAAGUCUUUAAGGGAGAAACGUUGAGAAAGGGAAGCGAUAAACCGAGAAAUAUGAGAGGAACUGUUGCCAGUGAUUAUGAUUUCGUCGACAUAAACAAGCAUGUAGAGAAGAAUGUCGUUCUGCUUAUAUAUGAACAGAGAGGCAUCAGCGACAGAGUUUGUGAAGCUGGAUUGAGGGAGAAACGUGCACAGCUCAUUGUACCAAGCUCUUGGAGCUUGUUUAAGGCCGUAGAUGGCUUUAUGGAGUUUGCAUAUUGCUUGUGGAUUUUCUUUGUCUUGGAAACCAGGCGGUUGGAUCAUAUAAACUUCAUUUUGAAAAUGUCCUUGUAAGAAGGCAUUGUUGACGUCAAGUUAUCGCAUCGACCAAUUCCGUGAAAAAGCUGUUGCGUCUACCACUGCUGAAGUUUGCUGGAUUUCGUCUCUCCUAUCAGAAUUGGGCAUCGAUGUCACAUCCACUCUAGUCAUUUAUUGUAACAACAUAGGAGCUACAUAUUUGGCAGCAAACCCUAUUUUUCAUUCUAGGAUGAAGCAUAUCGCUUUAGACUACCAUCUCGCACGUCAGUUUGUUCAGUCUGGUCAGCUGUGGGUUACUCAUGUCACAUCUGCGGAUCAGUUGGCUGAUGCUCUCAUGAAACCACUCUCCCAAGCUCGAUUCCAUACUCUUUCUAUCAAGAUCGGACUCUCACCAGGCCAUCCAUCUUGAGGGAGUGUGAUAGAAUAUGAAAACACAUAUUCCUCAUAUCUCGUCAUAUCCUAUAAUCAUCUCCUAUAAUCGCUCAUAUAGUUAAUGUAGAUUAACGUUGUAUAUUGGCCUCUCCUCUUGUAUACAUUGUGACUAUACUUCAUCAAUAAUACAUAUCGAUUACCAUACUCAAUACUUGAUACAGCUAUGAUAGAAGAUCAGCAGUUACGUUUGCUUCUCGUGUUUGGAAUGUAAUCUUUAUCAGGUUGAACAUUUUAAUUUCGAUUAAUGAUGUAACGUUCGAGUUAGGAAAAACAUAAGUUUUUUCUUUACAAGACAAAUUAAGAUUGUCAUUAUGCCCGUUCUUCUUUAAAUAUUUAGGGAAGGAGAGUAUUAACUUACUCAAACUCGAAAGGAAAAGCAAUGGUGUAGUAUAGGAGUAUCCAUUAACGAUCUGUAACGAACAUUACUAAACGACUCAUGUUUCAAAUGAAGAAAAUUAUAAUUUACUAACAAUUAUUUUGGGUAUAUCUUACGGUCUUACAUGGUGUUUAAAACUCUCUUAUCCUAAGAUAUAACAACAAAAUACCAUAUUCGUAUUCAUUUAGUAUAAUCUUUUUUUUUUCCUUACUUUACCGUUACAUCAUUCAAGCAAACAACACCUUUUGAUCAACACAAUAAUAGAACACACAAAUGAAUUACAGAACGUGAGUAGUGUUAAAAAGAGAAAAUUUUACUUGACAACAAAUCAAAUGAGAAUUUUCACACAAAAACAAGAAAAAAAAAAGAGAGAAAACUUAUUACCCUGAAAUUGAAUAUUCUAUUUUCAGAGAAAUAUGAAACACUCUACGCAACAAGCGGGUUCUCUAACAAUUCCUCAGUGGUAUAACCGUAAUUCUGAUACUGUUGCUGAUCCGACCCGUUUUUGCUCGGAUCUAGCCUAACCCGAGCCGGAGGCUGAUUGUUUUUCAUAGUCCCUGCCCCACCCACCCGACUCUGAUUCGAAUCCAUCAUGGAUCUGUUCGUUGCCGGUGAUCUCGUCCUUCUUCCGGAUCUCUCACCAUUACACGUACCCGAACCGAAUCUCGCUCCAUUACACGUACCGGUGUUUCUCUUACGAGGAGAUUGAUCGGUUCUUCUUCGGGUCGGGUAAUUAUUCCCUGUGACCCGGGUCCAAGAUUUAGCCGGAGAUCUCUGAGACAUGACUAUAAACCACCUCGACCUCACGAAGAUUCGCCAUACUCACCAGCAAUGGCUUUUCUUCAAAACCGAGAAUACACAGAUAAUUGAUGCAGUUAGCCAACCUUGGAUCGCCUAUGUGGAGUAGUUGUCGUUUUGGUGUCUAAGUCGUUUCUUAAUGGGCUUGCGACAUCAGGUGGGCUUCUACGUUUUACAAGUCUCGACUAAAAACAAGAGCUGGGCCUUACGGGAAAAUUGGCCCGAGCUCAAGGUUGUUAAAAACAAUCAUCGUUGACCAAGUCUUCGUCUUCUACAAUUGGAAUAACAGAACAGAGAGAGAGCGAAUUCUACAGAGUUCUAGAGAGAGAAAGUUUUCUUCUCGGUGAUCGGAGUUACAGCGAUCGGGUUGGUCGAUCUCGGAGGUCUCUGCGUCGAUUCUUUUCCAAGAGUUUUCCCUGCAAAUAGCUGUAGAAAGAUUCAGCAAAAGGUUCACUUGUAUAUCUGUUCUAAACGUUGAUAUAGUGAACGCAUGGUAGUUUAGUUCUACCCCCAGACGUACCGCGAGGGAACUGGGUUAACAAGUUUGCCUGUGUCAUUAGUCUAGAUUCUUCCGCAAGAACACCUUAGUUGAAUCUAGCUCAAUCGAAUUGAUCAAGCUUUUGGGACUAAGAAAUUGAUUCUAGUGUUAGUCGGAUUUCUUAACAAAGUGGUAUCAGAGCAUAGGCUUAUAGAUCGCCGGAGGGAUUACGGUUAAGUGAUCAGGGGGCGAUCUUGGAUCUGAGUUCGAUUGGUUAUCUUUGAAAUUCCUGAAGUCAGUCGAGUUUCUUCUUGGACCAAGUUAUUACUGCAUUCUUUUGGUCUUGGCUCAAGAACAGGAAAGAUGGAAGCAGUUAAGAAGUUUGAGAUGGAGAAGUUUGAUGGCAAAGGUGAUUUCGGUAUGUGGAAGUUUCGCAUGUUGAUGCAACUUGAGUUGCAAGGUUUUGGGAAACAAGUAAAGGAAAUCACAGGAGAGGUUAAGGAUGACACAAAAGGCAAGGACUUAGAAGAAGUGGACUCUGAAACAGGUGUGGCGUUAACUCCGGACCAGAUCAUAGAAAGAGAUGUGAGAAUCCGGAAUCUCAUAUGCUCAAGCUUAACAUCAAUGGUCCUCAGAAAAGUCAUGAAGGAAACGACAGCAGCUGGUGUGUGGAAAGCCUUAGAGGCUGAUUAUCAGACGAAGACUCUACCUAACAGAAUCUAUCUCAAGCAACGGUUUGCAAGUUACAGGAUGGACAAGAAUAAAUCAAUAGAUGAAAACAUGGAUGGUUUCUUGAGACUGGUUGAUGAGUUGGAAAGUUUGAAUAUCCAGAUAAGCGAUGAAGAUUAAGCCAUUCAAGUGUUGUCCGGGUUGCCCGAACAGUAUGCUUCUUUGGUGCACACAUUGAAGUAUGGAAACAAAGGCAAGGAUACCCUGACACUAGCUGAAGUGGUGCAAUCAGCUCACGCAAAGGAGGUGGAGCUUCGUGAGUCUGGUCUCUUGAAUAAGUCAAACCACACAUCAGAAGGGUUAUACGCGGGUCAAGGAAAGUCUGUAAAGAAAAGCAAAGGAAAGUUUGCUGGGGGAAAACAGAAGUCUGGGAAAUCAAAGAAGGAUUCCCAGGGAGGACAAGUCAAAGCACGAGAGUGCUGGGUGUGUGGCAAGGAAGGUCAUUUUAAGAAAGACUGUCCACAAAAGAAAACUCAGGCAUCCUCAAGCUCAGCAAAUUUGGCUCAAGAAAGUGAGAAACCAAUGAUUCUCACGGCGAGCACAAAAUAUGCUAAAGACGAGUGGGUGCUGGAUUCAGGGUGUACGUUUCACAUCACACCAGAAAAGGAUCUACUAUUUGAUCUCACGGAAUUUAAUGGAGGAAAAGUGUUAAUGGGAAAUAACACAUUUAGUGAGAUCAAAGGUAUAGGAAAACUGAAGAUUGUUAAUCCAAGCAAUUCAACAGUUGUUCUAACUGAGGUAAGAUACAUGCCAUCAAUGGGCAGAAAUCUGAUUUCCUACGGACAGUUGGAAAAGGAAGGAUGUUCUUAUGAAGGGAAAGAUUUCACGGUCACAUUCAAAAAGGAUGGGAAGAAUGUUCUUACUGGAAAGUAUAAAGACGGGCUCUACUACUUACAAGGGUCAGUAGUUGAAGGAGAGGUGGAUACAGUUUCUAGAGCUGCGGUUAAUCUGACAAACAGGUGGCAUUCCAGGUUGGGGCACAUGAGCUUAAAGAAUAUGAAUCAGUUGGUUAAAGAUGGUUAUCUUAACAAAAAGGAAGUUCAUACUCUGGAUUUUUGUGAAGAAUGUGUUCUUGGGAAAGCACACAAGUUAAGUUUUCCAACAGGCAAGCAUACAUCAACCGUGAACUUAGAAUAUGUUCACAGUGAUCUUUGGGGAUCUGCAGCGAAUUCUGAGAGCUUAUCAGGCUGUAAAUAUUUCUUGACCAUCAUUGAUGACUAUUCCCGAAAGGUCUGGAUCAGAUUUCUAAGGAGUAAAGAUGAAGUGUUUGGAAAUUUUUCAGAAUGGAAGCUCUUGGUGGAAAAUCAGACGGGUAAAAAGAUCAAGUGUCUCAGGACGGAUAAUGGGUUGGAAUUUUUCAAUGUUCAAAUGGACAAGAUAUGCAAGGACUCAGGAAUAAAGAGGCAUAGGACCUGUACCUAUACUCCACAGCAAAAUGGGGUUUCAGAAAGGAUGAACAGGACCAUUGCUGAUAAGGUUAGGUGUAUGUUAGCGGAAUCUGGAUUGGAGAAAAAGUUUUGGGCAGAAGCAGCAUCUACAGCAGUAUAUCUCAUCAACAGGACACCUAAUGCAUCACUUAAGUUCAAGAUACCAGAAGAGUUGUGGUCAGGGACAAAAAUCGGAUAUGAUCAUCUCAGAAGGUUCGGGUGUAUAGCUUAUGUUCAUACUAUUCAAGACAAGAUCAGUCCUCGGGCUUUAAAAGGUAUUUUUAUGGGGUAUCCUCAUGGAACCAAGAGUUACAGGAUCUGGUUGUUAGAAGAACAAAAGACUACAAUCAGCCGAAAUGUUAUCUUUGAUGAAUCCAGGGUGUAUAAGGAUUUGGGGAAAAAUGAAGAAGAAAGCCUUGAACUUAGUGAAAAGGUUGUCAUUAACCCAAAGACUAAGAAGGUCCCAGGCUCAAGGGUCACAAGAGUAAACAGAGCAGGCUCAUCUGGAAGGAGACGAUCUACGGUUCAAGGUGGAGCUGUUUCAGUUGAGUCAGAAGAUUCAGAUACCGAAGAAAAUGGGUCUGAGGGUGAUCAAGAAGAUGGUUCUGAACAGGAAAAUGCAGGGGUGGAAGAAAAUCUAGAUAACUAUAUCUUAGCUAGGGACAGAGAAAGAAGAACGAUUCGUCCCCCAGCAAUGUUUGAAAGUGGGGACUAUGUUGCUUAUGCCCUAGCAAGUGCAGAAUUGAUUGAACCUCAAGAACCGAGAACUGUUUCAGAAGCGAGAAGAAGUAAAGAGUGGAAACAGUGGAAUGAGGCCAUGGUAGAGGAGAAGCAAUCUCUUGAUAAAAAUCACACAUGGGACAUUGUGGAUAGACCUCAGAAAAAGAAGAUCGUUGGUUCGAAAUGGAUUUUCAAAUUGAAAGAGGGAAUUCCAGGAGUUGAACCACCUAGAUACAAAGCAAGACUUGUAGCUAAGGGAUUCACUCAGGUGGAAGGAAUAGACUACAACGAGAUCUUCUCUCCAGUAGUGAAACAUGUCUCGAUAAGGAUAAUGCUAUCAGUGGUUGUGAAUUUCGAUAUGGAACUCGAGCAACUAGACGUGAAGACUGCAUUCCUUAAUGGUAAACUAGAUGAAACUAUUUACAUGGAACAACCAGAGGGUUUUAUCGAGAAAGGAAAUGAAGGAAAGGUAUGUCUGUUGAAGCGGUCUCUUUAUGGUUUAAAACAGUCGCCGAGACAGUGGAAUCACAGGUUCAAUGAGUUCAUUCAGUCACAAGGUUUUAAGAGAAGUGUGAAGGAUCCAUGCGUGUAUUACAAAGGUUCAGUUGUGGAGGAUAGUGUCUACUUGUUAUUAUAUGUUGAUGACAUGUUAAUAGCAGCUAGAGACAUGGUGAAGAUCAGGGCACUAAAGAAGAGUUUGAGUGCAGAAUUUGAAAUGAAGGAUCUUGGAGCAGCUAACAGAAUUUUGGGAAUGGAGAUCAUAAGAGACAGGAAAAAGGGAAUUCUGAAGCUUUCACAGGCAAGAUACAUAAGUCAAGUUUUAAGGACGUUUAACAUGAAAGAAAGUAAGCCUGUUGUCACGCCAAUAAACUCAUUGUUCAAACUUAGAAGUUUAUCAGAGGAGGAGUUAAGGGUUGAAGCUUCUCUAAUGGAAUCAGUUCCCUAUGCAAGUGCAGUGGGAAGUCUGAUGUAUGCCAUGAUUGGGUCAAGACCGGAUUUGGGUUAUGCAGUUUGUUUGGUGAGUCGGUUUAUGGCAAAGCCAGGAAGGAAUCAUUGGGCUGCUGUUAAAUGGGUUUUGAGGUAUCUUCGGGGAGCUACAGAUUUAAGUUUGACUUUCUCAAGGGCUGAUUCAAUGGAAAUUGAAGGUUUCAGUGAUUCAGAUUAUGCUACUGAUCUUGACAGAAGAAGAUCAGUAACAGGUUAUGUUUUUCAGGUUGGAGGAAAUACUGUUAGUUGGAGGUCCACAUUGCAGCAUGUAGUGGCUUUGUCCACCACAGAGGCUGAAUAUAUGGCCAUGUCAGAAGCAACUAAGGAAGGUUUAUGGUUAAGGGAAUUUUGCAACGAGUUGGGGUUUAAUUUUGAGUAUUUUAAGCUACAUAGCGACUCUCAGAGUGCUAUCAAUUUGGCUAAAAAUGCAGUUCAUCAUGACAGGACAAAGCACGUUGCUACCAAGAUUCAUUUUAUCCGAGACAUCCUAGAUGAAGGGCUAAUCCGCAUUGUUAAAGUUCACACUACUCUAAAUCCGGCAGAUAUGUUGACUAAGAGUUUACCUGGAAAUUCUUUCGAGAAGUGCCUCGUAACUCUCAAAGUCGUCGCCUGAUCGUCUACAGGCGUACUCGUUGAUGGCUCUGUUGGUUGGGCCAUCUCGCACGAGAAAUAAGGAGGAACAGGGUUAGUUUCUCGGUGGAAAAGAUUAAACCAACAAAGUUCAGAAGGUAAAUUCUGAGGUAUCUGGUAAAAGAUAAACAGGAGAAGAGUUUUGGUGUACAUGCAUGUGUUGAGGGGACUUACUUAGCACAAGGAGGAAGCGCAUCGUACUCUUGCAUCUCGGCCUGAGCUGUUUUUUCUCGGGAUAAGGAGAAGUCACGGCGAAGAAGAGAUAGAAGUUAGUAUAACUUCGUGUUUCUAAUUCUAAGAUCUGAAGAGAAGUUCAGAGGUCACUUACUUAGAGGAGAACUGAAGUCGAUUGGAGCUGGAGGCGGCGGUAAGGUCAGCGACGGUGAGGUCGGAGGAACCAAGGUCGUGAGCAGGAUCGAUUCAGGAGGUGUUUGCGGUGGAGUAGCUGGAGGAGUCAAAGGAGGUGACUCCAUAACCUAAGUCGCUGUUGAGUCGGCUAGGGUUGGUGAAGAGACAAGACAACGACAAAGGUGGAGAUUUGUGGAGUAGUUGUCGUUUUGGUGUCUAAGUCGUUUCUUAAUGGGCUUGCGACAUCAGGUGGGCUUCUACGUUUUACAAGUCUCGACUAAAAACAAGAGGAGCUGGGCCUUACGGGAAAAUUGGCCCGAGCUCAAGGUUGUUAAAAACAAUCAUCGUUGACCAAGUCUUCGUCUUCUACAAUUGGAAUAACAGAACAGAGAGAGAGCAAAUUCUACAGAGUUCUAGAGAGAGAAAGUUUUCUUCUCGGUGAUCGGAGUUACAGCGAUCGGGUUGGUCGAUCUCGGAGGUCUCUGCGUCGGUUCUUUUCCAAGAGUUUUCCCUGCAAAUAGCUGUAGAAAGAUUCAGCAAAAGGUUCACUUGUAUAUCUGUUCUAAACGUUGAUAUAGUGAACGCAUGGUAGUUUAGUUCUACCCCCAGACGUACCGCGAGGGAACUGGGUUAACAAGUUUGCCUGUGUCAUUAGUCUAGAUUCUUCUUUCCGCAAGAACACCUUAAUUGAAUCUAGCUCAAUCGAAUUGAUCAAGCUUUUGGGACUAAGAAAUUGAUUCUAGUGUUAGUCGGAUUUCUUAACAGCCUAAUAUAUGCUUCAAACCCAACUCGGUAGAGAUCGUUUUGUCUAGAACUUGUAGAUACUCCAAGGGCUGCAGCUCCGUCAACAAGCUAACAUCUCCAUGAACUUUAGAAUCUUCUAGUUUCAAAAUUCUUAAACUCGACAGCUUUGAUAUCCCACUGAUAAUAUGAUUUAACUUCAGAUAAAUUAGCUUUUUCAUAUCUUGGAAACCAAGUGCCAGUUGCUCUAUACUUGUGUUCCACAAGUUAAGAUACUGCAACGAAGCCAGCUUCGAUAUCUGCUCAGGAAAUUCUUUGAAAUCGAAAUUAUCUGAUAGAUCCAAAACAACUAGCUUUUGCAUAGAGCCGAUGAAUUCACCUAGAAAUUUCUUCAAACUAUUAUUCUGGAGGAGCAGAGUUGUAAAGUGUUCUGAAGAGUUGUAAGUUCAGAACACUUGGAACCGCAUGUUAUCUCUUCAAUAUUAUUUUUCAGAAAUCCUUCUCAUAUCUCCCCAAUCCUUAAAUUUUGGCAUUUCGCAUCAUCUGACUCCUGCUUGUAUUAAGAGAUAUUAGAAGAUAUUAGGCUUAUUGGACGUUGUAUAGAUAAUUAUUAGAAUUAUUAGAGUAAUUUGUUGAUCUCCAACAGGUUUUGACUCAAAAACGUUUUGACACAACUGACUCUUAAGAAAAACAAACACAAUGUCAGCAACUACCUCCCCCAGACUUGAAUAACACUGUCCCCAGUGUUAUCUAGUCCGAAGGUGGCGAAACAAAAUAAAAGAAACAGAGAAACGCAGGAAAAACAGAGAACUUACCUGGCUGCAAUGAUGGUGUCGCGCGACACUGAUGAUGGUGUCGUGCGACACUUGUUUUCCUCGUACCGAAUUGCAGCAGACCAAUCCGAAUUUCUGGUUUGACUCCGGUUGCCUGAUUUCCUAAAUUUCUUUUUUUUUUUUUAAAUAGAAGCAAGUGACAAGCGACACCGAAGGUGGUGUCGCUCGACACUAACAUCUGCUUCACCUGAGACACGAAAAGAAAAACGAAAAUCAACUGAAACAAAAAGACUUAUGCACAGACUCACCAGUGGAUUGCCUUCCACCAAGCGCUUGUUUAAAGUCAUUAGCUUGACUAUGGAUAGACUAUGCAUCUGGUGGAUCAGACAGUGGCAAAGAGUGCCUCUGUGAAAUUCGUCUCAUCCAUGGUGGUGUGUAAGCGUUGUGCGCAUGAGGUCGUCCAAGGAAUGCAGGAAUAGCACCAGGGUGAGAUCUGUGUUUGGGUGGCCUUGACCUAUUCCCUGCAAUAUCAUCAAACGAAAAACCAAGUGCUCUACGAUAAUCUCGUAGCUUGCGUUGUGAGACAGAGCCUGCAUCCUUUGAAUCAGUUCCAAUGAUAUCACGAGAAUUAGGCUUAGGCUCAAGAGGUGCGUAUCUUUGCUUUGGUGGAGAUGGAUGGAGUGCAAUGUUUGGAGCUUCCUGAUCAACAGCAGUCACUGGUUCUGUGGACGUUUUCGUCAACUCAGAUUGAUCUCUCACCAUCUCAGCAUCAAACACGUUCUGAUCUCCAACUAUCACCUCAGGUAUUGCAGUGACUUGGAAUGUCUGACCAUCUAUGGUGGGAUCCUUCAGAUCUUCCCAGGAUAAGAGGAUCUUUGGGUUCCUCUCCAUAUUGCAGAACCACGAAAUCUGUAGGAAUUAUGCAAUCACCAACUUUGAUUGGAACAUCUUCCAAGACACCUUUUGGGAUUCUUUUAGACCGAUCUGCUAGGAUCAAAGAGAUCUUAGUUGGCUUGAAGUCAGUCAUCCCAAGGCUAACAGCUACAGAGUGUGGCAUGAGGUUGACACUCGAACCAAGAUCACACAGCGAUCUCUUGAACCUCUCUGAGAAGAUAGAGCAGUCCAAAACAAAACUUCCUGGGUCCGAGAGCUUUUCUGGAAUCUUAUUAUGAAUCACAGAACUGACAUGUUUAGAGAUCAUCAUCGCUCCUUCCUCAUGACCCACAUUAUUAGUCACCAUCUUCUUCACAUAGUGUCUGAGAGUAGGAGCAAUCUUCACAGCAUCAACCAAAGGAAUCUCAAUCACAAGCUUCUCCAUCAAAAACUUGCAUCUGGCAUCAUCUAGCUCCUGCUUGGACUUCCUAGGACUCCUUGGGUAAGGAACCUUAGGUUUGUAAACCUUUUCCUCAGCAGAUUUCGGACUUUGAGCAAUAUUAGCUUUGCUCUGCAAUUGGUGACGCGCGACACUGGUUGUGGUGUCGCUCGACACUGGCUCUGCAGUUUCGAAAUUUUUUUCAGAUUCGUCAAACUCCACGAUUUCAUCCUCAAAAACACCCUUUUUCAGCACAGGAGUCAACUUUUUACCACUCCUUGACGAGAUGGCACUGCAGUAAUGCCUAGGAUUGGUAUCAGUCUUCCCAGGAAGGAAUCUUUCUUGCCUUUUUACAGACUCUGCAGUCUGAGCAACCUGAGUAUCAAGCUUCUUGACAUGAGUGUUCAGAACUUCAAUUUUUCCAUUCAGAUCCAGAUAUAGAGCAUCAAUCUUCCCAUUGAAAUCCACAGUCAUCUUCUGCUGACCUUCCAAAAUCUGUUCCAGCAUAGACUUCACCUCAUUAUCUGGAGUUUGAGUAGGAAGAGAACCAUAGUUCCUUGAAAACCUGUUGUUGGAGUAGGAUGUCUGGUACUGAGGUUUGGAGCUGUAACCAGAAGAGUUCUGAUUACCUGUGAAGGUACUCCUCUGAUUAUUUCCAUUGUAAUUCGUGUUCCCUUGCCCAGAACCAAAUCUCUGACCCUGAAAUCCAGCUCCAUUGAUGAAGUUAACAUCCUCUUCCUCAAAAGCUUCAUCUGGUCCGAAAUUCUGAACUCCUGCAGGGUAUCUGACAGAUUUCUUACCCACAAGAAGACUAUGCACAGAGUCAAGCUUAGCCUUCACCUCAGCAAUUUGCGAUCCAUCCAGGUUCCCAGCCUGCUUCCUUCGCCGAUAGUCUGCAUUCUUGGUACUAUUGCUAGAUGCCAAGUUUUCGAUGAGCUCAACAGCUUCGUCUGGGUAUCUGGUGUUGAAGUUUCCAUUGCUCGCUGCAUCAAGAGCCAUCUGAUACCUCCAGUCGAUACCUCUAAAGAAAAUACCCAGCAACUGCACAUCGCUGAAGCCAUGAUGGGGACAGUCUCGCUGGUACGAUUUGAAUCGCACCCAGGAAGCUUUGAACGCUUCAGUUGGUUCCUGAGAGAAUGUCGAAAUUUUCGUCCUCAACUCCUCAGACCUAGCAUCAUCGAAGAAGUUGUGCAGGAAAGCAUUCCUGGUCUCUUCCCAAGUAGUGAGUGAUCCUGGCUCCAACUGCUUCAACCAGUUAGCUGCCUCUCCAGCAAGAGAGUAAGGAAACAGCUUGCAGAGGAGGAAAUCAUUGGACACUCCAUUGUAUUUGAUGCUGGUGACCAAGUCCUCAAACCUCUCGAUGUGAUCCAUAGGGUGCUCAUGAGAAAGACCAUGGAAAGGAUGCUGACCCACGAGAGUGUAAUACACAGGCUUGAGCUCAAAAUCAUUCCUCUGAAACGCAGGAGCGCGAAUCGCAGACCGAUUUGCAUAGAAUUGCUCAGGCCUGUUGUAGUCACCCAGCGUCCUGAUGAUGUUACCCUGUCCAUCAAGUCGCUGGCCUCUCUCAUUGCACACAUGACCCUCUCGGUCUCUCCAGAUUCUAUCAUCAUCACGAACAAGUCCAAUGGCGUUUUCCAUCAUUGCCGGAUCUCUUGCUUUCCUGUUCGUUCGCUCUAACUCAGCUAGCUCCUCGUUGCUCAAAUUAACUAGCGGGAUGUCCUUGUUGCUCCUGGUUCCACGAGUAUGCAUAAACCUGAAACACCAAAAACAAAGAGAGAAAACGAGAUAAGUAAACUAGGUUAUAAAAAGAAGGGUGUCGCGCGACACUAGGUCGAAAAACUUAGUCGAAACUCAAAAACUAGGUUCAAUGGCGAAAUCAAGUCCCCGGCAACGGCGCCAAAACUUGAUCUGCUCAAAGUUUAAUCCCUAGAGCUACUCUGCAAGAGCACAGAUGUGCAAUUGUAGUAUAAUAGGGGUCGAACCACAGAGACGAGAGAUCACUCAAUAAACCUUAUAGAGAUUGAAUUACGCUAAGCAGAAAUAUUGUAAAUAAAUAGCAAUGCAACAGAAUUAGACUAAGCAGCAAUAAAAACGGUUUGUAAGAUUCAGAUGGAUGGAGAUUAGGCUUAGGGCGUUUCUCAGGAAAUCAAUGCAUGCAGAACAAUCGAUAAAUUAGGGUUCAGGUUUAAGCACGGUUCUUGAACUCGAAUCACAGAAUUAUAAUUAACCAACUUCCGUUGUGAGAAUUAUCUAAGUUAAAAUCCUAGAAUUCCAAAUUCCUUUGCAAACCCUAAAGAUUUAAACCAGCUUUAAUGCUCAAGUUCGAUAUGUUCACAAAGUAUCUAAACCAAAUUCCUUUGCGAAUAGCUACUUUGCUCACCCUAGGUUCUUUCCAGUUAUUCAAUUACACUUCCGUGUCAAUUAAGCAACCUAAGAUCUAAGUGCUAGGUGGCCAAUCCAGAAUUAGCUUUAAGAACAACCUAUGGUGAAGAACUAAAUAGAUUAUGAACCCUAACUAACCAAUCAAUCUAACAUCCAAUGAAAUCCUUUAUGAGAACCCUAAACCUAACAAGCAAACUACUCAGACAUGGAGAUUGAAGCAAUAAGCAUCAAUGAAUAGAUUGCAGAAAACAGUAAAUAGAUUAAUAAACAGGGGUUCGAAAUCUUCUCUCUCCGGAACAGAGUUUCAGACUUGUCUCCCCAAAAACUCUCAAAAACAAAAACUCUCUCUAAGAAAAUCUAAGGUAAUCGUAAAAAGGGAAUAAAAGCCCUAUAUAUAUCUCUAAGACACGUUUUGGGCUUCCUUGAAAACGUUUGGGCCCAACUCCUUCUUCAAAUAGGAAACAAAAUCACGUUUUCCUUAUUUCUGCAACAAGUGUCGCGCGUCACUCUCCAUGGUGUCGAGCGUCACUAAAGCACAAAAUCCAUACUUGACGAAUUUGAUCCUGAUUAAGCUCCAAAGUGCUCCAAAGUCUCCAGUUAAGCUCCAAACGUACCUAUGACCUGAAAAGACUCCAAAAGACUCGAAAGACACUAAAAAGACUCUAUAAAUAAGACUUAUACCAUGGUUAAAAACCAUAAAAACCAUGAUAUAUCAUUUGUCUCACAUUGCUAGUUUUUAACUCAAGGUUGACUAAUGUACGUAUUUUUAGGCAGAUGAAUAAAUCACUUCCGCAAAUUACUUUGACAUGGUAUCAGAGCCUAAGACUACAUAAAAUUUUGGUCUAGCUCUUGAAUCAGAGCCUAAGGCUACAUAAAGUUUUGGUCUAGCUCUUGAUUCAAAUUCUUGUUUAUAAGUUGUGGUUUAUUGGAAAAGCAAACCGACGAGGUCUUGCUCUUUUAUUUUUGGUGAACUCGGACCAACGAGGUUCGGGAUUUCUGUAAAGCCAUAAGGGCUUGGAAUUUUUUUAUUCGGUGGAGAAACCUUGGGAAUUUCUCUGUUUUUUAGAAAAUAUGAGAUUUCAGAGUUGAGGAAUUAAGUGUUCUUAUUGUUCGAAGUAUGGUCAUGAUAUGAGAUCAUGUUAUCAGGUAUAUGGAUAUCCAGAUUGGUAGCUGGAGAAGUAUGAAAAACCUACGAAACAUGUGUCACACUCUGAAAAACGUGUGUCACACACGGAGGCGUUACAGGUUGAUCCACAAGCUAUGACAGGGCUCAAGAAAGAUCAAUGGCAUAAGCUUGUUCGAUUCGAGAUUAGAGAUAGCAAAUUGUGUGAGUGAUAACACCUAUACAGAUAAGUGGAUUAUUGAUAGUGGUGCGUCGCACCAUAUGAUGGGUACGUUAAUUGGUAUGUUUGAUGUGCAUAAAGUCUCACCAUGUUUAGUGGGUCUGCCUAAUGGAAAUGUUAUGGUUGCUGUUAGAAAAGGAAGUGUGGCAUUGACGGAGAACUUAACUUUGACACAUGUGCUUUUUGUCAAGUAACUCAAGUACAAUCUCAUCUCUGUGUCACAGAUUAUUGAUCCAAUGAAUUGCAUUGUGUUGUUCUCCAAGCAAAUGUUUCGGAUACAGGAUCUUGCUUUGCAAAUUCUGAUUGCAGUGGGUGAAAGAAAAGAUGGAUUGUAUUUUCUUCAAGGUAUUCAGAAGACCGUGAAUGUGGCGAAGGUCAGUAAGUUGGGAUCUUUGGAACUUUGGCAUAAAAAGAUGGAACAUGCUUCUGAAAAGGUUAUUAGGAGAUUGCCAGAAGUGGAUCAAAAGAGUGUUAGUGUUUCCGAUUGCGAUGUCUGUUUCCGAGCAAAGCAGUGUCAGGAUGUAUUUCCUGUGAGUACAGAGAAAAGCAAAGAAUGCCUUGAGAUGAUUCAUUGUGAUUUGUGGGGGCCAUAUCGAACACAGAGCGUGUGUGGAUCCUUAUAUUUUUUAACUAUCGUGGAUGAUUAUUCUAGAACUGUGUGUGUUUUUCUUCUUGCUGAUAAAACACAAGUUCAUAAAACAAUGGUAAAUUUCUUUGCUCUCAUUCAGCGUCAGUUUGAGAAACAUGUGAAAAUCGUGCGAAGUGAUAAUGGUAGUGAAUUCAUGGGUAUGAAGGAGUAUUUUUGUACAUCAGGGAUAAUUCAUCAAACUUCGUGUGUAGGAACUCCUCAACAAAAUAGUAGAGUGAAGCGAAAACAUCAACAUAUACUGAAUGACGCACGAACGUUGAGGUUUUAGGCAAAUUUACCAAUAGAACUUUGGAGUUAUUGUGCUUUGAGUGCUGCGUAUCUAAUUAAUCAUACGCCUUCUAUGUUACACAAUGGUAAGAGUCCUUAUGAAAUCAUCUUUGGAAAAGCUCCUGCUUAUAGUGAGAUACGAGUUUUUGGAUGUUUAGCGUAUGCUCAUAAUCAGAAACGUCAUGGAGAUAAAAUUGCGAGUAGAAGCAUAAAAUGUGUAUUUUUGGGAUACCCUUAUGCAAAGAAGGGAUGGAACUUAUUUGACUUGGAGACACGUGAGAUCUUUGUUUCUCGGGAUGUCACUUUUAUUAAGGAACGAUUCCCAUAUUUGGAGCUAACAAAUGCACAGCUGGAUGUGCCUUCUAAUUCUAAUCAAAUGAGGUUAUAUGUGGAUGAUAAUGCUGGAUUUGACGAUAUAGAACCUGCCUUGACAAGGGAAAUUAUAUAACCUCUCACAAGAGAUACAAUGACACAGACUCAGGUUGUGUCAGACAAGGUUGCAGAAGAAAAAAAAUAGACUAUAGGAAACGAAAUACGUGAUAUCUUAGGAAUUACAGCGCCAAAAAUUGAACCUGCAUCGGUUACACAGUCUGAGAUUGUGCAGCCUGCUUUAGUGACAGAACCUGCAUUGGUUACACAGUUUGAGAAUGUGCAGUCUGCUUUAGUAACAGAACCUGCAUCGGUGACACAGGCUGAAACUAUGCAACAGCCUGCAUCAACAGAAACUUUGGGGCGAGGAAUGAGAAAGAAAGAAUCUUCUGUCAAGUUACGCGACUAUGUGUGCAAUACGACAUUUACAAUGAAUAUUUCCACUGUGAGUCAGGAGUUGAGUAAUGAUUAUGGUAUUGAGAAUUAUGUAAAUUGUGAAAGGUUCUCUGUGUCACACAAGGCAUUUCUGUGUAGUAUAACUGAAGGAGUUGUGCCGAAAAGUUUUGCUGAGGCCAUGAAGGAUCUGCGAGAUCUGCGAUGGAGAGAAGCUAUGAGACUCGAAAUUGAGGCCCAAGAACGAAAUCAAACAUGGUUGAUUGAACAAGUACCACCAGGUAAGCAUGUGAUUGAGUGUAAAUGGGUUUAUACAAUUAAGUAUAAUGCGGAUGGCUUGAUUGAAAGGUAUAAGGCGAGACUCGUGGCAUGUGGCAAUCGUUAAAAAGAAGGGAUUGAUUAUUCUGAUACAUUUGCUCCUGUAGCAAAGAUGAGCACAGUUCGAUUGGUUCUUCAAGUUGCCGCUGGGAAAAGUUGGGAGCUACAUCAGAUGGAUGUGUAAAAUGCGUUUCUUCAUGGAGAUUUGGAUGAAGAGGUUUUUAUGAGGGUACCUCAGAGUUUUGGUGCUUCUAAGAAGGGUAUGGUAUGUCGUUUGCGCAAGUCGUUGUAUGGUUUGAAACAAGCUCCGCGAUGUUGGUUCGUGAAACUUUCGAAGACAGUUUUAGGGUACGGUUUUACACAGAGUAAGGCUGAUUACUCUCUUUUCUCAUUAGUUUGUGAUAAAGUUCACUUGCACGUUCUAGUGUAUGUGGAUGAUCUUGUGGUGACAGGAAACUCUCUUGAGGUGAUACAAAAGUUUAAAACGUAUUUAAGCAAUUGCUUUCAUAUGAAGGAUUUGGGAAAAUUGAAAUAUUUUCUUGGAUUGGAAGUUGCAAGAAAUGCAGAGGGUAUAUACUUAUCACAGAGAAAGUAUGCUCUGGAUAUUAUUGCUGAUGUCGGUUUGCUUGGUGGUAGGCCUGUAGAGUUUCCGAUGGAGCAAAAUCAUCAGUUGGGAAGGUCGACGACAAAUAUUUUGAUUGAUCCAAAGAAAUAUUGGAUACUGGUUGGAAGGUUGAUUUACUUGGCUGCGACUAGACCAGAUCUUGCCUAUUCAGUUCACAUUUUAUCUCAAUUUAUGAAUGAGCCAAGAGAAGAUCAUUGGAUGGCUGCAUUGAGAGUUGUUUGUUACUUGAAAGGGUGCCCGGGAAUGGGGAUUUUGUUGAAAUCUGAUUGUAAUUUUCAUCUUACAGCUUGGUGUGAUUCAGAUUGGGCUGGAUGUCCAAUCACGAGGAGAUCUUUGAGUGGAUAGUUGAUAAAAUUGGGAAAUUCUCCUGUGUCAUAGAAGUCAAAAAAGCAAGAUGUUGUAUCAUGCUCUUCAACUGAAGCAGAGUAUCGAGCUAUGGUUUUGGCAUUGAAGGAGUUGAAGUGGUUAAAGAGUGUGUUGUUAACGAUGGGUAUUGCACAUUCUGGUCCAAUGGAUUUAUAUUAUGACAGUCAGUCUGCGCUUCAUAUUGCAGCUAAUCCUGUGUUUCAUGAGAGAACAAAACAUGUGGAGAUUGAUUGUCAUUUCAUUCGAGACGAUAUACAAGCUGGAAUUGUUCAGACCCAACAUGUUUCUACUACUCAACAGCUGGCGGAUAUCUUCACUAAAGCACUUGGAGGACGUCCGUUCAAAGGAAUUUUGUGCAAGUUAGACAUUCGAGAUCUUCAUGCUCCAACUUGAGGGAGGGUAUUAAGAGAUAUUAGGAGCUAUUAGGCUUAUUGCGCCUUUAUUUAUUAGAAUUAUUAGAGUAAUUUGUCUUACAUUGCUAGUUUCUAAGUCAAGAUUGACUAAUGUACUUGUAUAUAUAUGUGCAUUUAGGCUGAUGAAUAAAUCACUUCGGAAAAUUACUUUGACAUCUUGAACCAAAAAAAGUCUUGGAUGCAGUCCAUAGAGCCAUUUCGCGAACCACGUCAUGCAUCACAACACCUCUUCUACUAUUAGACUCUGUCAGUAAAUUUGAGUGGAUAAGGGUAUCAAGUACCACAUAACCCUUAUUCAUUGCCCUUUUAUAAGAUUUGUGUUCCCCCGAUGAAUCCCUCGCACAUCCAGUACUCUAUCAAUUCUUCUUUACUUAUUUGAAAAUCUUUUGACAAAGCACAAUAGAGGAAAUACGACUUGAUGUUGUUGAAACGUAAUCGUACUGAUUGAGCUCAAGCAACGACAAACUCUCACUCUAUUGAACUCUCUCUCUCUCUCUCUCUGAAGAUUCGCAUGAGUAUAAACGAGAGAAAGACGAAGAACACAGAGCACACGAUUUGAUUACCCAAAGUUCACCUCCUAGAUGAAGGCUACGUCUCUGGGGCCAGAUCUCGAGACGGCAAUUCCACUAACACGAAAAAAUCACAAGUCUCCAAGAACCGAGAGCUCGCGAGAAAGAAGACGAUAAGGUUUGUUACAACUGUGCUAACGGCUAGAUCCUAAUCCUUUUUAUAUACAAGAGGCUUACAACAAAACCGGAUAUUAACCAGAACCAAAUUAUAUCCUCUUAAUUGGACCAAUACUUGAUAACCAACUAAGAUGACUAACCAGUCUAAACCCAAACAUUAAUCUAGCCGUUAUACCAGAAUUGAAACUUAGACCAUAAUUCAACAGAUGUGUUCACCCACCAAGCUAUCAUAGCUGUACUUCAGAAUUAGAAGAAUUUUGUUUUCCAUGUCGGAAAACUCUGCAGCGGAUCUGGUCAAGACAUCGACUGCAAGCUCCCAUUCUUGUACCGUAGUUUGAUAUGACAUUGUCUCACCGAUGGCAAUUAGCGCUAGUGGCAGACCACAACAACUUUCAGCAACCUUUCUUGCGAGCUCGACAAUUUCAGGAUCACUUUUCAAAGUAUUGCCACCGACCAUUUUUUCAAACAAUUCCCAUGCUAUAUGUUUUUCCAGACAGUUGACUUGCAUUGGUUCAUGAUCCCCCAUCCGCUUACACACUUCGAGAGAACGAGUGGUGAAAGCUACUGUGCAUCCAUUGUGGGAAACGGAACACCAAUAGCUUCUAAAUCAACUUUCUCCCAUAUAUGAUCUAGCAUCAGAACAAAUCGCUUCCCUUUUAAAACUCUAGUUAUAUCAGCGGCCUUGUCACCUUCGUUUUUGUUCGUACACUCGCCGUCGCAAAGGUGUAGCUUUUGUGCAAUAUCUUCUUGAAGCUUUGAAAUAUUUGUGCCUUGAGAUACCACGACCCAGAUGAUAACUUGACACCCACCAGCCAUUUCACCGAACUUAUUGUGAAUUUUUUUUGAAAAGUGUAGUUUUUUCAACACCACCCAUACUGUGCAGGCCCAUGAUUCCGACUCCAUCUUUCAUAAGACGAUUCCAUGCCACUUCAAGCAUUAUUUCUAGGCCAAUCGUAGGCCCUGAAGGCCUGACUUCCACUACAGAUCUUGUAAGCGGCUCAGAUACCUCUUUAAAAUCACCUUCCAAUUUGAGAAUCUUAACUUCAUCCAACAACAAGAAUACAUUUUUCCCAAAUAGCUUGAGAAUACACUUUUUGAGCAUAAACCGCAGAGACACAACUUUGGAAGCUGAAUAGUACUAGUACUGAGCAGUUCAGUUACUCGUGUAUGGAUGCUCUCGACACAGUUACAAUAUAGAAGAAUCUAGAAGAUUCUAGAUAUUAUUGUUAAUAUUGUGUAUAUUAUUAUUUAGAUAUUAUAGAGAUUUGUAUCUAUCUUCUUUAGAAAAGAUCUAUGGUAUAAAUAUGUAUCUACUCUAUUCAUUAUAAUUAUGAGAGUCAAUAUACAUUACAAUUCUUCCAAUUCUAAACUCUCAUCACUCUAGUAGGUCAAGCCUUUUUCGAUGUUGUGUCUCCUCUAAUGCAACUCUGUUUUUCACCUGUUGUUGAAAUGCUUUGAGAUCUUCCAUUUCCCUCUGAAAAGUUCUUCUUGAGGUUUAGGAUAUAACCUUUACCAAGUAAGCAUCUAAAGAUACCAUUUACUGCUCCAUCACAAGAAAAAUUUGACACCCAAUUCUUAAUAGAUUAUAUGGUUACUGGUUUGUAGAUUUGUACAUUCUUAAUCGAUUCCACUAUUAUUCGUAAAUAGAUUAUAACAUUCUUUAAAAAUCCAUUGUUAUUGGUUUGAUGAUUUUUAUAAUCUAAUCAAAAUUCAUUGUUCUUCAAAAAGUUUAUAUUUUAAUGAUUUUAUAAUUAUAUUAAAAGCUAGUGUUAUUGGGAUAAAAAUUCUUUACAAUUCAACUCAUAAAUCAAGAUUUUUAAAAUACUAUCUAUAUCUAUUGAAUUCUUAAAAUCUGUCAUAGUAAAAUUAUUUUGUAAAUUGUUUUAAAUCCACAACACUCUCUUCAAAUUUUACAAAUCUAACAAAACUCUUGAAGAUUUGACUAAUCUUAUUACUUUUUAAAUCAACCAAAAUCUGUCAUAUGAUUUAAGGUGAUCCAGCUCUAUCUAUGCGCCACGUCAGCCUUUGUAAGGAGGACACAUCUCCCAUCUUUUAAUGCUUUUAUUUCAUCUUCUUCCCCCUCUAUUUUAUCUCAUAUUCCUUGUCUCACAGUGGCUCAAUCUCUCUUUUAUUUGUUUGCCAAUUUUGGGGAUUUGAAGACGGAAUAAAGAUUAAACUUUUUCUCAUAUUGUGUUCUAUGCAAUAUUCAAAUUAAGAUGAGAUGUGGAAAAAUCGUUAUAAAGAGGUUCUAGAAUGUGAAUAGCAGGCAAGUUACCUUCUCUAAGAGGCAUGAUGGGUUGUUUAAGAAGGCUCAUGAGUUAUUUGUUCUUCGCGACACUUUUAUCUCCGUCUUUUUACUCAUAUUAUGUUUAUGAUUUCUAGAAUAGUAGAAUAAUUUUCUUACUUACCCUACUUUCAAUCCUUAAAAAAAGUUAUUUGUUUGAUAAAGAUUUUAAUAAAAAAAAAACAAAUACCAAACAAUCAAGCAAAUUACCAUAUUUUUAUAAUUAACUACAUAUAUAUAUAUAUAUAUAUAUAUAUCAACACAAAUUAUUUUUAAAAAUAUUAUGUAAAACAAAACUCGCGCGUAUGCGCAGGUACAAGCCUAGCCUUUAUAAAUCCAAAUUCCAAUAACCUCUCUUAGCAUAAAUAAUAGAAAUGAUAAAACUAAAUAAAAUAAAUAAUUAACUUUAGAGUCGAUUACAACAUUCUCGAUUGUUAGACCAACAACAACUUCAUUUUGUUUUUUUUUUUGCAAAGUCUUAUAAUAUUCACCUUUUUUUUUAAAUAUUCUCCAAAAAAAUUUUAAUCAGAGAUUGAGUUGGAAAAAAAUAAAUUUUGGAAACAAAGAUUAUAAUUAGUUCAAAAAUGCUACCUUUUAAAAAAUGAUGAGUAAAAUAGAAGACAUUUCUUCUUAUAUAGAGGCUAAUCGUAGGGAUUCCAAUUAUGUUAUAUAGAUUUUCAAAAAUUUUGAUUUUUUAAAAAAUAAUCAGUAAUAAACAGAAAAAAUAUAAAAUAUGUUUGAUAACUAUAUUAGGUAACAACCAAAUUUCAUCUGCAUUAUAUUUGAAAAACUUAUAACUGAUAUUUUUGCAAGAUAGAUUUUUGUUUUUGUCUUGAAUAUUUUUUUUUAAAUGGUUAAACUACAAUGAUUUUUCCAAAAGUAUAAAAAAUCAGAAAAUAAUCGAUAAAAAUAUUGAAUGCAUAGUUUUAGUUAAAUAUUUUUCAAUUAUAAGCAAAUAGUUUUCGUCUCAUGCGCCGCGUGAACCGUGAAGUAUCUAUAAAAUAUUACUAAACAUGAUUUAAUUGAUUUAAAAUAUAAAUAAUUUAAUUGAUUUUAUAUGUAUGUUAAUAAUAUUAUGAUGAGUAAUGAUAUGAUUUUGUAUUAGUAUUACAAUUACAAAUAUAUAAUAGAACUAUAAGAUUUUAUUAUUGAUUUUCAUAUUGCUUUUGUUUUUCUUUUUUUUGUCGACUGCUUUUGUUUUAAAUAUGAAUGUAAUUAUAUAGUUAAUAGUUUAACUGAAAAAUCGAUAUAUUUUAUUGAAUAAAAAUUUUAGUAAUUUAUUUUGUUUUGUUUUUUCAAAUUCAAAUUAUCGCAUAUGCAUAAAAAUAUUAAAUUUUUAUAUGUUUGAUGUGAUAAUUAAUUCAGAAAAAAGUAAACAAAGAAAUAAAAAAAUAUAUAAUGAUUUAAAAAUAAUUCUUAUUAUAUAAUUGAAUAAGGAUUGAAUAUAAGAAAAUAAUUAAUAUGAUAUAAUUAAAUUUCAGAUAUUUUUGAUUCUAUUUGAUUGGCUAAUACAUAUGCUUUGAAAUUAUUUACUAGUUUUUGUGUGUCUAAUCAAAGAAAGAAAGAUUUUUUAAAAAAUUACUUUUAAUGAUUAGUUUAAUAAGAUAUAUUUGAUUUUUUAAUCAAAUUAAUAUGAAUGGAAUUAAUUAUAAUUAUUCUAGUAAUAUAAGUCUUUUUUUUCCAAAAAAAAUUGAGAGCAUAGCAAAAUUGUUAAUAUUACAUAUGACAAAUGUUAUUUUUAAAGUGUUUUUCUCAAAUAAUAAUAUAAAAGAUUUCAAAUUUCCACCGACAAUCAUUGACUUUGGAUUAUGAAAAUUUGUGAAAAACAAAUUACAACUCUUCAUUAACUUUACAUGUAUCCCAUUAAUUUAAACUGGUUAUACAAAUACUGUUGGCAUUCAAAUCCCUGCUCAAUGAAAAUAAACCCGUUGAUCAAAGAGUUAAAAAACAAAACAAAAAAGUGAAAAGCGAAGGAAAAGCUAGAUAACGAGCUAAAACAAGGGAACAAGACGUCAAGACCCCUACAUAUACAAAAGCAAACCCCUACGAGAACAACAAAACAAAACAGUACACUUGCAGAGAGAUAAGAAUGCAAAGGAUACAAAAGCAUAAAACAAUUUGAAUUGGUUUUAGUUUGACAAGGAAGCAACCCGUCUUAAGUUAUACAAUAGGAGAAUGAAAUACCUAAUCCAAGUGGCGUCACAACACACUUGCAGAGAGAUAAGAAUGCAAAGGAAAAACAAUAAUAGGAUAAUACAAUCCAUAUGAACAACACAUCACACAUCAAACAAUAAUACUCUGAAGAUCCCCUUUUACAUACGCAAAAACAUAAAACUAUUUGAUUUGCUUUAGUUUGAGAAGGACGCAAUCCGUCUUAAGUUGAUACAAUAGGAAAAUGAAAAACAUAAUCCAAGUGAACAACACAAAACACUGCAGAAGGAUACGAAUCAGUAAUGAUAUCCAAAAUGAACACAUCACACUACAAGAUCAAAGACAGAAGACGAAGAUGCGUAGAUUCUGUUCUUAGUGCCGAAUCCUUAUGCAUAGUGAAGGAUGUUUAGUAGACCUAAAGCAACAAACGAUGAAAAAAAAGAAACAAAAGUUAGUGAGUGACACUUGCGGGGCUCAUUGAAAUUGAGAGGCACAAGCAUAUUGAGUAUAUAUAAAUCUUAAGAAUCUGAACUACUUUUAGUCGUUUUCUUUUAAUAUUUCUAACCUCCCAUUUAUUUCUUGCUGAACAAGAAACCCAGAUGUGGAAGGAAAAGAAGAAGAAAUUGUUUGUGAUUUGAUCCUUUGAAGAGAUCAAUACACAUAUGUUUUUACAUUUUGAAAUAAUGAAACUAAUCCACCGAACACAUGCAUGACUUUUCUAAUAUUUUUUUUUUAUCAUGUUGUCCAAUUUGUGUUUGUCGGGUAUAUCAUGAUGCAAAUGGAGAGUAUCAGUCUAAUAAGGGUGAAUACUUCAAGCUAACCUAUAGCAAACAUGAAAAAAACUCAGAGAUGAAAAAAAUAAAAACCAAAGCGGAAGGGUAUUAAGAGAACUGAUUACCAGAUGGAUUAAAGGCAAUAAACGGUUUUUGGUAUCUUCGUCCUCCCAUUCAAGCUCAGUUAUCUCUUGUCCAUGACCCAUAUCUAUUGUAAACCGGGCAAGUCGUGGGACACUUGUAGCAUCAAAGGGAAGCUUUCUCAGAUUUGGACACUCUAGUACGCUUGUGUGCCACAAUGAUGGAAAGGGGAGAGGACUCCAAUAGAUACUCUCCAGCUUAGGCAAACUUGUCAGCGAUAAGAAUUCAAGUUUCUGAAAUGGUGUAAUACCUGUAAGAUUGUUUGCUUUCUCUUUGUUUAUUAUUUCUUCCACUUCGUUUGAAUAUUCAAUUUGUAGGUAGACAAGAUUUGGAGCAAACAAUAGCCAAGUCAUAUCCUUAAAGCCAAUACAGCCAUAGAUAUGCACAAACAAGAGGUUUGUAAAGCAUGGACUUGUCGGAUUGUCUAGAUCUGACAAGUCCGUCCCGCCUUCUCUGCAUUUUGUAUUAAUCUCCGAGAUAUGACUAUUUUCCAGCCAGAGCAUACGAAGAUUCUUCAUACUCACCAGCAAUGACAUAUUCAAUGGCUUUUUAUAAAAAGAUUGAAUACACAGACCAUUGAUGCAGUUCGCCAACUUUUGAUCCCCUAAUAUUUGCUCCAAACCCAAUUCCGUAGAUAUCGUUAUGGUUAGAACUUGUAGAUGCUCCAAGAUCUGUAGCUCCUUCACUGAGCUAACAUCUCCAUGAACAUUGGACUUUAGUAGUUUCAAAAUUCUUAAACUCGAAACCUUUGAUAUCUCACUGAUACUCCGAAGUCUGUGUGUAGAAGUCAAAUUUAGCUGGAUUAGCUUUUUCAACUCUUGGAAACCAACAGGCAGUUGCUCUAUACUUGUAUUCGACAAGUCAAGAUACUGUAAGGAGGUCAGCUCUGAUAUCUGCUCUGGAAGUUAAUUGAAGUUAUUAUUACCGGAUAAAUCCAAAACAAGUAGUUUUUGCAUAGAAAGGAUGAAUUCACUUGAGAGACUCUUCAAUUUAUUAUCCUGGAAAAACAUAGUUGUAAGUUCAGAACACUUGGAACAGCAACUAAUCUCUUCUAUCGCAUUACACAUUAAUGAUAAAAUUCUCACAGGUCUCCAAUCUUCAACUUUUGGUGUCUCACGUAAUCCGACUCGCGCUUGCACAACACAAAUUUCUUUCGGUUUUCCAAAGUCAGAUGCAAUCCAUAGAGCCAUUUCGCGGACUAUGUCAAUGAUGAUAGACUUAUUCGUAGAUUUUCAUUAAUGGUAGAUUUAUUUUCCUAGUAGUGGUAGAUUUAUUGUCAAAUGAUGAAAGAUUUAUUUUUGUAUAGGUUUAGUAUACAGUAGAUUUAUUUUUGAUAUAAUGAUAGAUUUAUUUUGGAUUUUAUGUAUUUAUCUUCUUCUCUAGUAGGUUAUUGACGACGAAUGGUGGAUCAAAAGAUAAAUAAUAUGAUGGAAGUGGAGUGAGUUACUAGCACGGAAAUGGAGAUUUGUUUAUCAAAAAAAAUAUUUGUAGAUUUGUUUGCUUGAAUAGUGGUAUUUGUUUAUUUAAUGGUAAAUUUAGUUUAGGAUUUGAUAGAUUUAUUCGAAAUGGUAGUAAAUUUCUUUUUAAAUAAUAAUUUAAUAAUUGCUUAGUAGUAUAAUCAAAAUGAAUGAGAUAUAAACUAAAAACAUAUGAUACAACCCAAUAAUAUAAAACAAAUUAAAAUACAUAUUCAUUUUAUAUACCAAAAAAGAAAAUAAACAAACACAAAUAAAUAAAAAACCAUUUGUCAUUUCUAACACAAUCAAGCAUUGUCUAGCAAAUAACCAAAUAUCAUAAAUGGUUCAAUGUAGAUUAAAGUAAUAAUACAACUUUUCAUUUGUUAUUGACAUUUUAGUACUUCAAAAAAUUCAUAUAUCAAACUAAAUCAGUCCUUAUAAUUAAAUGCAUUUUUCAAUUAAUUUUAAACCCACUUUUCCUCUAAUAUCCCAUAGGAUAUCACCGAGGAGGUAGGUGGUCUUACUUUGCUAAGCUUCAAAUUGUAUUGUCUUCACUUUUCAGUAUAAGACUAAUAAACAUUUAGUUUACAAUUUUGAAUUUUCUAAAUGGAGUAGGCCGAGAUCAGGUCCAGGCUAUUGAUGCGAACAAAUCUUACAAAUUGCAAACGGCUAUUUGCUUUGUGUUAGCAUUGGUCCAUUGAAUUUUCAAUUUUUUUAAUAACUUAUAUUGAGUCAUAUGGAAAUGGACAACACUCAGCGGUAUCAGUUCUUAUCAGCACCGCUGCUUUGUAUGUAGUCGCCGUCUGCUUUGUAUCGUAAAAGAAAGAAGAUUGAGUUUUGCCAGAAUCUACUCUACAAGAUUGUUGUAGUUUCUGGACACGCAGCUAAUUCAAAUGACGAACCAAUGUUCAAUGUUCAAGACCGGUGGGCAGUGAAUAAUUGAGCGUAUCAAAUUAGGCUUGCGAAUUUGUUUUUUGCUGAAGAUUUGUUCUUGGGCUCUUGUUUUAAUGUUCUUAAUGUGGUGAAGCCAUUAGGAAAGGAAUGUGAAAACUCUUAAAAUUAAGAAGACUCUUUCCAUGUCUUCUUAAGUGAAGUUGUCUCUUAAGCUUAUUGCCCCAAAUCAGAAAGCCACUAGAUAUAGUUUGGGAUUAGAUGGAAGUCAUAGCAUCUUCAGAUUAGGUUUAGGGGGUUUAAAUUAGAGAGUCUGAUAAACAGGAUCUUCAUGAUUCAGCAAAAUCAUAUAACUUUUCAUCUUGAUUCCUCCUGUUAACAACACAUAUACACUUCAAGAUGAAAUAGAAAAAGCUACAGGUAGAGGAAUUUGAUUUUGGAUAGUGAGGAAUCAAAAUACACAGUAAAUUCAGAGGCAUCACAUGCUUUUAUGAUAUCUCCUUUCACGUAAAAGCAUAAAAACUGUUGAUUAUAUAAAUACAUGUAGCUUGAGAAAAAAGCAAUCCGCCUUAACUUAUUACAUAGAAAAUUGAAAAUAGAAAAUCCAAUUGAACAACACAACACACUGCAGAGAGAGAGAGAUAAGAAUGCAUAGAAAAAACAAUAAUACAAUCCAAAUGAACAACACAUCACACUUUGAGGAAGAAAGAGAAAGCAGAAGAAGAAGCGUGGAUUCUGGUUUCUGACUGUGAGGAAUCCCAAUCCAGCUUCUGGUGUGGUUAGUCUAUACUGAAUAUGUUAAGAAGAAAUAAAAUAAACAAAGUUAGUGAAUAUUCAGAAAUUCAUCUAAGACUGCUAGGAAUAUCCAGCAAAUUCUGCCUCACCAUUAAUAUACUAAUUUUAACCAGUUUCUAUUAAAUAUUUUUAUAUAUGCCUUGCUUAACGAAUGUGAAAGGAAAAGAAGAAGAAAGAAAAUACUGUUUGUGAUUUAGUCAUUUGAAGAGCUCAAUGCACGUAUGUAUUUAAACUUUUGAAAUUGACCCCUCGUAAAUAUCCAACAAACACAGGUCUGAUGAUUUUGCAGAUAAUUUUCUAAUUUUGUGACCCAAUUUGUGUUUUGUUGGGUAUCAUGAUGCAAAUGGAUCAUAUCAGACUAAAAUAAAACGAUCACACUUCAUUCUAACCUUGAGCAAACUUGACAGAAACUCAGUAAGAUAAAUUAAUUUAUUCAAGCGGAAGAGAAUAAGAGAAAUGAUUACCCAAAUGACCGAUGGCAGGAAACGUUUUUUUGUAUCUUCAUCCUCCCAUUCAAGCUCAGUUUUCUGUUCUGGAGGAACCAUAGAUAUUUCAAACCCGUCAAGUCGUGGGACACUUGUAGCAUCUAAAGGAAGCUUUCUCAGCUUUGGACAAUUUCCUACAUAUAUGUACCGCAAUGAUGGAAAGGGGAGAGGACUCCAGUAGAUACUCUCCAGCUCAGGCAGAUUUCUCAGGGAUAAGUAUUCUAGUUUCUGAAAUGGUGUAGUACUUGUAAGAUUGGUUGCUUUCUCUUUGUUUAUGAUUUCUUCUACUUCUCCUAAAUGUGAAAUGUCUAGCCAAGUCAGAUUUGGAGCAAAGAGUAGCCAAGUCAGAUCCUUAAUGCUAUCGCAGUUUCUCAUAUUCACGGCGGAGAGGUUGGUAAAGCAUGGACUCGUCUUGCUUCCUCUGCAUUUAAUAUAUGUAUCAAUCGCCGACACAUGACUACCAUCCACCUGGAGCAGACGAAGAUUCUCCAUACUCAACAGCGAUGACAUAUUGAAUGGCUUUUCUUUAAAACCUUGAAUACCCAGACGACUGAUGCAGUUAGCCAACCUUGGAUCGCCUAAUAUAUGCUUCAAACCCAACUCGGUAGAGAUCGUUAUCUCUAGAACUUGUAGAUGCUCCAAGAGCUGCAGCUCCUUCAACAAGCUAACAUCUCCAUGAACUUUAGAAUUUCUUAGUUUCAAAAUUCUUAAACUCGACAGCUUUGAUAUCCCACUGAUACUACGAAGACUGUUUGUAUAAGUCAAAUCCAGAUGAAUUAGCUUUUUCAACUCUUGGAAACCAACUGGCAGUUGCUCUAUACUUGUGUUUGACAAGUUAAGAUACUGCAAGGAGGCCAGCUUCGAUAUCUGCUCAGGAAGUUUUUGGAAAUAGCGAUUAUCUGAUAGAUCCAAAACAACUAGCUUUUGCAUAGAGCCGAUGAAUUUACCUGAGAGAUUCAUCAACUCAUUCUUCUGGAGGAGCAGAGUUGUAAGUUCAGAACACUUGGAACCACAGGUUAUCUUUUUAAGCUCAUUCUUCAUCAAAGACAUCCUUCUCACAGCUCUCCAAUCCUUGACUUUUGGCAUUUCGUGUAAUCCGACUCCUGCUUGAACCAAAAAAGUCUCUUUCUGUUUCCCAAAGUCGGAUGCAAUCCAUAGAGCCAUUUCGCGAACCACGUCAUGCAUCACAAGAUUCACAACACAUCUUAGUUUCAAAAUUCUAUUAGACUGUUCUGUCAGUAAAUUUGCGCGGAUAAGGGUACCAAGUACCUCAUAACCCUUAUUCACUGCCCUUUUAUAAGAUUGGUGUUCCCCAAUGAAUCCCUCACAUAUCCAAUAUUCUAUCAAAUUUUCUUUAUGUAUAGGAAAAUCUUCAGGAAACAGAGCACAAUAGAGGAAACACGACUUGAUAUUUUCACCCACCAAGCUAUCGUAGCUGAACUUCAGAAUCGGAAGAAUUUUGUUUUCCAUGUCGGAAAACUCUGCAGCUGAUCUGGACAAAACAUCGACUGCAAGCUCCCAUUCUUGUACCGUAGUUUGAGAUGACAUUGUCUCACCAAUGACAACAAGCGCUAGUGGCAGACCACAACAUUCUUUAGCGACCUUUUUGGCAAGCUCGACAAUGGCAGGAUCUCUACUUAAUGUAUUGUCUCCUACCUUGCUUUUGAACAAUUCCCAUGCUUCAGUCCAUUCCAAACAGUUGACUUUCAUCGGCUCAUGAUCUCCCAUCCGCCCACAUACUUCCCGAGAACGAGUGGUGAAUGCUACUUUGCAUCCAUUUUCUCUGGUCGGAAACGGAACUCCAAUGGCUUCUAAAUCCACUUUCUCCCAUAUAUCAUCUAACAUCAGAACAAAUCUCUUCCUCUUUAAAACUCUGUGUAUAUCAGCGGCCUUGUCAUCUUCACUUUUGUUCGUUCCGCCAAGGUUUAGCUUUUGUGCAAUAUCUUCUUGAAGCUUUGAAAUAGUCGCACCUUGAGACACCACGACCCAGAUCACAACAUCAAAUCUACCAGCCACUUCAGUGAACUUAUUGUGGAUUUUCUUGAAAAGGGUAGUCUUGCCUACACCUCCCAUACCGUGCAAACCCAUGAUUCCAACUCCAUCUUCCAUAAGGCGAUUCCAUGCCUUUCCCAGCAUUGUUUCCUGACCAAUCGUAGGCCCCGUAGGCCUCUCUUCUACUGCAGAUCUCAAACCCGGCUCAGUAACCUCUUUAGAAUUACCCUCUGAUUUGAGAAUCUGGACCUCUUCCAGCAACAAGAAUACCUUUUUCCCAUAUUUGUAGCUCGAACAUACACUUUUUGAACAUAAACCACAGAGACACAACUUCUUAAGCUCAACAGGACUAGUACUAAGCAGAUCAUUGAACCGUGUAUCGAUGCUCUCGACACGUGUUAGCCAUACCUUGACAGCUUCAAGCCUUUGUUGAUGUUGUGCCUCCUCUCUCGCCACUUUGUUCUUCACCUCAGCUUCAAUUGCCUUGAGAUCAUCCAUUUCCCUCUUCAGAGCCCUGAGAUUCUCCUUGAGGUUUCGAAUAUAACCCUUACCACAUAAGCAUCUGACGAUAUGGUUCAACGUUUGAUCACAGGAAAGUUGGAAAGACACACAAUUCCCCAUGGUGAUAGAAAGAGAGAAAACUUUGAGUAAGCAACAAACGAAAGCUAAAGAUGAAGAAGUGUUUUAUGUGAAAAGCAUUUAACUAAUUCUGAAGAAGGAAGAGAGGAUUAGUUAGAUUUUAGUCUACUAUGCGUUUUAAUUUCCGCCAUUGUUUCGAAGGACGUUUAGUCGUUUACUUUAGAUGCAAUUAUGUUUGAAAAAUUCAAAGGUCAAUUACCAACUCUUAUCAUUAUUAAGAUGCAACUAUGUUUUAAAUUAUACAAAGGUCAAUGAUUUAAUCGCCCAGUUUGGAUUAUUAUGCAACUAUGUUUUAAAAAAACAAAGCUCAAUUAAUGUUUAAUCACUGGGUUUGGAUUAUUAUCAUCACUUGUUGUUAAUUAUUUAAAUCAUUCACUUUCAAAUAUUUGUGAAAAAUCAAUUACUUUAGAAUAUUUUCCAAAUGACAUGGGAACCAAUAACCAUGAUCAAAAACGGUGUGGUGCGAUCGCCCGAAGCCAAAAACAACUUACAAGAAAUCUGGAACAGAGCAGACAAUGGAGAAGUCUAAGGAGCUCGUCAAGGAUAGAAAUCUGGAACAGAGCAGACAAUGGAGAAGUCUAAGGAGCUCGUCAAGGCUGAGAACUCAGAAUGGCCUCCAAAUUUUAUCUGCACCUGAAUUCAGAAUGGCCUAACAAAAAGUGCAGAAUGGCUUAUAAAAAUUGCCCAUACCAAGCAAAAAAAAAAAAAAACAAAGUCAGUCAAUAACAGAUAUCAGUCUCGAAGUUGCUUUUUUGUUUCACCAAAAAAAAAAAAAGAAGAAGUUGCUUCUUUUGUGGGAAAAGCAGAGGUCAUAUAAAGGCUAAUUGUUACAAGUUUCAGAGGAAAGUAAAUCAGUUUUAGAAUCAUCAAGACUAUAUGGAAAAACCAUUGAGAUUCACAGAAGCAAAGAAUUUUAUUUUGGACAUUGAGGAAUAAAAAUCUAAAAUCAAAAUCCAAAGGUACAUUGAAGGAUGUUUAGACCCAAAACGGCUACAAAAGAAAAGAAAAAAAAAAGUUAGUGACACUUGUGGAACGCAUUGAAAUUGAGAGGGACAACAUAUUCUGAAAAUAAAAUUCCUUUUCAACAUGUCUGCAGGGAUUAUCCAACUAGUUCAACCUCACCAUUAAUAUCUUAAGAAGCUGAACUAGGUUUAAACGGUCUUGUUGCGGAUAUCACCAAUAUCAAUUCGUUCAAAUUGAGUUUCCGAUCUGAAUCUUAAGAUGAAAUAGAAACGAGAAAUAAGCAUUAGAAACUACACACAAGAUUUAUCCAGUUUAGGCGCCAACCGCGACCCUACAUCUGGCAGAGACUUCCUCGGAAUUCACUAAGAGAAUGGUUUACAGAGUAGCCGUUACUCUCACUGGAAGAUACCCCGAGAAUCCCUUUCACUCACCGGAAAGAUCUCACAGUUUUCACUCACCAAUUACAAAAAAUGGUAUGUCGAAGAAGAUCUCUCUCUCUCUCUCUCUCUCUCUCUCUUUCUCUCUCUCUCUCUCUCUCUCUCUGCAACUAAUUAAUGACCGACCCGUAGUAACAAACCGAAACAACCCCUGCGCGUAAACACACGCUCUAACGGUCACUCUUCGAUAUCAGCUUCUAGAAGAAGCUCGUAACGAUGACGUCUUGGAGUCUUACCUUAUCCGGUUCACUUAAUCCUGAAAUCAAUAUCCUGACUUCAUUAACCGGAACCUGCUAAUUGAACUAGAUGGUUUAUCAACCAAACCCAUCUGACAGGUUUUUUAACUUUCUCUUUUAACAUUUUUCUCCUCCCAUAUAUUCUUUGCUGAACAAGAAACCCAAAUGCCAAAUGUGAAAGAAAAGAAGAAGAAGAAGAAUUAUUUGUGAUUUGAUCAUUGAAGAACUCAAUACACACAUGUUUUAUAAUUUUGGAAUUAAUGAUACCCCAUACAAAUCCACCAAACACAUGUUUAUUUUCAACGUAAUUUUACAGUUUGUGAUCCAGAUUGUGUUUGUUGAGUAUCAUGAUGCACAUAUGGAUCAUAUCAGUCUGAUAAAACGAUUCAGACCUCAUGCUAACCUUGAGUGAAAGAAACUCAGUAGUAAAAAUAAUUACCCAAACAGAAGAGUUUAAAGGCAUCUCCUAUGUAUAAUUCUAUAUUUUACUCUAUUUAGAUACUCUAUUUUAAAGUAACUUCAAAAUGGAAUUGUGUUAUUGUUGACAAUCUUCCCUUCCUCUUACAUUCACUCUGGUUUGAUUUCUUUCUCUCUUUCUCUCUCCUUCCUUUCUCUCAGUCUCUCUCUCUAGUUCUUGCUCUGUUUCACUCAUUGUUAUUGUUUGCUUGUUCUAUAUUGUUUGCUUGUUCUAAGUGAAAACAAGAAGAAAGUUAGAGAAAACAUUUAAUAGGCUACAUCUUUGAUAUUUGAUCUUUCGAUGCUUUUCUUACACAAACACAACACAUACACUUAUACUACUUGAUACUUGAACUCACUUGGACUCUAGACUUAACCACUUCUUCAAUGCCAUACUUCUAGUACUAGACUAGUUGUACAAGCAACCUUACUUCAAACAUCAUUACCUUUAACAACUCUUAACUAUUCUAACAACUCUUAAAGUAUUCUAACUCUAUACUUAGACACAUACACAAACUCGAUAUUUUGGCUUCUUGGGCUGAUGACAAUUCGCAGGCCCAUUACUCUUAAACAAGAAGCCCAAUCCCUUUCUCCAGAGUUGACUUCUCUUCUUGGUUGACUCUCUUCUUCUUCUCUGAUUCCUUCUUCCACCACACGAGACUUCAUCUUCUUCCUUUCUUCUUCUAAUUGAAGCAACUUUCUUGUUUGCUAGAUUUAAUCAAGGACUCAACCUUCAACAGUUAUCCUCCAAUUUUAUUCCAUGGAGUCAUGACUAAAAUAUUUAGAGUAACUCCAUUUUUAGAGUAACUGUAACAUCCCAAACCCAGCCCAAUUAGAGGAGGCCCAGCAAAUCCAGGCCCACUCCAGAAACCCUAAUAUAAAUAGAGAAUUAGGAGUUAAUGAGCCUCAUUUUGCCUAAUUACCCUAGCCCCCAAAGAAAAGAAAGUGAGAGAGAGAAGGAGAAGCUGCACGCCGUCGCCGAGGACGAGAGCCGCCGCCGCCGCCGGAGAAGGGUGCCGCCGCCGCCGCCGCUUGCCGAGAGAAGAAGGAGCACUCGCCUGCCUCCACCUUCUCAGAAGUUGCUUGAUUCUUUUGCCUCUUCUAGUUCUCCUUAAUCUCAGAUCUGCUUUUAGGCCAAGGUGAGGAUUAGAUCUAGGUCUUUCUUCUUAUCCCUUUAUCUUCUUCUGUUGUGUUGAGUCUAGAUCUGGUGGGACAGGUAUGUCUUCUUGUGCAUCUAGGCAGAUCCAUAUAUAUAUAUANNNNNNNNNNNNNNNNNNNNNNNNNNNNNNNNNNNNNNNNNNNNNNNNNNNNNNNNNNNNNNNNNNNNNNNNNNNNNNNNNNNNNNNNNNNNNNNNNNNNGUAGAAGUCCUAAAGGUCAUAAGUCUGUUUCUGUAUAGUGAUGUUGCCGAAUGCAGGCUUUGUUUGCUGGGUUAUGUUGCCGUCUGUGUGACCGUGGCAAUAAUCCAUUCAUCCGGUGGAGUGAUGACCCACGGGGCUGUCCGUGUGACAGGGUCUCUGUCUGUGUGACAGGGCGUCUGUCUGUGUGACAGGGUGAGAUGUCGACCUGUGUCCGAGUGACAAGGUGGUUUGGCCUAUUGAGAGGCGGGAUCGGAGACAUCACUGCUUGUUAGUUGCUUGUGCACUUGUAGAGUGCUUGUUUGGUUUCAUUAGAUUUAUUCUUAAUAUGUUGGUGGAAAUAAAUGAAUAAGGCGGGAGCCUGGUUUGGUUCUCACUGAGUAAUUCUUCCAAAUUACUCACCCCUCUCUCUCUAAAUUCCGAUGUGCAGGUGAAUGUGAUUGUGAUUGUGAAUGUGAUGAUGUCUGGGAAGAAGUAGACGAGUAAUUCUAGUGUGGUGUGCCUUCAGAAAUGGAGGAAGUUUUAUUGUUUUCAAGAACUAUUUCACAUUUCUUCUUAAGACAAUGUUUCUAUUUUAUUUCAGAUUUCAUAAGUUAUUUCAUUUCUAUGGUAAGACUUAGAUUUGGGUUUGGAUUUGAAUAAAGAACAACAAGUUAUUUGGAAUUGAUUUAGUUUAGGUUAGUUAAUAUCCCGGUUUAUUCUGGUUUCCUUCGGAAGCAGGAAUCGGGGUGUUACAAUUUGGUAUCAGAGCAUGGUUCGAACUAGGUGUUAAGAGAGCUAUCUAGAAUAGUGGGAAUGGGAUUCGGAUUUCAAAAAAAAAAUGGUUUAAAAAGUUUUUAAAAGUUUUCAAGUUUUCAAAGUUCAAAGAUUUUUCCAAAUGUUUUCAAAGAAAGAAAACUACCACCUAGACUGGCCUCUCUAGUUUUUGUUGUUCUUUUCUUUUGCAGGAAGUUAGUCUUUACGGGACCGGACUGACUUAUCUGCCUUUUAUAGUUUUGUAAGCCCGAGGUUGACCAAGUGUUGGACCUUCUCCGGAAAGUUCACCCCCAGAUUGAAAGCAGUGGAAACUGCUGGAAGUGAGCAGGUGAAGACCAUUGGAAUCCAUGAAGAGGUGCCUAUCUUGUUGGAAGGAGCAGAUUUUCCUUGGACUCUAGUGAAAAUGAAGUUGGGCCACUAUGAUGUUAUCCUUGGAAUGGACUGGCUGAAGCAUUAUGAAGUUGUCCCGAAUUGCCGGAAGUCGAGGGCCUAUGUUCCGUAUCAAGGAGGUCGGAUUGCCUUUCAGGGAGUAAAGACCGACACCGGAGUGCCAGUCAUUUCGAUGAUUCAUGCCGAGAAUCUUAUAGAGGAAGGAUGUGAAGCUUUCUUGGCGACAGUCUCUAUGGUAGGAGAGGGAGCACCUAAGAGCCUUGAGGAGAUACCAGUGGUGAAUGAAUACGCGGACGUAUCCAACCAUUGACUGGACCUCCGCCAAGAAGAGGAGUUGACUUCACUAUCGAAUUAGAACCAGGAACAGCCCCUGUUUUGAAGGUUCCAUAUCGAUUGGCACCAGCAGAGAUGGCUGAGCUAAAGAAGCAGUUGGAGGACUUGACGGAUAAAUGAUUUAUUCGGCCAAGCAGCUCGCCAUGGGGAGCGUCCGUGCUAUUUGUAAAGAAGAAAGAUGGAAGCUUUCGACUUUGCAUUGAUUAUAGAGGGCUGAAUAAGGUGACCAUCAAGAAUAAGUAUCCCUUGCCAAGGAUUGAUGAGUUGUUGGACCAGUUAGAAGGAGCUUCAUGGUUCUCUAAAAUUGAUUUGGCGUCAGGCUAUCACCAGAUUCGGAUAGCAGAGGAGGACAUUAGUAAGACAGCAUUCCGAACUCGAUAUGGUCAUUAUGAGUUUGUGGUAAUGCCGUUUGGAUUGACUAAUGCGCCUGCAGCUUUCAUGAAGUUGAUGAAUGAUAUUUUUUUAGAGCACUUGGAUAAGUGUGUGAUUGUCUUUAUUGAUGACAUCCUGGUCUAUUCAAGGUCGGAGAGAGAGCAUGAAUGGCAUUUAGGAAUGAUUCUGCGGAAGUUAAGGGAUCAGCAGCUUUUUGCGAAGCUAAGCAAGUGUAGCUUCUGGCAGAGGAAGAUGGGAUUCCUUGGCCAUAUUGUCUCAGAAGAGGGAGUAGCAGUGGAUCCUGAGAAGAUCACUGCAGUGACAGAGUGGCCUGUACCUAAAAGUGUUACUGAGGUCUGUAGCUUUUUGGGUCUGGCUGGGUAUUAUCGUAAGUUUGUGCCUAAUUUCUCCCGUAUUGCCAAACCUCUCACCAGCUUGACGGAGAAGAAUGUUAAGUUUGAGUGGAUGGAUAAGAGAUCUCAGAGUUUUGAGGAGUUGAAGCAGAAACUCACAGAGACUCCGAUAUUGAUACUUCCAAGGUCAGGAAUACCAUAUGAUGAAUACACCGAUGCCUCUGGAUCCGGGUUAGGAUGUGUGCUGAUGCAGGAAAAGAAGGUCGUAGCNNNNNNNNNNNNNNNNNNNNNNNNNNNNNNNNNNNNNNNNNNNNNNNNNNNNNNNNNNNNNNNNNNNNNNNNNNNNNNNNNNNNNNNNNNNNNNNNNNNNGCUUCGGAAGCAUGAAGUGAAUUAUCCGAUUCAUGAUUUGGAGUUAGCAGCAGUAGUAUUUGCUCUGAAGAUUUGGCGUGCUUACCUGUAUGGGGAGAAGGUGCACAUAUAUACUGAUCAUCAGAGUUUGAAGCAUGUGUUCACUCAGGAUGAUUUGAAUCUGAGGCAGAGGAGGUGGAUAGAAUUAUUGGCUGAUUAUGAUUUGGAAAUUUCCUAUCAUCCUGGAAAAGCCAACCAAGUGGCAGAUGACUUGAGUAGAAGGAGAAAUGCGGUUUCUGAGGCUAAGGAAACGCAGGAGCUGAUAGCGACUUUGGCGAAUUUGAGUUUGUGUGUCGCUGAAGUAGAGGAUGAUGCAGCAGGAUUUGAAGCAUUGGAUAAUGCUGACCUGCUGAUGAGGAUUCGUCAGGAGCAAGCGCAUUAUUUGUCCCUUAAGGAGAUUUUUGAAAAGCAAGUGGUUGGGUACCACAAAGCAGACAACGGGACUUACAUGUAUAGGAAUCGAGUCUGUGUUCCCAUGAAUGAUGAGCUAAGGAGGGAAGUGUUAAGUCAGGCUCAUCAGUCGAAGUUUUCUAUUCAUCCAGGGAACACCAAGAUGUAUCGGGAUCUAAACCGCUACUACCGUUGGUCUGGUAUGAAGCGCGAUAUUUCUGCUUGGAUAUCUCAGUGUUCUACAUGUCAGCAAGUGAAAGCAGAGCAGAUGGCACCAAGUGGACUUCUCCAAAACUUGCCAUUACCAGAAUGGAAAUGGGAUAUGGUAACUAUGGAUUUUGUGACGGGGUUGCACAGGACACUAAGUAAGAAGAAUGCGAUUUGGGUAAUCGUAGACCGUCUUACUAAGUCAGCUCACGCUUUGCCAAUUAAAAAGACGGAUGGAGCAGAGCAGUUGGCGCAGAAGUAUAUUGAUGUUAUUGUGAGGUUGCAUGGAGUUCCAGUGAGCAUAGUGUCGGAUCGGGAUCCAAAGUUUACAGCUAGUUUCUCGCAGGCCUUCCAGAAAGCAUUGGGAACAAAGGUUCAUCUCAGCACAGCAUACCACCCUCAGACAGAUGGCCAAUCAGAAAGGACGAUUAGGACCCUGGAGGAUCUGUUGAGAACGUGUGUCCUAGAUUGGGAAGGAAGUUGGGAGAAGCAUUUGCCUUUGGCGGAAUUUGCUUAUAAUAACAGCUAUCAUAGUAGCAUUGGGAUGGCACCAUAUGAGGCUCUAUAUGGUCGGCCUUGUCGCACACCUCUGUGCUGGACAGAAGUAGAAGAAAUGAGAGUGCUAGAGCCAGAGCUCCUUGAGGAGGCGUCUAAGCAAGUGGAAAUGCUUAAGACAAGGUUGAAAGAAGCUCAUGAUCGCCAGAAGAGCUAUGCAGAUCAGUGAAGGCAGGAGUUGUCUUUUGAAGUUGGUGAUAUGGUGUAUCUGAAGUUGAGGACCUUCAGAGAGAAUGAUAAGCAUCGGCUGAUGAAGAAGCUUAAGCCUAGGUACAUGGGACCGUACCCUAUCCUGGAAAGGAUUGGAGAAGUGGCUUACCGUUUGGAGUUGCCCAAAGAAUUAGCUGAGUUCCAUGAUGUGUUUUAUAUCUCUCUUCUGAGGAAAGUUGUGAGGGAGCCAUAACUCAUUUUGCCCCAGCCGCCAGCAGAUGUAAAGAAGGACUUCUCAGCAGCAUAUCAGCCUGAGGCAGUGUUGGAAUUUCAGGAAAAGGAGUUGAAUGGUAAGAGAAAACCAGCGGUUAAGGUGUGUUGGGAAAGGGAUGGAAUCCGCGAAGAAACCUGGGAAGUAGAGCAGAAAAUGCGGAAGGAAUUCCCGGAACUCUUUAAGGAUAAGGGAGAAACCGGAGGAGUGGGAGAGAAUUCGGGGACGAAUUCUAUGGAAGUAGGGGAGAGUGGUAACAUCCCAAACCCAGCCCAAUUAGAGGAGGCCCAGCAAAUCCAGGCCCACUCCAGAAACCCUAAUAUAAAUAGGGAAUUAGGAGUUAAUGAGCCUCAUUUUGCCUCUAAUUACCCUAGCCCCCAAAGAAAAGAAAGUGAGAGAGAGAAGGAGAAGCUGCACGCCGUCGCCGAGGACGAGAGCCGCCGCCGCCGCCGCCGCUUGCCGAGAGAAGAAGGAGCACUCGCCUGCCUCCACCUUCUCAGAAGUUGCUUGAUUCUUUUGCCUCUUCUAGUUCUCCUUAAUCUCAGAUCUGCUUUUAGGCCAAGGUGAGGAUUAGAUCUAGGUCUUUCUUCUUAUCCCUUUAUCUUCUUCUGUUGUGUUGAGUCUAGAUCUGGUGGGACAGGUCUGUCUUCUUGUGCAUCUAGGCAGAUCCAUAUAUAUAUAUAUAUAUAACUAAUAAGAUCUAGGAUCUCAUUAGAGGAAGAACCAGCAUGAUUGAUUGAUAACCCUGUUGAUUGGUUAGUGAUUGGUAGAAGUCCUAAAGGUCAUAGUCUGUUUCUGGUAUAGUGAUGUGCCGAAUGCAGGCUUGUUUGCUGGGUUAUGUGCCGUCUGUGUGACCGUGGCAAUAAUCCGUUCAUCCGGUGGAGUGAUGACCCACGGGGCUGUCCAUGUGGCAUGCCGGGAUUGGUCUGUCCGUGUGACAGGGUCUCUUUCUGUGUGACAGGGCGUCUGUCUGUGUGACAGGGUGAGAUGUCGACCUGUGUCCGAGUGACAAGGUGGUUUGGCCUAUUGAGAGGCGGGAUCGCAGACAUCACUGCUUGUUAGUUGCUUGUGCACUUGUAGAGUGCUUGUUUGGUUUCAUUAGAUUUAUUCUUAAUAUGUUGGUGGAAAUAAAUGAAUAAGGCGGGAGCCUGGUUUGGUUCUCACAAAUUAUUCACCCCUCUCUCUCUAAAUUCCGAUGUGCAGGUGAAUGUGAUUGUGAUUGUGAAUGUGAUGAUGUUUGGGAAGAACUAGACGAGUAAUUCUAGUGUGGUGUGCCUUCAGAAAUAGAGGAAGUUUUAUUGUUUUCAAGAACUAUUUCAUAUUUCUUCUUAAGACAAUGUUUCUAUUUUAUUUCAGAUUUCAUAAGUUAUUUCAUUUCUAUGGUAAGACUUGGAUUUGGGUUUGGAUUUGAAUAAAGAACAACAAGUUAUUUGGAAUUGAUUUAGUUUAAGUUAGUUAAUAUCCCGGUUUAUUCUGGUUUCCUUUGGAACCAGGAAUGGGGUGUUAUAAUAACUCUAUUUUUAAAGUAAUUCCAUUUUUUUAAUAGUAACUCUAUUUUGGAGAGAAAUAUGAAGUAGGUUUAGAGAGAAUUUUCUUCAAACUCUAUUUUGGAAUGAAAUUUGGAGUAGAGUAGGAGAUGUCUAAGAGAACUGAUUACCCCAUCAAAUGAACGCAAGAAACGAUUCUCGGUAUCUUCGUCCUCCAUUCAAGCUCAGUUUUUUGUUCUCGAGGAAUCAAUCUUAUUACAAACUGGCCAACUCAUGAGAAACUUGUAGCAUUUAAGGGUAGCUUUCUCAGCUUUGGACAGAGAUCAGCUACUAUGUGCUUCAGAAAUGGAAAGGCAAGAGGACUCCCGUAGAUACUCUACAGCUUAGGCAAAUUCCUAAAUGUUAUAAAUUUUAGUUUCUGAAAUGGUCUUAUACCUGUAAGAUUGUUACUUUUUUUUUUACAAUGUCUUCCAGUCUUCUUGAAUUUUCAAUCUGUAGGUAGACAAGAUAUAUUGACUAGAUUUUGUUGAAAAAUGUCAAUCUCUAAAACAUUGCUGCAGUUCGCCAACCUUCAAUCGCCCAAUAAUUGCUCUAAAUCCAACUCCGCAGAUAUGAUUAUGGUUAGAACUUGUGGAUUCUCCAAGAGCUGAAGCUCCUUCAAUAAGCUAGCAUCUCCAUGAAAAUUAGAAUAUUAUAGUUUCAAAAUUCUUUAACUUGAUACUUUUGAUAUCCCAUUGAUACUAGAAAGUCUCUAUGUAACAAUCAAAUUCAGCUGACUUCGCUUUUUAAUAUCUUGGUAGCCAACAUGGAGUUGCUCUAUACUGUAUACGACAAGUCAAGAUACUGCAAGGAUGCCAACUCUGAUAGCUUUUUCAUAAAGCGGAUGAAUUUACCUGAGAGAUUUUUCAAAUUGUCACUCUGGAGGAACAUAGUUGUAUAAGUUCAGAGCACUUGGAAAUGCAAGUUAUCUCUUUAAUCGUAUUCUUCAUUAAAGACAUCCUUCUCACAGCUUUCCAAUGCUUGACUUUUGGUAUUUCAUGUAGUCCAACAUAACCCUUAUUCUUCGCUCUUUUAAAAACUUGGCAUUCUCCAAUGAAUCCCUAGAUCACGUACUCUAUCAAUUUUUCUUUAUCUAUUCGAACAUCUUCUGGAAACAGAGCACAAUAAAAGAAACAUGACUUGAUACGUUCAUCCACCAAGCAAUUGUAGCUGUACUGGACAUUUUGCUAAUGUUGAGCAAACAUGACUUUAUCUAUAGAGGAAACAUGACUUUAUCUAUAGUGUUUUUGGUCAAUAGGUGGAAUGCAUUUAGCUAAUGACGAUGAAAGAGAGAGAGAUUGUGUUAGAUUUCAUUCCUCUUUGCUUUGUAAUUUCUCCCAUAGUUUCAAAGUCGUCGACUUGAUGCAACCAUGUUUUUAUAAAGAUGAUUAAUCCCCAGUUUCGGAGUAUUUUAAUCACAUUAGAUGCCACUAUGUUUUAAAAGACAAAGCUCAAAUUCGUUGACUUGAGCUUUUCAAGAACGAUUUGAAACGUGUGGCUGAUGUCCCAGAAAGAAAUGCACCUGAUUUCAGAAUGGCCUCCAGAAACCUGCACCAUACCAAGUAAAAUCAAAACAAAUUAAAGUCAGAUAAUAAAAAAUUAAAAGAGGAAUGCUUCUGGGGGACAACUCCUAAGCAGCAUUGCUCUUAGAUUUAGAAGGUUCAAGAAGAGAUUAUUUCUGUACCAGCAAAACUUGGCAUAUUCUGAGGCUUAAGGAGGAUAUAAAACGUUGGUUGAAAGCUGUGUGGUUCAAGAGAGCCACUCCAAAGCAUGCUUUCACCUUUUGGACGGCAAACUAAGACAGGUUACCACUGAAAACAAAGCUUGUGAGCUGGGGAAUUAAUAUCUCUCCAACAUGCUGCCUUUGUGACAUGGAGGAAGAGACUAGAGACCAUUUGUUUCUACACUGUCCAUUUUCUGAAGCAGUUUUGACCAUGGGGAUUCGGUGACUCGGAUUUUUUUGGAGUCUCAUUCUCUAAUUGGCAGUCCAUGAUCAACUGGAUGCUUCAACGAACACCAAGACUCUCCUCUACUUACUUGUUAUGGGGUGAACGAAACCAGAUAAUACAUGAUGGUCCUCUAUCUUCUGAAAACCAUCUCUUCGAUUAGUUGGAUAGACUGAUUAGAGACACAUUGUUGGCACACAAUCCCAGCGUAACUAUAGGGGUCUUCUAUCUCUUUGGUUUAAGAACCACUAGUUCUUCAAGCUCGAUUGUAAUUCUACUAAAAUGAUCUGUUUCCAAGCCUUUUUCCUUUUUUAGGCUUUUGAAACAGUGGCUGAGAGAUUUAUAGAAUAGUAGCGGAUUAAGCAAGAAUAUAGAGAGAUUUAGGUGAGAUUAAUGAAAAACUAAAGAAAAGAAGAGAGAAUCAAGAGAUUUAGAGAGAAAGAAAUGUAUUCUCAUUUUCUUAGAUCUAUAGAAAGCUGCUACAUUGUGUUUAAGUAGGAAGACAAAGAAAACUCUAACACAUAUGAGUAUACUAAAUACCUUAUAAAGUUUUAUAAAGUUUUAUAAAAUCUUAUAAAGUCUUAUAAAGUCUUUUAAAGUUUUCUAAUUGGAUUCCCACCAGAAAAGCUGAGAAUGAUCCAUCUUGUUUAACAGUGGCUAAUGUAAUAUACAAUAUAAUUCAAAUUUUAUUAAAAAAAAUAUAAGUUGCUUCUUUUGUGGGCAAAAAACAGGUCAUACAAAAGCUCGUCGUUAGUCUUUACAAGUUUCAGAGGACAGUAAUAUAUAAAAUCAUCAAAUAAUAUCGAAAACCCAUAGAAAUACACAAAAGCGUGUGUUCAAGAGGAAAGAAUUGUACAAGAAUAAUCUAUAACAUGUUGCAUCUAAUUGUGUCGAUGUUACAUGGGAUCUUCUUCGUCCAUCUACUAUAGUCAUAACAGGAUGUUAAAGCAAGACUUAAAGAUGAUGGAUCCGAGUCUGAAGUUACAGAAACGUGGAUUAAGCAAUAAAUUGGAGAUGAUGAAAAUAAGUUAUGCCCAAAGUAGCUUAUGAUGUGGAAGUGGGUUUUGUUUUUUUUUGCGAAUCCUAAAAGAUUAUUGUGUUGUGCUGAUUCUACGUUAGUCUUAGAAGAAUGGAGUGUGUAAAAUAGAGAAAAUUUUAUAAAAGAAGUAACGUUCAUAUGUAGAAAAGCAAGCUUUUGAAUGAAUAAUGGCUUGGUUUAUUUUUCUGUUGAAAGAAAAAAAAAAUUAUUUAAUAUUUCAAAACGAGUGUAAAAGUGAAAUACUUUCUCGCGAUAGAAAAAGUAUUUCACUUUCUCGCGACAGAAAAAAUAUUUCACUUUCUCGCGACAGAAAAAGUAUUCCACUUUCACUGCUGGUGAUCUAAAUGACGAUCCCAAAUAAACAAAUAAUAUUAGAAAUUUAUCUAUACACUAUUAUUUGCGAAGUUAAAAAUUUUAGGUAUUGUCCCCACAACAAUUGUUCUACGUGGCAUUAAUGAAAAAAUAUUAUUUAUUGUUUUAAUUUGUUUUAAUAGAUCGAUCAUUAAUCUUACGUGUAAAAACUUGUGACUUGGCUUUUUUCUUCGAUAAUGGGCUACAGAGUUUGUUCAUGGGCCAGCGAUUUUUUUUUUCACUCAUAGCCACCGAUUCUGGUAAUAGGGCACCGACGUCGAAACCCUAAACUCUAAAGAAUAUAUCCUACUAUAUAUACAUGUAUUAUCUACAUAUAUUUUUACAUACAACAACUGUCUUCAAGGUCUAGCAAUUUUUACAAAACUCGUCCACCUCUUUACACGAAUACAUCUUUUGUAUAUCCCAAUCUAGUUUAAAAUAUAUCGUUUAUUUAGUUGGUUGUUCUUCCAUGCUAACUUUUGAAUCGUUUUGUUCUGAUCGAGAUUCUUUUAUGCUAACCAGUCAAAUAUCUAUGUUUUUUUUCUAUCGUGUUCUAUAUUAUUAUGCAUCACAACUAUUUUAUUUUUUAAUCCCUGUUUUACUCUCUAUGCGAUUGGUCAUCGAGAUAUCAUAUUUGUGUUCUUUCUUUUGCUUUGUAAUUCUAUAUAUAAAAUUCGAUGCUUCAGUAUUAGAUAUUCAUGUUUCUCUUUAUUAAAUUUUUCUUAUGGUUAUAUUGAGUUAUUAUUCGUAAAUAUAGAUUGACCUGAGCUUCUUUAUUGUUUUCAUUGAACCUAGAGUUUAUCGUGCAAACUAUAGGUGAUUGGUUCAAACUUUUGCAAUCAUAUCUUCAAAUGAAUCUAACAGGUAAUUGUAAAUAAAUCAUUAGUACUUUUUUUUGUCAACAACUUAUUAGAACUUCCAAUUUUCUUAAUUGAUAUUCGUAAACUCUAUAAUUUAUUAUUUUGAUAUUCUUAAAAGGAUCAAAACCAUAGAAAUGAGUUUUUUUUUUGUGUGUAUAAUUCAUGUUUUAGUUUAGGUUUGUAUUAAUUUUUCUGGUAACAUAUUGUGAAUGAAUGUUAUUUAUUGUUUGAUUGUUUGAUUGUUCUUUGUUUCUCCUUGGGUUCUACUAUACAUUUUCUUUAUAUUGUUGUUUAUGUUUAUUUUUAUUUCUAAAUAUAAUUUUAUGGUUUUUGUGGUAGCUUUUGUGGACAUGUAAAAAAAAAAAAAGGAGUAACCAUUUCAGAUUAAUUUUGGUUUCAUAGUUUACUAAAGAUAUGUAACAUGAACAAAACGUCUAUUGUUUUAUAAAAUUCCCAUUGUUUUCUACCCAAAGGCAAUUAUGUUGGUUCUGGAAAAAAUGUUUUAUAGUUUUGCUUUUUACCCAACACAUUCUUUUAUCAGAAAAACAUUAAAUCACUCUCAAGAUUAAACUUAUCAGGCAUUAAAGCAAUAUUUUUGUUGGUAAGUCGAUGAAUGAGAAUGUGAUGUCUCAUAACUUCAAAGAGCAAAGGAAAAAUAAGUGACAACGAGACUAGAUUCGGUGUGAGUAGAAUCUUUACGCAUGUUAAGUAUUUGUUGAUAUACAGCAAUCAUAUUGAGAACAGAGUGCAAACCAAUUGCAAAUUGCACCAUCCAAUUGGUGUUAAAUUAUAUUAUGGUUAAUCCCUGACCCAUUUCUUAGUUUCAUCAUUAAUUAAUGAAUCAUCAGUUUUUUUUAACCCCUGAUGAGAGAUAAAAUCAGCUGAAGGAAGGAAAGUCACCAAUACAGAGGAAGAAGAAUAUUUGCUAUAAAAUAUUCAGGUCUUAAUUUUCAUCAUCCUUGUAAUUUGUUUCAGCUUGCUAAAACUACUUUUUUAGUGUUGCAGACUUCAUCGGAAUACCUAAUAAAUUGAUGAUUCUCUGAUACCAGAAUCUAAGAAAUAUACUCACACGUGAUAAACUGAAAUUUUUGUGAAUUGCAGAAUGAACAUACUCACACGUUGCAUUUCUUAUAUGUUUUGAUGUGAAACAAGUAAUUCUUCUGUCAUAUAGCUUUGUUGCUUUAAAAUUAAUCAGUCUGCUAUUACCAGUUACUUUUAAAUCAGAAUUUCAUAACGUAAUGUGGUAGCAUAAUCCAAAUUUGUUGAUUUAAGUAGGAUAUCCCGAAUAGGAAAUGUUGUAGUUCGUGUAUGGCAUACUUCAAAUCUUAGAAUAUGUUUUGGCUUGAGUCUUCAAGAUGUGCUAGAUAGUUAUCAACUUAUCAUCUUGAGGAAAUGAACUUAAAGAAUUAUAUAAGAGAUAUACUCAUAAUUCAUAUAUACUAUAAUCCAUUUUAUUGCCAAUUUUUUUUUUUGAGUUAGAACCUAUAAAACUUAAAAACAUAUAUCAUGGUAGAAUCAAGUGUCAUCUCACUAAGACUUAUUAUGCUCAUAUAUGGUUCUAUUGAUUUUAAAAAAAAAAUAAUAAUUAAACAUACGAAUUAACCAAAAUAUAGUUUUAAAAGUUUUAAGGUCUGCUAUGUUUUUUUAAAGUGUUAGAGCAUUUUCAUCCCUUAAAUCUAUUAGAGGUUCUUAAACAUAUUUUAAUAUUAAAUUUGUCAAAUAUUUUAAUAUUAAAUUUUAAACUGCUUAUCCUAAUCAAUUAAAACACGACACCUAGCUAAGAGAUUCAUUAAAAUCGAUCCUUAUUUAAGAAUCACAAUAACCAGUCCUUAAAAUUAAAUGCAUUUUUCAAUUAAUUUUAAACCCACUUUUCCUCUAAUAUCCCCAUAGGAUAUCACCGAAGAGGUAGGUGGUCUUACUUUGCUAAGCUUCAAAUUGUAUUGUCUUCACUCUUCAGUAUAAGACUAAUGAACAUUUAGUUUACAAUUUUGAAUUUUCUAAAUGGAGUAGGCCGAGAUCAGGCCCAGGCUAUAACCGCUUCUUACAGGCUAUUGAUGCAAUCAAAUGUUACAAAUUGCAAACGGCUAUUUGCUUUGUGUUAGCAUUGGUCCAUUGAAUUUUCAAUUUUUUUUUAAUAACUUAUAUUGAGUCAUAUGGAAAUGGACAACACUCAGUUUAAUAAUAGAUGUCCGGUAUCGGUUCUUAUCAGCACCGCUGCUUUGUAUGUAGUCGCCGUCUGCAAGAAUCAUUCUGAGAAAUGCUAGACAAAAGUGAGAAAGACGAUUUCGUAAAAGAAAGAAGAUUGAGUUUUGCCAGAAACUACUCUACAAGAUUGUUAUAGUUUCUGGACACGCAGCUAAUUCAAACGACGAACCAAUGUUCAAGACCGGUGGGCGGUGAAUUGCGAAUUUGUUUUUGGCUGAAGAUUUGUUCUUGGGUUCUUGUUUUAAUGUUCUUAAUGUGGUGAAGCCAUUAGGAAAGGAAUGUGAAAACUCUUAAAAUUAAGAAGACUCUUUCCAUGUCUUCUUAAGUGAAGUUGUCUCUAGUUAUUGCCCCAAAUCAGAAAGCCACUAGACAUAGUUUAGGAUUAGAUGGAAGUCACAGCAUCUUCAGAUUUAAAUUAGAGAGUCUGAAAAACAGGAUCUUCAUGAUUCAGCAAAAUCAUAUAACUUUUCAUCUUGAUUCCUCCUGUUAACAACACAUACACACUGCAAGAUGAAAUAGAAAAAGCUACAGGUAGAGAAAUUUCAUUUUGGAUAGUGAGGAAUCAAAAUACACAGUAAAUUCAGAGGCAUCACAUGCUUUUAUGAUAUAUCCUUUCACGUAAAAGCAUAAAAAAACUGUUGAUUAUAUAAAUACAUGUAGCUUGAGAAGGAAGCAAUCCGCCUUAACUUAUUACAUAGAAAAAUGAAAAAGAAAAUCCAAUUUAAAAACACAACACACUGCAGAGAUGUAUGAGACUGCAUAGGAAAAACAAUAAUACAAUCCAAAUGAAGAACACAUCAUACUUUGAGAAGAAAGAGAAAGCAGAAGAAGAAGCGUGGAUUCUGGUUUAUCACAGUGAGGAAUUCCAAUCCAAAUUGAGGGAUGGUUAGUCCUAAUAACUCAGUACUAUAAGAAAAAAAUAAAUAAACAAAGUUAGUGAAUAUUCAGAAAAAUACAUUUCACCUAAAACUGCUAGGAAUAUCCAGCAAAUUCUGCCUCACCAUUUAAUAUCUUAAUAAGAAGCUGAACCAAUUUUCAACAGUUUCUAUUAAAUAUUUGUAUAUAUUCCUUCAUUAACGAAUGUGAAAGGAAAAGAAGAAGAAAGAAAAUACUGUUUGUGAUUUAGUAGUCAUUUGAAGAGUUCAAUGCACAUAUGUAUUUAAACUUUUGAAAUUAUGACCCCUCGUAAAUAUCCAACAAACACAGGUCUGAUGAUUUUCGAGAUAAUUUUCUAAUUUUGUGACCCAAUUUGUGUUUUGUUGGGUAUCAAUGUAUCAUGAUGCAAAUGGAUCAUAUCAGACUAAAAAAAAAACGAUCACACCUCAUUCUAACCUUGAGCAAACAUGAAAGAAACUGAAGUAAGAUAAAAUAAUUUAUUCAAGCGGAAGAGAAUAAGAGAAAUGAUUACCCCAGCGAAUAAAAGGCAGGAAACGAUGUUUAGUAUCUUCAUUCUCCCAUUCCAGCUCAGUUUUCUGUUCUCGAGGAUACAUAUUUAUUUUAAACCCGCCAAGUCGUGGGACACUUGUAGCAUCAAAGGGAAGCUUUCUCAGCUUUGGACAAUCAUAUACUCCUAUGUGCCGCAAUGAUGGAAAGGGGAGAGGACUCCAGUAGAUACUCUCCAGCUCUGGCAGAUUUCUCAGGACUAAGUGUUCUAGUUUCUGAAAUGGUGUAGUACCUGUAAGAUUGGUUGCUUUCUCUUUGUUUAUGAUUUCUUCUAGUUCUCCUUCGAAAAUUUCUAGCCGAGUCAGAUUUGGAGAAAACAGUAGCCAAGUCAGAUCCUUAAUGCCAUGACAGCGAAACAUUGUCACGACGGAGAGGUUGGUAAAGCAUGAGCUUCCUCUGCAUUUAAUAUAUGUAUCAAUCGCCGACACAUGACUACUCACAUGGAGCUCACGAAGAUUCUCCAUACUCAACAGCGAUGACAUAUUGAAUGGCUUUUCCUCAAAUCCCACAAUACCCAGAUAAUUGAUGCAGUUAGCCAACUCGGUAGAGAUCGUUAUAUAUGCUUCAAACCCAACUCGGUAGAGAUCGUUAUCUGUAGAACUUGUAGAUGCUCCAAGAGCUGCAGCUCCUUCAACAAGCUAACAUCUCCAUGAACUUUAGAAUAUCUUAGUUUCAAAAUUCUUAAACUCGACAGCUUUGAUAUCCCACUGAUACUACAAAGACUCUUUGUAAAAGUCAAAUCCAGAUGAAUUAGCUUUUUCAACUCUUGGAAACCAACUGGCAGUUGCUUUAUACUUGUGCCCGACAAGUUAAGAUACUGCAAGGAGGCCAGCUUCGAUAUCUGCCGAUAUCGAUAUUACGUGAUAGAUCCAAAACAACUAGCUUUUGCAUAGAGCCGAUGAAUUCACCCGAGAGAUUCUUCAAAUGAGUAUUACGGAGGAGCAGAGUUGUAAGUUCAGAACACUUGGAACCACAGGUUAUCUUUUUAAGCUCAUUCUUCAUCAAAGACAUCCUUCUCACAGCUCUCCAAUCCUUGACUUUUGGCAUUUCGUGUAAUCCGACUCCUGCUUGAACCAAAAAAGUCUCUUUCUGUUUCCCAAAGUCGGAUGCAAUCCAUAGAGCCAUUUCGCGAACCACGUCAUGCAUCACAACACCUCUUCUACUAUUAGACUGUUCUGUCAGUAAAUUUGCGCGGAUAAGGGUACCAAGUACCUCAUAACCCUUAUUCACUGCCCUUUUAUAAGAUUGGUCUUCCUUGAUGAAUCCUUCGCAUAUCCAGUACUCUAUCAAUUCUUCUUUAUCUUCAGGAAACAGAGCACAAUAGAGGAAACACGACUUGAUAUGUUCACCCGCCAAGCUAUCGUAGCUGAACUUCAGAAUUGGCAGACCUUUUUUGCAUGCUCGACAAUGGCAGGAUCUCUACUUAAUGUGUAGUCUCCUACCUUGCUUUUGAACAAUUCCCAUGCUUCUUCUUGUCCCAAACAGUCGACUUUCAUCGGCUCAUGAUCUCCCAUCCGCCCACAUACUUCCCGAGUGGUGAAUGCUACUUUGCAUCCAUUUUCUCUGGUGGGAAACGGAACUCCGAUAGCUUCUAAAUCCACUUUCUCCCAUAUAUCAUCUAGCAUCAAAACAAAUCUCUUCCCUUUUAAAACUCUGUGUAUAUCGAUUGCCUUGUCACUUUCACUUUUGUUCGUUCCGCCAAGGUUUAGCUUUUGUGCAAUAUCUUCUUGAAGCUUUGAAAUAGUUGCACCUUGAGACACCACGACCCAGAUCACAACAUCAAAUCUACCAGCCAUUUCAGUGAACUUAUUGUGGAUAUUCUUGAAAAGGGUAGUCUUGCCUACACCUCCCAUACCGUGCAAACCAAUGAUUCCAACUCCAUCUUCCAUAAGGCGCUUCCAUGCCUCUCCCAGCAUUGUUUCCUGACCGAUCGUAGGCCCAGUAGGCCUUUCUUCUACUACAGAUCUCAAAACCGGCUCAGUAACCUCUUUAAAAUUACCCUCCGAUUUGAGUUUCUUAACCUCUUUCAGCAACAAGAAUACCUUUUUCCCAUAUUUGUAGCUCGAACAUACACUUUUUGAACAUAAACCACAGAGACACAACUUCUUAAGCUCAACAGGACUAGUACUAAGCAGAUCAUUGAACCGUGUAUCGAUGCUCUCGACACGUGUUAGCCAUACCUUGACAGCUUCAAGCCUUUGUUGAUGUUGUGCCUCCUCUCUCGCUACUUUGUUCUUCACCUCAGCUUCAAUUGCCUUGAGAUCAUCCAUUUCCCUCUUCAGAGCCCUGAGAUUCUCCUUGAGGUUUCGAAUAUAACCUUUACCACAUAAGAGUCUAAAGAUACGAUUGAGAUCAUCACCAGUAAGUUGGAUAGGAUUACAACUCCCCAUGUCGAUAGAAAGAGAGAAAACUUUGAGUAAGCAACAAACGCAAGCUAAAGAUGAAGAAGUAUUUUUUUUUUUUUUUUUUUUUUUGAUGAAGAAGUAUUUAAUGUGAAAAGCAUUUUACAAGUGACGAAGGCAUAUAUGAUUUGUUAUCUGUCGGUCCUCUUUGGGUUCUAAUUUCCACAACUACCACAUAUGCAUCGACUGAUACGAUUCACAUGAAAAAUGAAAAGCCACACAAUUUCUCUAUGGUGAUGGAAAGAGAAUAUUUCUGAAGCUGAAGAAGUUUUUUAUGUCAAAGAAAUCAUUGGAGAUAAGAGCAUGUGCAAUGGGAGAAACCCUCAUGGGUCUCUAUCCCUUUUUUUUUUUAUUAAUAUUAUAAAUUGCUUUAUAAGUAGAAACUCUAUGGAGAGACUUUGUAAUUUUUGAGGGUCCAAUAGGAGAAACUCGAAUCUAUAAUAUUAUUUACGAAGUCAAAAAUUUUAUGUGUCAUCACCACAACGAUUGCCCUACGUGGCAUUAAUAAAAAAAUAUUAUAUGUCAUUUUAAUUCGUUUUGAUAGGUCUAUCAUUAAUCCUACAUGUAAAAACCGGUGACAUGGAUUUUCCUUCGAUAAUAUAACGGCCCAUGGGCCAGAGAUUUUAACAACCGUCAUAACCAUAAAAACCUAAACUCUAGCGUAUUCUUCUUUUUAGAGCUGGAAUUAUCAUCCAAAAUCCGCUCCAAAAAAAUCGGAUAUCUGAAAGGGUCGGAUCCGGAUCCAGAUAGUAAAAUUUCAUGUUUGUCAAAACUGGAUACGGAUCCAGAUAGUUAAAUUAUAAGGUCCAAAUAUCAGUAUCCGAAUCUCUAACCUCUAAAUAUAUUUGAAAAUUAUAUUUUAUUAAUAAUUUUAUAAUAUAAUUAAGAUUAUUAUAUAUAAAAAUAAUUUAAAUUAAAAUUAAAAUAUCUUUUCAUAAUAAAAAGUUAAUUGUUUUACAAAAUAUUAAAUAAAAAUUUAAUUUUAUCAUUAUUUUAAUAUUUAUAUUUUAAAUAUUUUUUGGAUUCGGAUCUGGAUUCGGAUAUCCGCGGAUAUCUUAAUAUUUAGACGAAUAUCCGCAGUCCGGAUAUCCGAACAUCCCAGGUACAGAUCUGGAUAAUUAAAAAUCGGAUCCAGAUAUCACAAAAUUACCCGGAUAUCCACUUCGUGCUGGGGCUACUUCCUCUUAUAUAUAUUCUUUCUUAAUCUCUCGGUAUUCUUUUGGAUUUUGCUCUGUUUUUGAUUUUGCUCUGUUUUUUUUCUUUAUUUAGAUGUUCAGCUUUAAUCUUAUGUCAAUAUAAAUUGAUUUUCUAAUUUUGGUUUCCACUCUUUAUGUUCUUUUCGUCACUUUAAUUAAUCUUUUCUUUUGGGCUAUACACAUUAUGAUCAUGUUUUCGUAUGUCCUAUUUAUUAUAAUUAUUAACAUAUGCUUUUUGUUGUUCUGUUCUCUUAGACUUCAUCCCCCAAAGUUCUUCAAGAUCUUACAUGUAAUAAUAAACGUUUGUUUCCUUCAGGUCACUGAUUCCAGCUUUUGCAAUCAUAUCUUUAAAUGGAUCCAAAAGGUAAUUGCAAAUAAUCAUUAAAAUCUCUUUUUAGUUUUAGAUGGUUUUUUGCCUUUCGUAUUUAACAAUUUUUUUAAUCCUUUUUAACAUUAGCAAUUUAAUCAGUUUUAAAAUUUUGAAAACAAAAUUGUUUAGCCGAUUAACUCUUUUAAUUAGCUUUUCCUUUUACAUGUUUUUUCUCUUUUUCUUUUUUAAAAAUUUCUUUUUUUCCUUGCUUUUUUAACACUUUAAAUAGUAUAUUUCAUAUGAUUUUGAGACUUCGCAAAGUUAUAGAAGUAAUUGUUAUUUCUGUUUCUUGUUUGCUCAUAAAGGAAAAAAUGGUAAUUUUUUCAUAUCCUUUUAUGUUACUUUUUUCUUAAUAUUGAAUUAAGGAUUUAUUUUUGUAUUUUGGUUAUGAUAUCUCGUGGAAUGAUGAACUUGGAUUUAGAUUAUUAUAUUACUUAUAGAUUGAUAUAGUCAUUGUCACUUAUCCCCCAAUAUAUGAAUAUUAAUAUUGGCUUUAAUUUUUUUGUAUAAUAGUUUUCACCAAUCAAAUUAAAUUGAUUUGAAUUGGUCAGGUUUUGUUACUUGUGUGACAUACUUUUGAUGCAAGAAUUUCCACAACAAAAUAUCCAGGUUGAAAUAUAUUAACCAUUACAAAAAAUAAAUAAUAUUAAAUAGUUAGAUUGUAAUUUUAUAUAUUAAAAAUAAUAAGCCAGAACAAAGGCACAUCUAUUCAUAUAUGCGAUUUCCAUAAUUUUGGAUUCCAUAUAUUUAUCAAAAUUUUAAUAUAUCUGGAUCAGAAAAAUAUUAAAUUAAAACAAACAAGUGACAACAAAAUAUGAAUAUUGUAAAUGAUUUUUUUUUUAAUUAUAGAUGUUAUCAUUAAAAAAAAAGACAAUUCUCAAAAAUGGUCCAAAAAACUAAAUCUUCUCAAAAAGAGCCAUUUCUUUUCACAGGGCCAAAUAUAGCAUUCAUUAAAACAAAACAAAAAAAAAACACGAUUAAUUUUAAUUCUAUUUCCUCCUCUAUGAAAAUCACAAAUCUCACAAAAACUUUCAUUGAUCGCCUCACGACUUCCACUGUUGUCAGAAUUUCAUCUGGAAUUUGACGGAAUCAUCGUCGGAGUUAGCAAAUCUUCACUCUGAUAAUCGAGCUAAUCCCAACUUUGUCUCCUUCAAACAAUUUUUCAUUUUCUUUGAAACCUUAAUCGAUAUCUCAAAUUUGGGAAAAAAUGGGGGUUUCGGAAAAAAAUAGGGGGUUUUAAAAACUUUUGUGAUCAACCUAUAGGUUUUCGGCAAAAAUCUGUUUUCUUGAAUCCUAAAUCGUUUUGAAACCGUUUUCAAACUGCAGAUCGUCAGAAAUUCAAAACCCAUGCCUGAAUUUUCAACGGGAAUGCCUCCCUAAUAUUCAGGAAUGAUUCAUAUUGGUUUAAGAAUGUAUUCAUGAAUCAUUAGACCUUCAGGAAUACCUUUAAAAUGUUUAUGUAUUUGUUGUUUUAUAUACCUACAACAAGUCUCAAUAGUUUGUUUUAAUCUUUGUAUUAUCUAUUAUUUUGACAGUUUUAACUAUACAUGUUUACAUGUAUAAACAUGGACAAGCUUUCCGUGAGAAGUUUAUUAAGAUAAUUUUAGGAAGCCUUUCCUAAAAUAUUAAGAGACCUUAUUGAAUUUUCAAUUCAGGAAGGCUUUCCUAAUUUUCAGGAAGAAAUUCGUAAUAGUUUAAGAAGAUCUUUCUUAAUAAUAAACCUUCAAUGAUCACGUUUUAAAUUUCUCUUAUAGAUUUUGAAUGUAUAAAAUGUUAAUGUAUUUGUUGUUUAACAAACAUUUUCUCUUGAUUUGAUCGGGUCUAAGACAUUUUGUGAUGAAUAAAGUUGAUUGAAUACCAUUAAGUAGCAAGUAGGUUUGCAUUGCAAUGCUUUUGAAGAGUAUGCUGUAUCAAACCAAAAAUAAGUUGUUUACAUUUUAAUUUCAGACCAAACUACAGAUUUUAAACUUUUGGAAUCCAUGUCUGAAUUUUCAAUUAGAGAAUGCCUCCAUAAAUAUUCAGGAAGGAUUCAUAAUAAUGUAGGAAUGUCUUCAUGAAUCAUAUAUCUUUCAAAAAACAAUUAAAAAAAACAAUAAGCAAGUGAUCUAUAUAUUUUGUGACGACGUUGAAGCCAAAAUUGAAAACCCUGAAAAUUUACUGAUAAAAGAAUGUGUCGAUAUUGUUAAAGAGAUAGUAAAAGAAUUCUAUGGUGAUUCAUACAUAUCAGAGAGAGAUCCAAAGUUUUUUUAAGAUAAAGCAAUUCUCAGCCCGAGAAAUGUAAAUGUGGGAUUCAUAAACGAAUACAUGUUGUCGAAAAUGCAAGGUGAACAUAUUUAACGCUUUAUAAAUAUAUAUAUGAUCUUACACUUGAGCUUCAUAUCGUUAUUUUAAGUUAUACUUAGUGAACUUUGUUUAAAUUUUUUCUAGGUGAUGAACAUACAUAUUUUAGCUCGGACAGUAUUGAUAUUUCUGAUAAGGGUAAGAUUGACGAAAAAGUCUACACCCAGGAAGAUCUUAAUAGUAUUAAGAUCUCAUGAUUACCGAAUCAUGAAUUAAAAUUAAAAAUAUGAACAUCUAUUAUGUUGGUUUGGAAUAUUGACCAUAGAGGUGGUUUAUGCAAUGAAACAAGACUCUUAGUAACACAAUUGGUCAAAAGGUCUUGAUCCCACAAAUAUUUGUUUCUCCUACCGAGACAAGGUUUCCAUUUAAAUGAGGUGUAAAAAAUUUCCUAUAGCUAUCCCCUAUGCAAUGACUAUCGAUAAAAGCCAAUGACAGACUUUGCAAAAGGUUGGACUGUAUUUACUAAAACCUGUAUUUUUCCAUGGACAACUUUAUGUGGAUAUAUCACGUGUUAUUUCGAGAGCUAGUUUGAAGAUUCUGAUAACGGAUACUAUGAGUAAGCCACAAACCAAGACUUUGAACAUUAUAUACAAGGCCGUCUUUCAGAAUGUAAGAAAACGAUAGUUUAUUUUAUUUAUUUGGUUUAGAACUUUACUAAUUUAAUGGUUUGUUUUAAUGACACUCGGUUUACUUAUGCUUCAAAAUUAAUAUCUUUUCUCUUUUUCCAUUAAUGGUUAUCCUAAUUGUCAAGAAUCGAUACUUUUAUUAAAUAUAAGAGAAAUCGAGUACAAAACCAUAAUGGUAUUUGAAAAAUACACACUAAUACAAACUUCAACUUAAGAAUCUGCAGUUGGAAUGUUGUACAUCAACAAAUAUUGAUGCACAUAACGAUAAUGGUCACAGUUGAUAAACUGAUGAGUUUUUUCAUAAGUAACAUUAUCCAACUAUCAAAAUUUAUGAGUUUAUUAACGAUACAGAUCACAAUAUCAUUAUCAAACUAUCGAAACUUUUCACCAUUAUAAAAAAUGAUUCAGAUAGUUAGUAUUGUUAGAAUAAGAAAAUAUUAAAAUAUAUCAUUUUAAAAUAUUAUAUAUAACUUAUAAAUCUCAUAUUUAUCAAUGAUCGCCUCUACAAAUUUUAUAAUCAGCUUGGUAUACAUUGCAAGCCCGCGCUUGGCGCGGGUCUCCACCUAGUUGAUCUCUAAAAAAAAACUUAAAAAAUAAAUUUACUUUGAAAGCAAUGUUUAUUUCAUUCAUACAGACUUAAAAUUAAAAAAUUACAACAAAUAAAACAUAAAAUAUAUUACAUUAAACUUAAGUUUUUAUUUUGUGUUUAGCCAAAUUUUUGCCAUAUAUGCUCGACCAAAUCGGCUUUUAAUUGAUGAUGCACUUCUGGUGAUCAAAUUUUUUUCUGGGUAUCCAUCAUAUUUAAAAUAUUUGUAGGCAUAGUUGUGGAAUAUGAAUAAUCCACAUUUGAACUUCCGCCUCCUUCCCCUUGUUGGAAUUCUUCAAUACGAAAGUGCUUGUAUCCUUUGUUGAACUAAGCUUGAACAAAGCUUGAGAAACAAGUUUCCUAAAAGGAUUAGGAAAUAUAGUAUAUUUAGGAGAUACCUAAAUAUACCUUAGGAGUUAUCUAUAAGAAGUUUUCUAUUUCUAUAAGGUUUAGGAAUUUGUAAGUCUUCUCUUCUAUAUAUAUGAAGUUACCAAAGUGUGGUAGACUCAUGAGAUUAUAGAGAGAGCUUUGAGGCUUUAAGUUUUUGAGUGAGUUUUCUUAAAGCAAUAAAAGGUGCUUUGGCAAUCUUAUAUUCUCAAAGAAGUUAGGGUUUAGAACUUUAUUUGGUAUCAGAGCUUGUGAGAAGAACGAUCCAACCCAACAUCAAACCAUGGGAGAUAUCGUCCCUGCUACGCGAGCAAAAGAAAUCAGUAUAUCAUCAAUUCAAUGUCCAAUGUUGAAUACGACUAAUUAUACUGUGUGGGCAAUGAGAAUGAGGGUCCUUCUCAAAGUUCACAAGGCCUGGGAGGUCAUCGAGACAGAAACAGCUGAAGGAGAUAAAAACGAUCUGGCUAUGGGACUCAUCUUUCAGUCCAUACCCGAGACAUUAGUCUUACAAGUUGGAGAACUCAACUCUGCGUAUAAGGUUUGGAACGCUAUUAAAGGACGACAUGUUGGAGCAGAGAGAGUCAGAGAAGCACGACUACAAACCUUAAUGGCAGAGUUCGAUCGUUUAAAGAUGAAGGAUUCAGAGACCAUUGAUGAUUUCAGUGGAAAGCUUUCGGAAAUUUGUUCGAAAUCAGCAGCACUAGGAACCAACAUCGAAGAGUCGAAACUAGUCAAAAAGUUCCACAAGAGCAUACCUCGGAAGAAAUAUAUACACAUCGUGGCAUCACCAGAACAGGUGCUUGACCUAAACACAACAAGUUUUGAGGAUAUUGUUGGGCGUUUAAAGGCAUAUAAAAAACGUAUAUACGAGGAAACCGAGGAAACUCAAGAAGAACAUAGCAAGUUGAUGUAUGCAAAUACAGAAACUCAGCAAAACCGGAGUCAGAAUAAUGAAAAUAGAAACAAAGGUCGAGGAGGACGUUUCUAUAACAGAGGAAGAGGACGCGGAAGAUCAAACGAGAGAUCGUAUGAACCAGGAGACUUAUCAAAGGUUGUUUGCUAUUGGUGUGACAAGACAGGACAUUAUGCAGCGAGUUGCCCGGAUCGUCUACUUAAACUCCAGGAAACACAAGAAAACGAAGCAGAGGAUGAUACACAAAAGGCGGAAUCCCUUCUAAUGCACGAAAUUGUGUAUCUUAAUGAAAAGAAUGUGAAACCAAAGGAGUUCGAGACACGAUCCGAUAGAGAGUGGUAUUUAGACAACGGUGCCAGUAACCACAUGCCAGGAAAUCGAACCUGGUUCACAAAAAUCAACGAGAUGAUCACAGGGAAAGUACGAUUCGGAGAUGAUUCACGUAUAGACAUCAAAGGGAAGGGUUCGAUCCUGUUCAUGACAAAAAACGGUGAUAAGAAGAUACUAGCCGAUGUCUAUUAUAUACCAGAUCUCAAAAGCAACAUAAUAAGCCUAGGACAGGCUACUGAAGCAGGAUGCGAUGUGAGGAUGAGAGAAGACUAUCUCACAUUACAUGAUCGAGAAGGGAACUUGCUGGUGAAAGCAAUACGAUCGAGGAAUAGAUUAUACAAAGUGGCGUUGGAGGUUGAGAACACUAAGUGUCUGCAGAUCAUGACAUCCAAAGACUCAAGGUGGCAUGCCCGUCUAGGACAUAUCAGCACCGAAACCAUCCAGUCUAUGGCAGCAAAGGAACUAGUUAUCGGAAUAACUAAUCCGCCGAAAGAAAAGGAUACCUGUGCAUCAUGUCUACUUGGGAAGCAAGUAAGGAAAUCCUUCCCAAAACAAGCAACAUAUCGAGCAACAUAAGUUUUAGAACUCAUUCAUGGCGAUCUCUGUGGACCAAUCUCGCCCCCAACAGCUGCAAAAAGGAAGUACAUAUUUGUCUUAAUCGAUGACUUCUCACGAUAUAUGUGGUCGGUAUUACUAAAGGAGAAGAGCGAAGCAUUUGAGAAGUUCAAAGCUUUCAAAACUGCAGUCGAACUAGAAGCUGGAACAAGUAUCAAGACAUUCAGAACUGACCGAGGAGGGAAGUUCAUGUCUCAGGAGUUCCAAACAUACUGUGAAGAACAAGGUAUCAACAGACACCUAACAGCACCAUACACGCCUCAGCAGAACGGCGUCGUCGAAAGGCGGAGUAGGACUCUCUUAGAGAUGACUAGAAGUAUGUUAAAACAUAUGAACAUGCCUAACUACUUGUGGGGAGAAGCGGUGAGACACUCAACGUAUCUCAUAAAUAGAGUCGAGACCAGAUCGUUGCAAAAUCAAACACCAUAUGAAGCUUUCAAAUGCAGAAAACCAAAUGUGGAGCACCUACGAGUAUUUGGCUGCGUGAGCUAUGCAAAGAUUGAGGGUCCGUAUCUAAAAAAGUUAGACGACAGAUCGCAGAUGUUAGUAUAUCUUGGAACAGAACCCGGAUCUAAAGCCUAUCGCCUUCUCAAACCUACAAAACGCAGGAUUGUAGUUAGCAGAGAUGUUGUGUUCGAUGAGAAUAAGAGUUGGAAGUGGAACAACUCAGAUGCAGAUUUCCAGAAUGAAACAGGGACGUUCACAAUUAACUUUGGAAGAAGUGAGAACAUGAGAACAGAAGAGGAAGAAUCUAUCGAAGAAACAGAAGAGAAUGAAGGAGACAAAAGUAAUGAUAGAGACGAGUUUAACGAAACAGAGAAUGCAGAGCAAGAAGAUGCACAACCGGCCUUGAGAAGGUCAACAAGAACUAUUGUAAAGCCUCGACAUCUGGAGGACUUCGUAAUGCUAGCAGAGAUGGAAGGAGAAUAUCUCCUGCUAGUAAUCAAUGAGGAACCAUGGGACUUUCAAGAGGCAAGCAAGAUAAAAGAGUGGAAAGAAGCCUGUAAUGAAGAGAUUUCAUCAAUAAACAAAAACAGAACAUGGAGUCUUGUUGAUCUUCCAAGCGGAUGCAAAGCAAUUGGUCUUAAAUGGGUAUUUAAGAUCAAACGAAACUCAGAUGGCAGCAUAAAUAAGUACAAAGCCAGACUAGUAGCAAAAGGCUAUGUACAGAAACAUGGUGUCGACUUCGACGAGGUAUUUGCUCCGGUAGCAAGAAUAGAAACGGUUAGGUUUAUUCUUGCACUAGCUGCUUCAAACGGAUGGGAAGUGCAUCACUUGGAUGUUAAAACCGCGUUCCUUCACGGAGAAUUGAAAGAAGAUGUCUACGUCACCCAGCCAGAAGGUUUUCAAAUCAUUGGAAGCGAGUAGAAGGUCUAUAAGUUACACAAAGCCCUCUAUGGACUUAGACAGGCACCACGGCAUGGAACACCAAACUCAACAAAAUUCUAAGUGAGUUAGGCUUCAAAAGGUGUUCAAAGGAACCUUCUCUCUAUCGUAAACAAGAUAAGGAGUAUCUUCUUCUAGUGGCUGUAUAUGUAGACGAUUUGCUGGUCACUGGUUCAAGCUUGGAUCUAAUUAUCAAUUUCAAAAGGAAUAUGGCAGGGAAAUUUGAGAUGAGUGAUCUAGGGAAGCUUACAUACUACCUAGGAAUCGAAGUUCUUCAAGAUAAGAAAGGGAUCAUACUGAAGCAAGAAAGAUAUGCAAAGAAAAUCUUGGAAGAAGCAGGAAUGAAUGAAUGCAACUCAUGUCACAUACCGAUGGACUCUGGCCUAAAACUCUGCAAGUUCCAAGAGCAAAAGCACAUUGACGAACAUGAGUACAGAAGGAAGAUUGGAUGUUUCAUAUGUCUCUUGCACACUAGACCAGAUUUGUCUUUUGCAGUUGGAGUAUUAAGCAGAUACAUGCAGGAACCGAGGGAAUCACAUGGAGCUGCACUAAAACAGGUGUUAAGGUAUCUACAAGGAACAUUGUCUCACGGUCUCUAUUUCAAACGUGGAGGAGAUAAAGGCUUGGUAGGCUACAGUGACAGCAGUCACAAUGUAGACAUGGAUGAUGGGAAGAGUACAGGAGGUCACAUAUUCUAUCUUAAUGGCUGCCCAAUCUCAUGGUGCACGCAGAAGCAGGAAGUUGUGGCAUUGUCCUCUUGUGAAGCAGAAUUUAUGGCGGCUACUGAGGCAGCUAAGCAAGCUAUAUGGCUUCAAGAAUUGUUUGCAGAAGUUAUCGGAACAAAGUGUGAAAGAGUGACAGUUCGCGUGGACAACAAAUCAGCAAUUGCUCUUUCAAAAAAUCCAGUGUUUCAUGGACGCAGCAAGCAUAUUCACCGCAGGUACCAUUUCAUACGUGAGUGUGUUGAGAAUGACCAGAUCGAGGUUGAGCAUGUCCCUGGAAGUGAACAAAAGGCCGACAUCUUGACCAAAGCUUUGGGAAGAAAUAAGUUCAAAGAGAUGAGGGAGCUUAUAGGAGUGCAAGGAGUGUCACAAGAAGAUUUCAAGCUUAGAGGGGAGAUUGUUGAACUAAGCUUGAACAAAGCUUGAGAAACAAGUUUCCUAAAAGGAUUAGGAAAUAUAAUAUAUUUAGGAGAUAUCUAAAUAUACCUUAGGAGUCAUCUAUAAGAAGUUUUCUAUUUCUAUAAGGUUUAGGAAUUUGUAAGUCUUCUCUUCUAUAUAUAUGAAGUUACCAAAGUGUGGUAGACUCAUGAGAUUAUAGAGAGAGCUUUGAGGCUUUAAGUUUUUGAGUGAGUUUUCUUAAAGCAAUAAAAGGUGUUUUGGCAAUCUUAUAUUCUCAAAGAAGUUAGAGUUUAGAACUUUAUUUGGUAUCAGAGCAAACCGAGGAAACUCAAGAAGAACAGAGCAAGUUGAUGUAUGCAAAUACAGAAACUCAGCAAAACCGGAGUCAGAAUAAUGAAAAUAGAAACAGAGGUCGAGGAGGACGUUUCUAUAACAGAGGAAGAGGACGCGGAAGAUCAAACGAGAGAUCGUAUGAACCAAGAGACUUAUCAAAGGUUGUUUGCUAUCGGUGUGACAAGACAGGACAUUAUGCAGCGAGUUGCCCGGAUCGUCUACUUAAACUCCAGGAAACACAAGAAAACGAAGCAGAGGAUGAUACACAAAAGGCGGAAUCCCUUCUAAUGCACGAAAUUGUGUAUCUUAACGAAAAGAAUGUGAAACCAAAGGAGUUCGAGACACGAUCCGAUAGAGAGUGGUAUUUAGACAACGGUGCCAGUAACCACAUAACAGGAAAUCGAACCUGGUUCACAAAAAUCAACGAGAUGAUCACAGGGAAAGUACGAUUCGGAGAUGAUUCACGUAUAGACAUCAAAGGGAAGGGUUCGAUCCUGUUCAUGACAAAAAACGGUGAUAAGAAGAUACUAGCCUAUGUCUAUUAUAUACCAGAUCUCAAAAGCAACAUAAUAAGCUUAGGACAGGCUACUGCAGCAGGAUGCGAUGUGAGGAUGAGAGAAGACUAUCUCACAUUACAUGAUCGAGAAGGGAACUUGCUGGUGAAAGCAAUACGAUCGAGGAAUAGAUUAUACAAAGUGGCGUUGGAGGUUGAGAACACUAAGUGUCUGCAGAUCAUGGCAUCCAAAGACUCAAGGUGGCAUGCCCGUCUAAGGCAUAUCAGCACCGAAACCAUCCAGUCUAUGGCAGCAAAGGAACUAGUUAUCGGAAUAACUAAUCCGCCGAAAGAAAAGGAUACCUGUACAUCAUGUCUACUUGGGAAGCAAGUAACAAAAUCCUUCCCAAAACAAGAAACAUAUCGAGCAACAAAAGUUUUAGAACUCAUUCAUGGCGAUCUCUGUGGACCAAUCUCGCCCCCAACAGCUGCAAAAAGGAAGUACAUAUUUGUCUUAAUCGAUGACUUCUCACGAUAUAUGUGGUCGGUAUUACUAAAGGAGAAGAGCGAAGCAUUUGAGAAGUUCAAAGCUUUCAAAACUGCAGUCGAACUAGAAGCUGGAACAAGUAUCAAGACAUUCAGAACUGACCGAGGAGGGGAGUUCAUGUCUCAGGAGUUCCAAACAUACUGUGAAGAACAAGGUAUCAACAGACACCUAACAGCACCAUACACGCCUCAGCAGAACGGCGUCGUCGAAAGGCGGAAUAGGACUCUCUUAGAGAUGACUAAAAGUAUGUUAAAGCAUAUGAACAUGCCUAACUACUUGUGGGGAGAAGCGGUGAGACACUCAACGUAUCUCAUAAAUAGAGUCGAGACCAGAUCGUUCCAAAAUCAAACACCAUAUGAAGCUUUCAAAUGCAGAAACCAAAUGUGGAGCACCUACGAGUAUUUGGCUGCGUGAGCUAUGCAAAGAUUGAGGGUCCGUAUCUAAAAAAGUUAGACGACAGAUCGCAGAUGUUAGUAUAUCUUGGAACAGAACCCGGAUCUAAAGCCUAUCGCCUUCUCAAACCUACAAAACGCAGGAUUGUAGUUAGCAGAGAUGUUGUGUUCGAUGAGAAUAAGAGUUGGAAGUGGAACAACUCAGAUGCAGAUUUCCAGAAUGAAACAGGGACGUUCACAAUUAACUUUGGAAGAAGUGAGAACAUGAGAACAGAAGAGGAAGAAUCUAUCGAAGAAACAGAAGAGAAUGAAGGAGACAACAGUAAUGAUAGAGACGAGUUUAACGAAACAGAGAAUGCAGAGCAAGAAGAUGCACAACCGGCCUUGAGAAGGUCAACAAGAACUAUUGUAAAGCCUCGACAUCUGGAGGACUUCGUAAUGCUAGCAGAGAUGGAAGGAGAAUAUCUCCUGCUAGUAAUCAAUGAGGAACCAUGGGACUUUCAAGAGGCAAGCAAGAUAAAAGAGUGGAAAGAAGCCUGUAAUGAAGAGAUUUCAUCAAUAAACAAAAACAGAACAUGGAGUCUUGUUGAUCUUCCAAGCGGAUGCAAAGCAAUUGGUCUUAAAUGGGUAUUUAAGAUCAAACGAAACUCAGAUGGCAGCAUAAAUAAGUACAAAGCCAGACUAGUAGCAAAAGGCUAUGUACAGAAACAUGGUGUCGACUUCGACGAGGUAUUUGCUCCGGUAGCAAGAAUAGAAACGGUUAGGUUUAUUCUUGCACUAGCUGCUUCAAACGGAUGGGAAGUGCAUCACUUGGAUGUUAAAAUCGCGUUCCUUCACGGCGAAUUGAAAGAAGAUGUCUACGUCACCCAGCCAGAAGGUUUUCAAAUCAUUGGAAGCGAGUAGAAGGUCUAUAAGUUACACAAAGCCCUCUAUGGACUUAGACAGGCACCACGGGCAUGGAACACCAAACUCAACAAAAUUCUAAGUGAGUUAGGCUUCAAAAGGUGUUCAAAGGAACCUUCUCUCUAUCGUAAACAAGAUAAGGAGUAUCUUCUUCUAGUGGCUGUAUAUGUAGACGAUUUGCUGGUCACUGGUUCAAGCUUGGAUCUAAUUCUCAAUUUCAAAAGGAAUAUGGCAGGGAAAUUUGAGAUGAGUGAUCUAGGGAAGCUUACAUACUACCUAGGAAUCGAAGUUCUUCAAGAUAAGAAAGGGAUCAUACUGAAGCAAGAAAGAUAUGCAAAGAAAAUCUUGGAAGAAGCAGGAAUGAAUGAAUGCAACUCAUGUCACAUACCGAUGGACUCUGGCCUAAAACUCUGCAAGUCCCAAGAGCAAAAGCACAUUGACGAACAUGAGUACAGAAGGAAGAUUGGAUGUUUCAUAUAUCUCUUGCACACUAGACCAGAUUUGUCUUUUGCAGUUGGAGUAUUAAGUAGAUACAUGCAGGAACCGAGGGAAUCACAUGGAGCUGCACUAAAACAGGUGUUAAGGUAUCUACAAGGAACAUUGUCUCACGGUCUCUAUUUCAAACGUGGAGGAGAUAAAGGCUUGGUAGGCUACAGUGACAGCAGUCACAAUGUAGACAUGGAUGAUGGGAAGAGUACAGGAGGUCACAUAUUCUAUCUUAAUGGCUGCCCAAUCUCAUGGUGCACGCAGAAGCAGGAAGUUGUGGCAUUGUCCUCUUGUGAAGCAGAAUUUAUGGCGGCUACUGAGGCAGCUAAGCAAGCUAUAUGGCUUCAAGAAUUGUUUGCAGAAGUUAUCGGAACAAAGUGUGAAAGAGUGACAGUUCGCGUGGACAACAAAUCAGCAAUUGCUCUUUCAAAAAAUCCAGUGUUUCAUGGACGCAGCAAGCAUAUUCACCGCAGGUACCAUUUCAUACGUGAGUGUGAUGAGAAUGACCAGAUCGAGGUUGAGCAUGUCCCUGGAAGUGAACAAAAGGCCGACAUCUUGACCAAAGCUUUGGGAAGAAAUAAGUUCAAAGAGAUGAGGGAGCUUAUAGGAGUGCAAGGAGUGUCACAAGAAGAUUUCAAGCUUAGAGGGGAGAUUGUUGAACUAAGCUUGAACAAAGCUUGAGAAACAAGUUUCCUAAAAGGAUUAGGAAAAUUUAAUAUAUUUAGGAGAUAUCUAAAUAUACCUUAGGAGUCAUCUAUAAGAAGUUUUCUAUUUCUAUAAGGUUUAGGAAUUUGUAAGUCUUCUCUUCUAUAUAUAUGAAGUUACCAAAGUGUGGUAGACUCAUGAGAUUAUAGAGAGAGCUUUGAGGCUUUAAGUUUUUGAGUGAGUUUUCUUAAAGCAAUAAAAGGUGUUUUGGCAAUCUUAUAUUCUCAAAGAAGUUAGGGUUUAGAACUUUAUCCUUCUCUAUCAUCUUUUACUAUCAUAUUGUGGAGUAUGAUACAAGCUCUUAUAAUCUUUCCGAUUUUUUCUUUAUCCCAAAACAAAGCCGGAUUUUUGACAAUGGCAAAUCGAGAUUGCAAGACUCCAAAAGCACGCUCGACAUCUUUUCGAUAACCUUCUUGACGUUCAGCAAAUAAACAUGCUUUUUCGCCUUGUGGUAGUGGAAUAGAUUGGAAAAAAGCUGCCCAUUUUGGAUAUAUACCAUCAGUUAGAUAGUAUGCCAGAUGAUACUCCUUUCAAUUGACAAAGAAAUUAACUUUCGGAGCUCGACCUUUUAUAAUGUCAUCAAAAACGGGUGAGCGAUCCAAAACAUUAAGAUCAUUAAGGGUACUUGGCGGUCCAAAAAACGCAUGCCAAAUCCAGAGAUCGUAUGAAGCAACCGCUUCUAAGACUAUUGUCGGUUUUCCAGCACCUCGUACAUACUGGCCUUUCCAAGCGGUUGGACAAUUCUUUCAUUCCCAAUGCAUACAAUCUAUGCUUCCUAUCAUCCCAGGAAAUCCGCGUUCCUCUCCAAAAUAAAGUAGACGUUGAAGAUCUUCUGCCGUGGGUCUUCUGAGGUACUCAUCGCCAAAGAGAUUUAUAAUUCCUUCAACAAAAUUUUCCAGACAUGAACGAGCUGUACUUGCACCUAGUCGUAGGUAUUCGUCAACGGUAUCAAGUGCCGUGCCAUAAGCUAAGAGACGAAUUGCGGCUGUACACUUCUGAAGUGCAGAUAGACCAAGUCUACCCCGGGCAUCUUUUCUCUGUUUAAAGAAACUGACUUCGUUGGAGAGCCGAUGAACAAUACGCAAGAACAAUGCCUUGUUCAUUCUAAAACGUCGUCGGAAAAGGUGGUCGGGAUAAAUUGCGUUUUCGCUGAAGUAAUCAUUUCAUAAUCUUAUGUGGCCUUCUUCUCGAUUUCUUUCUAUAAAAGCUCGUUUCCCGAACAAGUAUUGUUUCCAUCUCCAUUUCCCUCUGCAUUUGCAUCCUCCGUCUUCCUCCUUUUACAGCUGCCAUCGGUUUUACUGGUUGACAAAUCACACCACUUUUGGUCGUUCUUCAGUUCCUUCCAAGCGUAUUCGAGAGUGAAUUUCUUCUUAUGGAGAUUGAAGAAAAUAGCAUGCGCAUUUUUGAAAAUGUCAUUCUCGUUUUGACCACUUGUUCUUUCUCUUGUUGCAGCCUCAUAAGCCCCACAGAACUUGCACACAAGAUCAUUAAUCUUGUGCCAUCUUUGUUUGCACUGCCCAGACUCUCGGAUUUCUCCUCCCUUUUGAUUCGCCGCAAAGUACAAAGCAAUGCGACGCCAAAAAGUGCCACUUUUGUUCAUUUCCUACAACCGGGUCCUUCGAGGUGUUCAACCACGAGCUGAUGAGCAGGGUAUCUUCCGCAGGACUCCACGGUUGUCUAAUCACCUUGCUCGUCACUCCAACCUCUUCUACUUCUUCGGUAGAAGCUUGGGUACCGAAGGCAUGGUUUUCGAAGGAAAGGUAUGGAUUUGGGUAAGGUGACACACUCUCUUGUUGACUUUGUAAAAGAUCAACAAAGUUUAAGGUGUUGUUAAAGGGAAAUGGAGAAGACAUCCUUGGACAAAAGAAGAGAAGACAAGAAGGAUUGCAACUGAUACGAGAAGAGAUGAAAGAAGAGAAAACUAUAUUUUUUGGAAGUGAUACGAGAAGAUAAGAAAGAAGAGAUGAGCUUAAAAAAGUGUCCGAGUUCAAAGAGAUGAGAAAGAGAGUGCUUUAUACUAGCAUGAAAGAAGAGGGAACAAAAGUGUCCGAGUUCAAAAAAUAAACAUUAACUACACCCUAAACACAAGCAUUCAACCCAACCUAACACAAUAUGCAUUGAUCACAAGCAGAAGAGACUUGACACAUAUCUAACUUUAACAUUAACUAAUCCCCUAUUCCAUUUAUUAUCUAACACGACUUAAACCCACAUCAAAAUAGCAUUUACUACAAGUAACUAGGAAGUGAUUGAAGCUAACCUUUUUAGGCGGGUGAUGAUAUCCUAAACCGCUUUGCUUCUUCUCUCCUCUUCAUGUCAUUCCAUCUCCAUUUACUCCUUGUGCAGAGAACAAAAACAACAGUAAAUAUGAGUUAGUUGAACAUCAACUAUACACACAAGAGUUAAUGAACUACAACUACACAAACAAGACAAGUAAUACACACUCAGAGUUAAUGAACUUCAACUACAAACCAAAGAAUAAACUUUAAACCCAUUCACAAACUCAUACAAACUCAUCGCCACAAUGAGCAAAACAAAAUUAUCGAUACUUAAAGAUCAAAACAAAGUCAUCUAUCAUUCGUCGAUCAAAACAAACUAAAAAUUGUACCCAAUCAUCGUAAACCCUAAACGAAAUCAGAAGACAAAAGACAAAACCAUUAAUCAGCCAAGACAAAUCAUUUGUCGAAACCAUUUCAUCCGAUCAUCAAAAACCUAAAUCAGCAUACAUAUCCAAGCACAACCAAUCAUCGCUACCUCUGAACCCUUUCAGUAAACCAUUUCAUCCGAGAUAUUCAAUCUAAACCCAAAAAUCAGAACAAUUUCAAUCGAUUCUUCGUUUACCUUCUCCAACGGUUCCAUGGAUCCAGAAGCUUCAAGCCUUCACAACUCCUCGAUUCCGCCAAUCAGCUGUUCAGAAGACAUCGCCGCCACCGUCUGAAAAUUGCUGACAAAGAAUUCCGAUGAAUUGACGACUUGCGAUUCGACGGAGAUAACGAAGAAAGAAGAGAGGAAAAUGGUUUUUGGGAGAUGAAAAAUUGUUUGAGGACCCAAAAAAAAAUUUCUCUUCUCCAUUUUUUUAGUCCAAUGAUUUUUCGCCAUGUGUGUGUAGAGAAAUGUUUCUCUCAGAUCCAAUUUAGGCGACGUCUCUCUCCCUUUUUAUUGUUUUUGAUUUAUUUAAUUAAGCGAAAUUAGGUAGAGACGGGUUAAAUACCCCAUUGCACAUGCUCUAAGAUAACACAUCUUUCUCCAAUACGGGUGGUUAGGAGAUUUUCCAAAGGAAAAAAUAAAUAAAAAUUGCUUACGAAAGACUUUGACUAUUCUAAUAUCCGACCAUAGAUUUUACGUGUGAAGACUUUGCUUAAACUUAUUUCAAGUCGACUAAAGUCCUAUCUUCUGCUCUUAUGUUCUUCGUUUGGCGCUUGUAGCUGUCAAUUUGUUAGCCAUGUUGGCUUUGUUAUUGUUUGUAAACAAUUCCUCCUCUAAUGGAGCGUAGCUAAUCUAUAAAAUCUCAUUUGAGCAAAAAAAAAAUUAAAAGGAAACCAAAGUCUAAGGUUACAGAAACUUGAAUUGGUGAAUUAGUGGAGAUGAUUAUGUAAUGAAAUCCUAAACGAUUAUUGUGUUGUGCCCAUUCUAUUUCUUCGUUAGUCUCUCUGAAGUAGAAGAACAUACCUUCGAUUAAGACAUUGCCUGUUUAUGAUUUCACUUGGAUUCAUGUUUCUUUUUUAGCACUCUAUUGAGGAUUUCUUAUGUGCUACUUGGAACAAGUAUAGGUUUUAAUUCUUUAAGUUGCUCAUUAAUGGAAUUUUAGUGAGUGUAGAGAUUUUGAGUUCACUAAUUCGUAAAAGAAACGCUUGACAAAAGUGAGGAAGACGGAUUCGUAAAAGAAAAAGAUUGAGUUUGCCACAAACUACUCCACAAGAUUGAUCCCUAUAGCUAAUUCAAAUAGUAUUUGGAGACAAACUAUGUGUAAGACCGCGAAAAUCCGAUUGAAAUCACGAAUAGAAAAUAGCAAUAUUAUAAACGAUAUGUUAAGGUAAGAGAUUAAAACGAGAGUUAGAAAACCGAUUGAAAACAGACGAAAACACGGAGUCGAGAUAUGAUCUCUUUCCUUAACUCAAUAAAUCGCCCGUAAUGUGUGACGGUUUAUUGCGAUUUUUGAAUCCCAGGAUACAACCGUGAUGAGACUAUUACGCAACACCCGUAAAAGAAUCUGCGAACUGAAAUUAUACUACGCUAUAGCUCUCGAGACACUUACGAUAUUAAGACGAGAGGGUUGCUGGAAAGAAUUAUUUGCUGUGUGUUUGGAGUAUUCGAGAAUUCGAUUAUAAUUCGAUGAUCUAGAAUGAGAGAAGAUGGCGUCUAUUUAUACUGGAAGGUUCAGCUUGAUCCGCAAGGAAUAAGCUUUGGCGAAAAGGAAUAUUCACAAAAUAUUCUCCUUUUUCUGCAAGUAAAAGGAUUCGGAAAUCUUCCGUUAUUAUCUGGACGCAAUCUUUUAUUUCUUAAGAUUUAUCCUUUCAAUAUGCAAAAAAAUAUUUCGCAGGAACUAAGAUGCCCACGACCCACACCCAGCUAAAUAGAGCCCAAGAGCCAACUAAAAAAUGCAAUGAGCAACGAGCAACGAGCCCGGCACCGGCAACGGCGGCGGCGCGCGUAGGUGUUUUUGCAUAAUGCCCUUUUACUUCCACAAUGAUGCUGACCCUUAUUGUGAGAAAACCAUAUAUAUACAAGAGAUUUUUCUCCUUGGUGAGCAAUGUGGGACAAAUACACUUCCACUAAACUUCUACUUUUAGUUAAAAUUAAUAGGAAUAUUUCAUUUCUAUAGGCUCAAACCCAAAUCUUAAAUGAAUUUAUAAGGCCCAUUUGCUUAUUAAACUUCAUUUCUUAUUCAUACACAAACUCAAUAUUACAAGUCCAAAUGCUUAUCUAUAUUAGUAUUUGUGAAGUGAUUCGGGCUGUGAUUUAACGCACAGAUUUCUGUGUCGUUUUGAUUAAUGAAAUUAUGAGGAUUUGAUUGGUUGAUAAUUGUUAUAAUUUGAUUGGUUGAAUUAGUUAAUUUUAAAUCAUUAAAAUCGAUAUUAGUUGCUAAAAAAUGGAAAACUUCUUUAAUUCAAGUAGGAUUUGAUUGGUUGAUAAUUGUUAUAAUUUGAUUGGUUGAAUUAGUUAACUUUAAAUCAUUAAAAUCGAUAUUAGUUGCUAAAAAAUGGAAAACUUCUUUAAUCAAAUCCUCAAAAAAAUUUCAAACCCAAAAAACAUAUACAUACCUUCCAAUACGUCAUUUGUGCUGAUUGAGAUGGUAGUGUGUUGGUUAAGUGCUUUGUCCAUUUAUCGAAGGUUCACGGGUUCGAAUCCUGUAAUUAGUGUUUUUUUUUUUAAUUCUAUUUUUGGAAAUAUUUUAUAUUUAUUAAAUAUUUUGUAAAAGGGAAUAUUCCAUAAUUUCUUUGUUAUUAUCUACAAUGGAAUCUUUACAUUUUUAUUAUAGAUAGCUACGAAAUUCAUGGGAAGAUAAUAUCGCAUGUAGAUCAAUAAUUACAUUUUAGUAUUUUUCACAAGAAAAUAAACCCUAGGUUGUUUAGACGUAUAAAUAUGAGCGUUUUCAACCAAGCUUCUCAUAAUUAACGCAUUAGUUUUUCUAUUAGGGUUCUGUGAUUAUUUUGCUAGGUUUUUUAUUAUAGCAUUAACUUUUUGGAUCUCUUUAGAAAAGAUUCAGCAUGUUUGUCUAUUUGCAUGCAAAGCUAACAAUGUGUUCCUCUAAGUACAGCUUUGAUCAUCCAUCUAAAGUCAGAAUCACUUGGGAAGUUCCGUCUACCGAUUCUGGUAUAUAUGUAUAACUAUUAUCAAAUUUAAUAAUAGUAUGUAUGCUCUCAAUUUUUUUAGAUGAAUUCUAAAAAUUUAUACGACUAUAGGUUUUGAUAACCAGGCUUAUGCUCGCGGGUUAAAGUCUGUGUUGAAAUCGCAUCGUCAGAAUAUGGAUAACAAAGACAUGACUGAUUAUCGUUACGUGACUCCAUAUGUUUUCGUGGAUAUCACCAAAAAAAAAGGUUGUUGAACCUCUUUAGUUUAUUCAUUCAAUUUAUAAUACUUAUUAGUAGUUGUUUGUAUUUGUAGGUUAUCCAUGCAAGCUACUUAUCGAUUCUGCUAUCGAUGAAUGGACCUUGCGGACAUAUAAUCCUGUUAUCGAAGGUAGUCCUAUCUAUUAAUCUUACAGUUUUUACCUUUUGUAAUGCUAUAUCUUAGCCUUUCAGAUGCAUACCCUUAUUAUAUAUUAGUCUAUGAACGUUUUCAAUUUUUAUGUAGAUAUUGAUUCUUCGUAUCAUAUAUCUAUUCUUGAUCACGAGCUUUUUAUCAAAGGAGGUAUUUCCGCUCUUAAUGUAAUAUAUUUUUGUUAAUGGUGUAUAUUAAGUCUUUAUGUUUGCUCUAAUGUUUGUUUUGUGUAUUUAGUUUCUGAUCGUGUUAAUACGAGUGAUCAUGCUCAGAAGACUUUUCUAUGGGAUUUUGCGAGGAAUGCUUGGGUUAUGAAUAAAGAAUCUAAUGGUUUCAAUUCUUUUUUUUUGUUUUGAACACUGUUUUUUAUGUUUUUUUAGAAUACUAAUUACAUCGUUUUUACAUAUAUUUAUCUAUGCAGAAGAUAGUGACUCUGAUGAUACUGAGGUUUCAUCGGGUCGUGGUAUUGAUGAUGAUUAUGGUUUUGAGGAUUAUAUGAGGUCUGAUUCAGAGACGGGUGAAGAUACUGAUGAUAUGGACCCAACAGAUGAGUAUGAUUCUGAGGAUGAUUUUAUUGACGAUGAUGAGACUUGUGAAGAAUCUGAUGGUUCAAGUGAUAGCUCAGAAGAUGAUAGCGGUGAUGACGAAGAUGAAGAUGACGACGAUGCCGAUUCAACUGAUGAUAAUGAAAAUGAUGAUGAAGAUGUUAUGUUGGAUGAUGAGACUGAUAUUGACGAUGAUAGUGAAGAUCAGCGAAACGUCGAACUGAGUGAUAUACUCAUCGAAAAGAAUAUUAGUAUAUCUGGACACCAGGAUUCGGUGUGUACUUAUACAGUUUCUCUUGGUUCAAUGUGUUUUGGUAAGUGUGUUUCACGUUUGAGUCCUUCCAAAGAUGAUUGUACUAUCUUUGUUAAGGUUUUACAAACGUGGGUGCAUAUGCUAAUUUCGAAACGUUCUUCUAUGGAGCUCAUAUUGUCAGAUGAACAGGUAUUUAUUGUACUAUUACACAAAAGUAUUAUAAAUUUUAGUCGGUGUCUAAUUGACUGUUUUAUUCACAGGGUGUAAAAAUUCAGGCCACUGUUAGUGAUGGUGAGAUCAGUGUUGCAUCGUCUCGCAUAGAUGUUGGUAGUUGGAUUAUUAUCAGUCGUUUUUCUGUUACUGAUUGUGAGGAUAGUUGUAGACCGACUUCUCAUAGAUACAAAAUAUUGUUCCUACCAUCAACUAUCAUUGACAAGACUUCACGUAGAUGUGAAAAUGCCUAUUUUGACUUCGUUGAUUUUCAAAGGAUAUUGGAUCGUUCCCAUGAUGAUGACUAUUUAGUUGGUGUGUUUAUUUUUGAUUUAGUUAUUGAAUUUCUUUAUUGUUAUCUUACUGAUGCUAACAUUGUUUAAUUUUUGUUGUCUAUGAAGAUUUGAUAGGUCGUGUCUUAAAUGUAAGACUAUCUGGAACGUCCCGUGGUUUACUGACUGGAGAGCAUUCUUUUCAUUCAUAUGGCAGUCUAUGUAAUGAUAUAUGUGAUUCCGAGAUAUGGGGUUCAUAUUCAACCGUCACGUUCUGUCUUAGAGAUAAACGGUAUUGUCUGCUGAAUGUUUUAAACUGUAUAAUGUCGUUUUAAUUAUUCUAUCCAUCUGAAUAUGUGUGGCAUGUUUUAAUUUAGUGGUGUUGAUUUGAGUUGUGAAUUGUUCGGUGAGAUGGCGAAAAACUUUUAUGCAUCUUGGAGACGAUGUGAUCAAGAUAUCAUUGUGUGUGUGCUUAGAUGGGCUGUUAUUGAUUAUUUUGGAGGUAUUUUUAGUAUACUAAUUUAUAUUCUCUAUGUUCGUUUCAUUUUAUUGUUUUGACUCUGUAUUUGGUUUAUCAAUAUAGGCAAGAUCACUAUAUCUUCCACAUCUCCUACUAAGUUCGAACUCAAUCCCCAUAUUCCUGAGUUAGAUGAGUUUUUGGAACAGUGAGUUUCUAAUACUUAAUGUUUGUAUUUUGACUUUUUGGUAUUAAUUUGUGGUCGCCUUCUCUCUCUCUCAAGUCUUUUUUAUAACAAUGCAGAUAUCCGCGUAAGAGGCCAUGCACGCGUGGUAGUGUGGCACGUCUACAAUGAAUAAUGUUAUGACGUCUACAUUGAAUAUCAUUUUUACCAUGUAUACAAAUUAUAGUUUAAUUAUUCUUUGUUCUUCAGACCUCUUUAUUUCAAUCAAUAAAUAUAUUUUUUUAAUGAAAUUAUUAUUGUUGUUUGAUAUUGAAGUAUAUAGAGCGGAGAAAAUAAUAUAAGUUAUAUAUUCACAUAAAUAACGCAUGCUUUUAUUGGUUUCUUGGACUCCAAGUAACUCAUAUUUAUAAAUAUUUAAGAAGAUUUGAAUAUAUCCCCGAUCAUAUCAUAACUUUUAGUUUUUUCCAUUUAGUGUUUAUGAGAAUCAUGGUGUUUGAAUGGAUUGUUUUAUUGAUUUCUUGGACUCCAAGUAAUUUAUAUUUAUAAAUAUCUAAUAGGAUUCGAAUAUAUCCCCGAUCAUUCCACAAUUUUUGUUUUUUUUUUCAUUUAGUAGCUAUGGAAAUCUUGGUGUUUGAAUGAAUUGAUUAAUUAGUUAUUAAAAAGGAAAAACUCGGUAGUUGAGAUGUUAGUUAUUAAAAAGGAAAAACUCGGUAGUUGAGAGGUGUGUAUAAAAUGUAAAUAAAGGAAAACAUUCUAAGAAACCCUAGAAAAAAAAUAAAUAACGCGUAAACCACAUAACUCUUAUAUCUCUAUAUAUAUGCAUAUAUUUCGGUAUAGGUAUAUAUAUGCGUCUAUCGCGACUUCACGGGUUAUCAGCCUGCAUUGUUAGAAUUGUUUGCAUUCGGGUUCUUCGAUGAAAGCGUUUGGUAAAUGAGUUUUGUAUUACGUUUUUGAGGAUGUCACUAAUCGUUAAUUUUCUUUACGGUAUUUUAUUAAUUGUUCUUAUUGUAUAUAUGAUUGUUGUUCUAUUGUACAUGUCUAGGUGCUCACAAGCGACCACGUGUUAAUUGGCAAGUUAUGCCGUUUCAUCUCCCGGGGGAAAAUAUUGUGUUUUCUAAUAAUUUAGAUAGACGUGUUCCUGCUAAAAAACCUAAAUUCCUUGCUUGGUUUAGGUGUAAUCAGUCUUAUCCAGAGGCAAUGAAUCUUUUAUACUCGGAGAUUCCUUCUACGUUUGUAUGGGAUCGUAAAAAUAGGACAUGGAGGCCAAGACUAAAAGGAAAUUCUGGUGCUUGUGUUGUGGACGAAUCACCGACUGAGUAUGGAGAAGAGUAUUAUCUGAGACUAUUAUUGGACAUAGUUAGGGGUCCAUGUAGUUUUGAUGAUAUUAGGACUGUUGGUGGAGUCGUUUAUCCUUCGUUUAGAAGUGCAUACCAUGCAUUAGGGUUUGUUGGUUGAUUAUCAGAAGUCAGUAAUUUUUUACCAUGUUUUUUUUUUAGUUUCUUUAUCGUGGUAUACUUAUCUCUUAUUUUAGCAAAAGCAAUAUAUAAUAAAUGAUAUUAGAAUAAUUAUAUAUAUCAGUUUUGUUAUAAUAAUAAAGUUUAAUUAUAACAUAUUAUUAUUCCGCUUAGGGUUUAGGGUUUAGCCGUGCGGAAUAAUAAUAAAGCUUACACAGAACAUGCGACUUAUAUCUGGAGAUAAUAGCCGUGCGAUGCUUGAACGAGCUGCCUUUACAAAGUGGAUCUUAGACAUUGGUGAUGGUACGAUAAAUGACGAUGGUAGUGGUGAAGCUGUGAUUGAAAUUCCUGAUGAUCUGUUGAUUAAAGACUGUAAAGAUCCUAUAAAAACGAUCGUCAAAGAAGUUUAUGGGAGUUCAUUUUCGAAAAAGACUGAUCCUAAAUUUUUCCAAGACCGUGCCAUACUGAGUCAAAGAAACGAUGAUGUAGAUACGAUAAAUGAUUAUAUGCUUUCAAAGUUAUCGGGUAUGUUUAUUUUGUUUUAAUUCCUCUUAGUUUAUUUUUUUAUAUUUAUAUAAUACGACGGUUGUUUUGUAUAUAACAGGUGUUGAAAGGACCUAUCUUAGCUGUGAUAGCAUUGAUACAACUGAAGAAGUUGUCAAUUACAAUGAUGCAUCUGAAGUACCCUCAGAGAGUGUAGCCAGUAAGAAUAAAGGUGAUUCCAACAACAUGAUUUAUACCGAGGAGUUUUUAAAUAGUAUCAAGAUGUCUGGUUUCCCUAAUCAUGUCCUGAAGUUGAAAGAGGGUACUCCUGUAAUGCUUCUAAGAAAUAUCGACCCUAAGAAUGGGUUGUGUAAUGGCACAAGACUCAUCAUUAUUAAGAUGGCUAAUUAUGUUCUCCAGGCUCAGAUAAUAACAGGUAGCAAGGUUGGUGAAAAGGUACUGAUUCCUAGGAUAUUCCUCUCUCCUUCGGAGAUGAAACUUCCUUUCAGGAUGAGACGCAAGCAGUUUCCUAUCACAUUAGCUUUUGCAAUGACUAUAAACAAAAGCCAAGGACAGACACUCGAAAAGGUUGGUUUGUAUCUUCCAAGACCGGUUUUUACUCAUGGGCAACUCUAUGUCGCUGUAUCGAGGGUUACAUCAAGAGAAGGUCUGAAGAUAUUGAUCACCGAUAAAGACAACAAACCACAAAACAAAACAUUGAAUGUCGUCUACAAGGAGGUUUUUGACAAGAUAUGAUAUUUCUUUUUACUGUGUUUUGUUUUGUGAUAUGUUGUCUCUAUGUAUCUCGAAAUAUGUUAGUUCUUUUUAUUGUAUAAGACCAUUACAUUCGGUUUUAUAGUUUUUAAUAGAUUUUACUUUUUUCGAUUUUUCACUAAAUUGGAUCUCAUGUAUUAAUGGUUUGAUCUCUGAUUUUUAACUAUAGUCGGAUAAUCCAGUGACAAACUCUAUUCGAUAACAUAUUUUGACCAAAGUUUAAUUGUAGUAUAUUAUUGGGCAUCUAUUAACAUUUCAUCGAGAAUGCUUCAAAACCAAAUUAUCAUGUCAUCGAAAUAAACUUAAUAUUUUUUAGAAAAUAAAACCAAGUACAUAAUAGUGUCUUUAAAGUGAUCAUUACAAACAGAAAAAAAAAAACAUGAAUUUCGUUUCAAACUGAUAUUCUUCUUGAUUAAACUCCAGAUCUCCUCUUUUUUCGUUCCUUCUCCUUUCCCUUUAAACACAGACACAAACAAUCCGAUUUAGAUUUUUGUAAAACUAUAUAGCUUUGAACUAACUCAAUAUUAUAUCUAAAUAUGGAUUGUUUCUACAAUAUAGAUUUCAAUGGGCAAUCAAUAACAAACUAUAACGACUCAAUAACAUAGAUUUUAGACAAUUUUUCAUAAUUUAGAUCUAAAUAUAUUUCUGAUCACGUACCCAUUCGGCGGUAUCCAUGUGUCGAAUUUCUGUCUCCACAAAACCGCAACGCAUGCACUUCAACCCUAUCUCCAGAUCUAGAAUCAGGUCGUGUUUUCGUUUUGUGCAACUUGAUUGGGGUGUCUCAUUAGAUGUGUUGCCUUUGUCAUCCUCCAUAAGUUGUAGAAUAUACAGAUUUUAUUAUUCAUUGUGUAAGACAUGAUUAAAACAAACUUUAGUGAAUAGGAUGUAUUACCUGAGGAAUGUUCUGUUUGCCUUUCUGAUUUGAUGCGGUGAAUAAGUGUAUUUGUUCCCAUAAUUCUUCUUGCUCUAUCUCGGAAUCUGUUGGUGAAGGUGGUGAGUUUGGUUCCACGACACCAAAUCUCAUUACCAAUGGUGGGGGAUUGAUGAUCAACAAGCCAUUUUCAUCAAAUUUUUUUUCGUUUGUGUUCGCCAUCUUCUUAUGAAUUCUCUCAGAAACGAUAAUGGUACUUGAAAAAUAUUUUAAAGUUUUUUGAAAAAAAAACCAUCAAGUCAGUAUUUAUAAGGUGUGCAAUAAUAAUCAAUUUUCACGUUUUUCAAUUUUUUUAUGGGGAAGAUUAUGCGACUUUAUGUUUGCAACUAACUGUUUGACUUUCCAAGUUUCCUAUUUCAUAUAAUUUUAAGGAAAAAUGUUCAAUUAGAUACAUAAAGUUAUAACGUAAAAGUCUACAUAAAUGGCAUUUUUUGUUACGAUGUUGUAUGAAUAUGUCAUCUCCUAAAAUAUUGAAACAUAAAAUUGUCCAAAUAACAUAAGCCAUAGAGAGAGAUCAUAUUAUUUUAUGGAAAGUGUUGCAAUUUAGCAAAAGUUUAUAUUUAGUAAAAUAGUAUAUUUAAUUAUUGAGAUUGCGUGUAUAUUUGGUAAAACUUAAAACAUGGAAUAUAUUCUCUUACCAGGCACGUGAAACGAACAAAUCGGUCAAUCAAUAUGGAAGUGCCUUGACAUAAAUUAGUGGAUUGUUGUUGGUUUUGACAGUAAAGUGGCUUUAAAUGGUAACUGUUCAAAUUUUUUCUUUUAAAAUAAUUCAAACGAAAAUAAAUUUCUAAGAAAGAAAGAUAAUUCAGACAAAACCACAUCGGGCAAAGUAAGAUAAUUAUUUUGACAUUAACCCUACUCCCUUAAUAUAGUUUUUUGUGAUACUAUAUUGUUUACAUAUAUGCUUAAAUAUUAAUUUCAGGCUUGGGUGAAGAUAUGAAACGAUGUGCAUGAUUAUGAUUUAGCUAAUGUAAAUUUUCAUUGCAAUAAAUUGUCAUUUAACAUAUAUAGAUGGUUUUAUAGUAAACUAUCUUUAUAAUUGUUAACAACGAGAAUUGGAAUAUUAACAUAAUUUAAAAUAGAAAAAUCUCAAUAUAUAUAUAUAUAUCUAUUUAUUUUACUCGAAGAUAAUAUUGUUUAUUUAUCUAUAUUUAUCCUGAAAUGUUAAUAUUCUUAAAUUUUGGUUAUAUAUUAAUAUAAAAUCACAUUUUUUCUUAUAAAUAUGCUCUAAAUUGCAUAACCCUAAACGAUAGGCAUCACGCAAUGGCGGAUUAUGAUUUUGUUCGUCAAUUGGACUCUCAAAUGUCUGACUGGAUAAUUAUAGUGAAAAUACUCAAAAAAUGGGUGGUGGAUUACUCGGACGAUAAUCGAAGUCUAAAUUUCAUUCUGGUCGAUGAAAAAGUAAAUUUCAUUAACUUAACAUGUUAUUUGUGAUAAUUAUUAUUGAUUUUGCUUAUUGUUUUAACAUACAAUAAUUUGUUCUUUUGUUGAUCUAAUGUUAUCGUAUAAACUUCUAGGGUUGUAGAAUACAGGCUCGGGUAAACAAUCAGAUGAUGGAGCAUUUCAAUCAAAUAUGCGAAGAAGAUCAAUGGUUUAUGUUGACUGGAUUUCUUUUAAAUCCUUACAACUGGACUAAUAUCCAAAGUAUUACAAAACACGAUUACGUUAUUACACUUACACGGGGAACAACGAUAUCACCAGCUUUACCAUUAACAAAUAAUUCGUUCUAUAAUUUUGCAUCGUUCCUCUCGAUUUAUGAAUUCCCAGAUGCUCAUUAUUAUCUAAUUGGUAAGAUUAUUUUGGUAUCUUCUUAUAAUGCAAAAUAUAUAGUUCGCACUAAUGUCUUAAUUUUGACUAAUUACAAUCGCAGAUUUGAUUGGAGUCGUUGAAGAUGCUAGAUAUUUUACUAUUACAUACCCGGAUGGGACGACUACAUCAUCAAUUCGAUUUAAUAUAAUAGAUGAUGAGUAAGUAUAUCCCAAACUGUAAAUUUUUGAAGUUUAGCUAAUUAAUUAUUAACUACAUUCUUUGUCAAAAUAUAGGGAGUACAUGCUAGAGUGUGUUGCACAUGGUGAGUUGGCAACUGAAAUAAGAGAUAAGUGUAGAGAAUACGAAGGUCCCUUUGCUAUAUGUGUGUCAACCGAUUGGUGUGUAGCAAUUGACGGGGGUAUGUUCUCUGAUGAUACAUCAAUAUGUUAUUUAUAAAAUCGUUGUAUAUAACAUAACAAUAUUCCAAUAUAUAUGUUUUAGAGAAUGUGUCUAUCAAGGAUCAUGAUGAUGAUGGUGUGUCCCGUUUUAUCACUGAUUCACCUAUUAAUGAGGUUUUGACCUUGCGCAAUAGGUAAGUAUAUUUCGAUGUGUUGUUUAAAUUGACGUAUGAAAAAAAAAAUGUAUAUUUAGAUCUAAAUCGUUUUGUUAUUGAAAUUUCAGGAUUAGAGAGAGGUUAUAUGGGCUGGAUACAGAUGUGUCUAAUUAUUUGGGCCGAUCCGAAUGAUUCAAAAUCGAUAAUCCAUAUAUAUUAUUAGUUUUGUUAGACACUUUUUUUUUGUAUUUACAAGACUGUUUGGGUUUAGGGUUUAGUGUUAUAACCAAAUUUCUAAUUUUCCUUUAACAAAUAAAUUUUGUUAACCAAUAAUCUAUCUAGAAUAUUCAUCAUAAGUUGCAACUUUCCAAAAAUGGAACAUUUAUCUUUUGAAGAAUACAUAAAAUGAACUGAUUCACGCGACACUUUCCAUAACCGUUAUUUGGGUGUUAUAUAUAUCCCCAUUUUCUCAUAUACAUUGUUAAAAAUAAUCAACAAAGUAACCCUUCUCCCCAACUGUUUCUUUGGCUUUAUACAAAUAUUGUCCAGUAAAAUUAUGUUCCCUAGCUUGAUGUAAUGAUUGUAUACUGAAGAAACUAUUGUAUUUUUUGAUUGUUUUUUACUCGGUAUGCUCGCUUAUCUCGGUUGCGUGUAUGCUUAGUAUAUCAGAUGCAAUUAGAUUUUAUUCUCUCAUAUUGCAUGCUGCUAAUGUCUCGAAAAAGUACAUUAACGGAUGAAAGGACGCCUUUGACAGACAGUUGUUGGCAUUUAAAAUAAAACCUAUAAAUAAGUUAAUCUUUAUUUUAAUAAUACAUAUUCAAUGUUGUAUGUUUCCAUAAAUUUAUUGGGUUGAAAAAGGAAAUAACUGUCUAGAAUGUAACGCGUAUAUAUAUAUGUGUUCUCUUUCCUUAUUUUUUUUUACUUUCCUUUUGUGUUCUUGAUAGAGAAAAAAAAAUGUCUCAUGCUGUUGAUAUCUCUAGGUUAGAUUAUUACACCACCGGCGGUGAAGUUCGUGUGCAAGUUGUUCGACUCUGGAAGAAUGUGAAUUUCUUUGGUGAUACAAUUGAGAUGAUUCUCGCUGAUGAUCGGGUAUUUCGUUAUGUAGUUGUUAUUUCUUUAUAUAUUUCAUAGGGUUGUUUUUUAAAAGCAAUUUUUCUUUUGGAUUUUACACUUGAACUUAUGCGAAAUCGUCGAUCUUAGGGUCAUCGUAUCGGUGCAACUGUCAUGCCCGAUGAAAUCGCUCUGCAUGGACCUGUACUUAAACAAGGUUACUGGUUUAGGGUUCGUCGAUUCGUUGUUAAGAAGGCCAGUGGUUCGAUAUGCAUAACCGUAAACAGGCAUCGGUUUAUUUUCGGACCUCAUACGGUCGUGAUUCCUACCUCUCCAGUAACCCAUAAUUUACACUUGCAUCUCAAUUGCACACGCUUCUUUGACAUCGUGACUCGCGGAUUAGAUUUUGAGUUUUUAAUUGGUAAUAUUGGUAACCAUCUGUUAGUUUUGUGACAAUUUUAGUAUAAUGUAUCGUUUUGUUAAUAUUACUUUUUUUGUAUUCGAUAUGUAGAUGUAAUGGGAACCGUGUUGAAGAUGGGUGAUCUCUGUGAGAUAAACAGCGAUGCUUAUGAGGAUAAUGCAACAUAUGUUCGAUUCGAAAUUCUUAAUGCAGGGUAACAUCUAUGAGUUUAUAUCCACAUGUCGUUUGUUUUUGCAAAAAAAAAAAAAAAAAUGUUUCCUUUUGGUUUUAAGACAUCUAAACUGGAAGAACCUUUUUGUUCUGUUUUAAUCAAUUAGGAGAGAUUGUGUAUUGCCAUGUAUCGCCCGUGGGAAUUUGGCUAAGAAUCUGCAUAGUGUUUAUCAGCGUAAUCAAAGUGAAUCAGUGGUGUUUGUGCUGAGGUUUUGGAAGAUGACUAAUGGUCAAUGUAGGUUUUUAUUCCUUUUUUUAGUAUUUUAGAAUAGCUAAUCUUGCAUUCUUCUAAUUCUGAUUCGUAAAAUUAAUGAUAGGUGUUGAUAACAAGUCGGUUGUCCUAUGCUCUUACCCUCCUUGCUCUGAUUUCCUGUGUAAUCCUGUUGAUGACGAGAUUGACGAUUUCAGGGCUAAGUAAGUAUUAAAUUUAAUUUUUCUUUAUUGACAUAUUGUGUUAGUUGAUUUUUAGAUAUAUUGAUCUAACAUAUCGAUUUUUUUUUUUUGGUAGGCGACACCGUCUUAACUAAUGCACCAGCGAUGGAAUGUCAAUUCCUUAUCUUUCUUUUUAAUGUUUGUAAGACUAUUAUAUUAUGAUACUUAUUAAAUGAUAUCGGUUGUUGUUUAAUCUACUAUUUUGGUUUGACUCUAUGCAUACUGCAUUAUGUCUUAUUUAUAUUAUGAAUGUUAUGAAUGAUUAUGUCUUAUUUAUAUUAUGAAUUUUAUGAAUGAUAUCGUUACAUUAUCUUUAGUGUUUAGAAUAAAUUUGUAUAUCAAUGGUUUUGUAGUGUUUUGUCUUUUUUUGGUGAUGUAUGAUGAUUUGAAAAGUUGAUUUUUAAACUAUAGUCUACUCAAAGGGCUAAGUAUUCAUUGCGCUUUUGAAAAUAUAGCUGACAAGUUUCUGAUAGUUUUGAAUAGAUGGAUAUCUAUAGUUUUUUUAUUCUUAAUAAUGUUCUGAUUUGAUUCUAAAUCUGUUUGAUGUAAACGAUUUAUUAUGUUACAUUUAAAUUAUAUAUCAUCUGAGCCCAAAAUUUGUAUACAUCUUUUGGGCCAAAAAAUUUCUGUUGUAACCAAAAUUCGACCCUUCCUUUAACAAAUAUAUUGUGAUGGUCUUGGAUGGUCAAAAGGUUAGUCCUAUAAUUUAUGAAUAUCUCGGUUAUUGCCCUGAUCUAUUAAAUUUAUUAGUGAUUAAUAAUGUUUUCAAUAUCAAUCAUAUUGUUAAUGUGUUACCUUAAUAUUUUCUAAUUUUAUUACGUAUAAUAAUUCUUUCAUCUAAUUAAAGAGUUUUAAAAUUCAAAAUAACGAGAAAAAAGUCAAAUAGAAUUGUCAAACAAAAUAAAUGAAAACAUCAAAUGAAAUUGGUAGAUUCAAUGGCUAGGGAAAAUAGGUGAGUGAUCAAAAAAGUAGCCAUCUUCAAUGUUGUUAAAAUCAUCAGUGUAGUCAAGCCUGCAAGAACAAGAUAAAUAAUGAGUCGAAUAUUCAAUAAUUUUGUUUAGUAAAUUUACAAGAUGAUAACGGUGAACAAUGCUUACAUAAAAUGAGAAUUUUCGACUUCAGGAAUUGGAGGAUCGAACAAUAUUUCAGAGAAUUCUCGACCAGAACAAACACAUAUUUCAUCUGUACAAUAUAGAAAAUUAUAUUAGCUACAAUUGAUAUGAAUAUAAAUUGAUAUAUGGUUGGUCGAUAGAAUGAGAAAUAACCUCCAUAUCGACACAACUCCCAAAAUCUCAAUACACAGAAAACGAUUUUGCGACGAGGAGUAUUUUUCCAUAAGGACUCAAAAUGUUCAGCAUCUCUUCCCCACGCUAUGCAAUUGAUGUCGACACCCCUAAAAAACAGAAUUAAUAUAUCAUUUUCUUUAACAUCGAGAAUAUGAUAGUAAAGAUUUAUAUAUGUAUUAAUCUUUGUAUCAAUGGAUUCUUACUCAAAAUCUCUUAUUGUAAAUUUCAGAACACUUGAGUUGAUUCUCUGAUUUCCGAUGCAAAAUUGGUCUUGACGUUCCAAUUGACAAACUUUGAUAAUACCUCCGAUCAAAUCAACUAGCAUAAAGCAAUAUAUUCGUAUAAUUAAGUAGAGUAUUGAUUAAUCUAAUUGAGUAUAAUUAAAUACUAAGAAAACAUACCAACGUCUAUGUUUUCCAUCAGAGAUUCGUCAAGGACAUUUCUAAAAUUAGCAAAUGAAUACAACUGGUCAUCUGAUUUAGGCGAUGUCUUCUCAACAUGAGUAUCCUCAUCGAUACAGAUAUGGAGACCAUUGACUGUAAUCCUCGAAGUUCCUAUGUGUGGAGUAAUUUUGAAGUUACAAAUGAAAUACCAAUCUUUAUCACACAUCAUGCCUUCAUAAUGGUCUACUAAACGAUUCGGAAUCGAUGCACGUAUUCGAUCACCCUAGAUUUUCAGUUAAAAAAUAAUGAUGUUAUUGAUAAUAUAUCAAGAUUCAGACAGUAAUAUAUUAAGAUUCAGACAGUAUGUUAUUUUUGAAGUUAUACUUACAUGUUCGUCUGCGAAUAUAAACGAUCGCUGAAUACCGUGAACACCUAGGCUUUCCUCGACACUCUUGAUAACUUGAACACAGAUAGAAGAUCGAUCAGAUGCUAUACCUAAAGCAGAAAUCAUCGUGCAAGGAGACAUUUUUUUCAAAGAUAGAUGCAGUUAUUCUUAACAAUGAAUAAAAUCUGAUUAUGAGUAACAAAUGGGUACUACUUUAAAUUGAAAACCACCGUUACGACAACCAAUAGUAGUGUUUGCAAUGUUUUGAAAAAUAACGGUCAUAUUUACCACCGCUAAUUUAGUUGACUAUAUAUGUCAUGUUUUGUUAUAAUUAUAAUAUAAUAAUUAUGAAAAUCAAAAAUAGAAAGAACCUCAUAAGAAUCAUUACUAGGUGAUAAAAUGACAUAUAAUUGUGAUGAUUAAUAAUAUUUAUUUUAUUGUGACAAUAAUUGUGAUACUAGCUUUUUUAGAGGCUUAGACAUAGAAAUUUUUUUUUUAAAGGAAUAUUUAUAAGAUAUUAUUUCGUUUGUUAUAUAAAGUACAAAUCUUUCUAUAUUUGGUUAUUAUUAAUGGUAUAAUUUCAUUUUAUUAUUGUAAAUAAGUGUUGUUCAUCUUAAAAAAUGAUAUAUACCGAAAUUUGGCAAAAAAUAUUAUACAAUUUAACUAUUAUUCAUAAACUCAAAUAUAAAAAUAUUACACGAUUUCUUAAAUAUAUAAACUCGUGUCUGGCAAGAAUUGAAAAUAAAAAUCUGAUGUUUCAAUAAUCAAAUUAUAAUAAGGUUUAUAUAAUGAUUGUGUCCGCGCGACGCGGGCAGAUACCUAGUUAAUAUUGGAUUCCAACACUAUGAAACUAUGUUCAAGACCGGUGAAUAAUUGAGCGUUGAGGGCCUUGAGGCUGGUGCCUGUAAUUUGAACCGUAAAAUACAGGUUCGAAUACAACGAUUUAAUUAGGAUUAGUGUCUUGUUGAAAAAGACUAUGGAAUGUAAAAUUCAAAGCCAUUAGAUUAAAAUCAUGCUCUUUAAAAUAAAAAAUUCAUAAAAACUAGGGAAAGUUUUAUAAAAAGAGCAACGUUCAUAUGUUGAAAAGCAAACUUUUGAAUGAAUAAUGACUAUAGCAGCGGGAUACACUAGAUUUACAAGAUUUAAUUGCCUGGGAUAUGGGAGAAUUUGGAAUUAAAGAUUUACAAAAAUUUAAUUUUAACCUUCUAAUAAACAGCUAUAGCGAUGGAAAGAGAGAAUAUUUUCACUAAGCAAAAAAAAAAAAAAAAAAAAAAACUGAUGUGUUUUAGGUGAAAUGCAUUGUACUAGUGACGAAGGAAUAUAUGAUUUGCUCUAUUUAAGUCUUUUUUGGUUAUAAUUUCCACCACUUUACCAAAGACGUUCACUUUAGAUGCAUCUAACAAAACUAAUUGAUUAGUUUCCCUUUCGAAAUAUUAUAAUCAUUUUUUGUUGAAUAAUUUCAAAUUCCCACCGAAAGUCCUUCACUUUUAAUUAUGAACACCACAUAUUUGAUAAAAACAAAUUACUUUUCAUCAUAAUAACCUUGAAAAAAGCGGUGUGGUUUGAUUAAACUUGAACCGCAUGUUCCAUAGACUGAAAAAUAGUAUUUUACACCUUAAAAGCAUAACCUAUCUAGCUGGUAAACUUCGUCCGCCCAUUCAAGGUCAGUUUCAUGUUCUCGAUGAACCAUUGUUCUCAAAAACUCGCCAACUCGUGCGACACUUACAGCAUUUAAGGGAAGCUUUCUCAGUCAGGAAUGAAGCUAGGAGAAGAAGGAAUCAAGUUAAAGGAAAGACAAGAACCGGAACAAAAGUCUUAGUGUGGCAAAGAUGUAGGACCGCGAAAAUCCGAUUGAAAUCACGAAUAGAAAAUAGCAAUAUUAUAAACGAUAUGUUAAAGUAAGAGAUUAAAACGAGAGUUUGAAAACCGAUUGAAAACAGACGAACACAUGGAGUCGAGAUAUGAUCUCUUUCCUUAACUCAAUAAAUCGCCCGUAAUGUGUGACGGUUUGUUGCGAUUUUUGAAUCCCAGGAUACAACCGUGAUGAGACUAUUACGCAACACCCGUAAUAGAAUCUACGAACUGAGAUUAUACUACGCUAUAGCUCUCGAGACACUUACGAUAUUAAGAUGAGAGGGAUUUGCUAGAAAGAAUUAUUUGCUGUGUGUUUGGUGUAUUCGAGAAUUCGAUUUUUCAUUCGAUGAUCUAGAAUGAGAGAAGAGGGCGUCUAUUUAUACUGGAAGGUUCAGCUUGAUCCGCAAGGAAUAAGCUUUGGCAAAAGGAAUAUUCACGAGAUAUUCUCCUUUUUCCGCAAGUAAAAAGAUUCGGAAAUCUUCCGUUAUUAUCUGGACGCAAUCUUUUAUUUCCUAAGAUUUAUCCUUUCAAUAUGCAAAAAAUUAUUUCGCAGGAACUAAGAAGCCCACGACCCACAUCCAGCUAUGUAGAGCCCAAGAGCCCUAAGAGCCAACUAAAAAAAUGCAACAAGCAACGAGCAACGAGCAACGAGCCUGAGCCCGGCACCGGCACCGGUGACGGCGACGGCGAUGGCGACGGCGAUGGCGGUGGCGCGCAUAGGUGUUUUGCAUAAUGCCCUUUUACUUCCACAAUGCUGUGUAUGCUUAUUAAUAUUGGGUUCCAACAAUCCCCCACAUGAAUAGAAAUGACUCUAUACAUAUGCAGACUCGAUAGACUAUGCAGACUAGACUCAAACUACACUACAGAUUCGACAGACGGACUUUUCGAGAGUAUAAGCGAAAACUAACUGUGUCUGAGGAAGUAGCGUUUUUCAGCCUUGAACCACUCAUUUUUAAUAUCUGUCGGAUUUACUCUCCAGGAAGUGAACAUGAUGUCUUGAACCACCCAGAUUUUGGUGUAAACCAAAUCAACAGAUACAACUCAGCUUCGUCUUCUCGUAGCAUUCAGUUCUCUAUUGUGUUCAUUGUGGCUUUGAACGUGCCUGGUUUAUCAUGAGUGAACUUGGAGAGUAUAGCCUUGUCUUCGUUCUCCUAGAAACGGCCUCAUUUCACACUCACUAAGUGAUUGCCAAGUACCUAUCACAUACUCAGAAAGUAUCAUGUUAUACUCUAUAUACAUGUAUAUGAAGGCUAUGGUCUUAUCUCAUUAAAAGCCAUAAAGCUUAACCUUACAUAAUUACAGGAAACACUGUUUAUCAUCAUGGAAAUUGAGCAUUUUACAGUGCUUUUCUCAGAUUAUGCUUGAUUUAGUUGUCCCUUUGAACCAACCUCUUGGGAUCUCCAAUCGCGUAGGUGGGAUUUCCAUCAAACAUCCUCUUUCGUGAUAGGCAAUAAGCUCAUUCCUUUAGAUGAUUCAAUGAUUUGAUCUCGCGGCAAGCUUUUGGUAAACGGAUCCGCUAAAUUUUCCGCUGACUUGAUGUAAUCAACUGUGAGUACACCACUUAAGAUCAGAUGCCUAAUCGUCUUAUGUCGUCUUCGUAUGUGACGAGACUUGCCAUUAUACAGAUUAUUCAGUGCCCGAGAGAUAGCCGACUGACUACCACAGUGUACACGUAAUGCUGGCACUGGUUUUUCCCACAUCGGGAUAUCUUCCAGGAAGUUCCGAAGCCACUCUGCUUCUUCGGCUGCUUUGUCUAAAGCUAUGAACUCUGACUCCAUGGUUUAUCGGGCCAGGAGUGCCUGUUUGGAAGAUUUCCAGGAUACUGCUGCUCCAGCGAGUGUAAAGACAUAUCCACUUGUGGAUUUGGCAUUUCUAGAAUCUGAAAUCCAAUUGGCAUCAUUGUACCGUUAUAACUGAUAACACCGGAUUUUGACCAUUUUUAUGGAUCAUUUUAAUAUCUUUUACAGGUGUUUUUACUCCAUUUUCAAAGGUUUUCAAAGGAUUUCUAUGUUUCCGGAUUUUAAAAGACUUUUCAGGUAAUUUGGGAUAAAGAGGUACAAAAUGGAACAAAUGAACUCUUUUGGAUAAAUGCAGACCGUCAGAACUCUCAUGGAGAGACGAAGACCUUCUCACCGUCUGAUCACCCUCAAAAUUGGACAACUUAUAGAAGAAUCAACCAGCUUUCAAUUGCACUUGGUUUGGAGACAUUCCAACGGUUGGAUCGCAAGAUAUUUCAUUAGCCCCGGAGCCACUCGAAGUCGGCCAGCAGCUCACGCGACCGCGGCCAACAAGCUAUUUGCCGCGGUCAGAAGCUUCCCGAUCGCGGCCAACAAGCCAAUUGCCGCGGUCACAACACUCCCGACCGUGGCAUUCAAGCUCCGACUUAAAGCCCACUUAUCUGAAGCCCAAGUCAUUCCCAGCCUCAAUUCCGGAACCCUAGAGACCAUGGAGUAUUGGAGACUAUAAAUACAUGUCAUUUAGGUCGUUUUUAGAGAGAACCCUUCAUACUUUACAGAAACCAUUUUUCUUUAGCCGUUUUUAUGAGAUUUUUGUAGAAGAUUGUUCAAGUCCGAGUUCUUCAAUAGAGAAGCUUUCUUUAUCUCUUUUCUUUACUGUUUUUCAUUAGUUUUAUUAAAAUCAAUGAUGAUGUCGAACUCAGCCAUGUCUGAGUAGAUCCUGACUUGGGCUUAGGGUUCCCGAAAGGGGCUCUCAUAAUCGAUUAAGACAUCUAGGUUUAUAGAUCUGGGAUUUCGACUUGUUCUCUGUUUAAUCUUGUUCUUAUUGCAUGUAUGCUUGAUUGAUCACCUAGUAUCUGAUCUAGAUAGUUAGUGUUGCGAAAGUUUUCAUUAAGUAUCAGCCCUAGAAUGAAACAGGCGAUUUUUCCGUAGGAGUGGAAACCUACCUGCGGCGAGAUCGUGAGUAUUGACGAGUCUUGUGCAGUUCUUGCGUUCUCUCCCUUCCAGGGCCAGAGUGGAAAAACCUACUGGUCAGGGUUGUGAGAAACAGUUGGUUAUGAUCACGACAGUGACGUAGUCAUACCGCCGUACUCUAGCUCUAGAACCCAUAUAUUGUUAUCUGUCAAUCCCAAUUUAUCUACCUUAGUGUUAAAACCGAUUAUGAUCCCUUAGAGUUCCCAAAAGCUCAGCGUUUUUAGCCAUAGUUUACAAUUUCAAUCGAUUUUUACUUGCUUUCUUAGACCUGCAUUUCAAUUUCCUUAGUUCGUUAUUUACUUGCUUUAUUUACUUUUCAUGCGAUAUUUUACUUGCCUUAUUUUUGGUUAGUUCGAUAUUUUACUUAUUCCAUUUGCAUUCCAUUCGAUUUUCUUUACUUGCUUUUCAGGAUAGAUUUAUUUGCUUUCUUUUGUUUUAGUUUAAUUCGCAAGAAAAACAACCAACCUUUAAAACCAAUUUAGUCUAGACAUAAAGUUAAAAACGGUAGAAGAAUACCAGGCACACAAAUCUCUGUGGAUUCGAUCCCUAAAUACUACAACUGAUUAGCUGUGCACUUGCGGCUUUUAUUUGUUUUGUUAAGGGUAAAAAUUGUUCCCUCACGUAGUUGACACGAGCGAGCACGCAUCAAGUUUUUGGCGCCGUUGCCGGGGAUUUGUUUCGCUGCCUUUUGCUAUUUUUCAUGUUUUAACUUCUGUUCUAGACACCUGAUCUCUAGUUCUUUCUUAAAGUUUUUCUGAACUAUCUUUCCCUUCUUUUGUCUUUCUCUGAAUUGCAUGAAUACCAGGCGUAGACCUGCAGGAGACAUUCCAAUUCUAGACGAGAUAGACAGACACGAAAGAGAACUUCGAAAACUUAGACGAACGCAAGAAAUGACCAACGACGACCAGCCUGGAGAUCCUAUUAAUCGAAAUUUAAAUAUGGACCAAGACGGGUCCGAACAUGGAGAAAAAGAAGAGAAUGAUCACACAGAAGGUGAUCAUGCUCGACAAGAUGGAGAGGAGGAUGAGGUUCUUCCAAGAAACCACCAGAACCGAGAGAGAGAAGGACGUGAAGACUUUGAUCCACCCAUCAAUGCAGCCGAUGGUGACCACCCAGCAAUGCAGCCGAAUGAACGCAUUCACCGCCCCAUUCCGCCAGCAAAUCAACACCGAAGACAAGCCAGAAACCAUCGCAUAGCUGAUUUUGAUGCACCUACUCAAAAUUUUCAGAAUCGAUCUGCGAUUCAAGUACCAUUUCCAAACCGGAAUGAGUUUGAAGUCAAGCCUCAAAUCAUCUCAUUGGUGAAGCAAAAACAGUUCCAUGGAGUUCCUUCUGAGAACCCAAUGGACCAUAUCGAGCUUUUUGAAGAAAUUUGCAGCAUGAUGAGAACAAACCAAGUUCCACCUGACUAUUUAAAGUGUAAGUUGUUCCUUUUUUCAUUAGCAGAUAAAGCUCACCGUUGGUUGAAGUCUUUGCCUGCAGGAUCGAUUACUAAUUGGGAAGAAUGUAGAACUGCUUUCCUGAACCACUUCUACACUAAGUCAAGGUUGAACAAUUUGAGAACGAAGAUCUCGACCUUUCAACAAGGGCCAACUGAAUCUUUCUAUGAAGCUUGGGAACGUUUUAAGGAGUAUGAACGUGAUUUCCCUCAUCAUGGAUUUCAUGGAUCAAGCCUGCUGAGCACAUUUUACCGAGGUUUGCAACCAAAAUACAAACUUUCACUUGAUACAGCUAGCAAUGGAGAUUUUGGGCAAAAGACGAUAACCCAAGGAAGAGCCCUUAUCGAAAAUUUGGCUCAAGCCAAUAACAAUGACUGUCCUGAAUACGAUCGAUCGAUGAAGCAAGCCGGAACAGACAACAAGGAGAUAACCGAGUUGAAGAACAUGGUGAGCCAACUUCUGAAGAGCAACAAUCGCCCGAUCCAUGCCUGUGAAACCAACAAUGGCGCAGAAGAGGAAGGACCUAGUGAUAUCGAUCACAUUAAUCAAGCAUUUCAAGAAGAAGAUGUGAACUACGUAGGAGCACUGGUGCCAUACCAAAAUCGCUCCAACAACAACUUCAACAACAACUUCCGGAAUGUAAAUUACAACAAUCUCUCUUACCGUAAUCCAAAUGUGGAGAACCCUCAAGAUCAGUACUACCCACCUCAGCAAAAAUCAUUCCAAAACAAGUUUCAAGUUGGAAACUUUGGAGGAAUAGUACCAUAUCAACCGCGACAGCCAUAUAACUACCAAGGUACGGGUUUUAACAAUCAAUUUGUACAACAGCAGGGAGUCACGACGAACCAGCUAGCUUCACAAAUCGGUAGACUUGAACAGUCAAUCCAACAGCUUGUUAUGACGAACGAAAAAGCAUCUAAAGACGUGAACGUGAAAGUGGACUGCAUGUACAAUGAUCUGAAUGGUAAGUUUGAAUCUUUAUCUUCGCACGUAAAAAAGUUAGAUGUGCAAGUCGCCCAAACAGCCGACUCUAUGAAGAGGCAAAGUGGAGUUCUUCCAGGAAGAGUUGAAGAUAACCCUAAGAAGUUUUGCAACGCCAUAACCACAAUGCCCGAAGAAGAGUCCAGAACCAAUGGAAAGAAAGAAGAAACCCCAAUCUUUGUACCACUGUACAAGGAUAUCGAUCCCAAGCAGCCACCGUUUAAGAUACCCGAACGAUCACCGUUUCAAAGGCUUACCAAAGCCGAACAUCCGGGACGUUUUGUUUUCCAAUGUUUCAUUUCAGGAAUCAAGUUUACAGAUUGUUUGUGCGAUUCCGGAGCCAAUGUCAACAUCAUGUCUAAGACAUUUGCCGAAAAUUGGGCAUAAAAACCUUAAGGACAUCGACGGUUAAGGUUAUCUUUGGAGAUUCAUCUCAAAAAGAUACUGAAUGGGCGAUUCAUGAUCUACAAGUUCUAGUGGAAGAUAAGAUCGUUCCAGCAGAUUUCCAAGUCCUGGAGAUGGAUAAAGACAAGGAGAGGCCACUCAUUUUCGGGAGACCAUUCCUAGUUACAGUAGGAGUAAUAAUCGAUCACGCAAAUCGGCAUGCUGUUUUCCUCAAUGUGGACAGAAGAAGGUACUAUCUUAGAUGAAUUUCCAAGUAAAGGAAACAGGCCAAAAGAGAAAGAAAAGGAGAAGCCGAAAGCUUUUGCAAAGAUCAAGAUCAUCAUUCCACCGGACGCAACAGAAACUAGUGAGGACCAAAUCCAGGAGCUGAUCGAAAACACAAAAAGGGUUCUGAACAACAUUAAAGUCCGAAAGAAGAGUAAAGGUAAGAAGACUUCUCUUCAAGGAGAAGAAGUAAAACCUCCACCAACCGGAAGUGAUAAGGGCACAUCAAGUGGAGUGCCAUUCAAAUCAGCCUGAUUCCUCAUGCUUACGUCGAGCUAAACGACUUAAAACAAAAGCGCUUAAUGGGAGGCAACCCAUUUAGGUACUCUUUCUUUUAGUUUUCUUUUCCUUUUUAGAAUUUAUGCUUUCUUUUGCUUUUUAAGUUUUAGGUAUUUUAUAAAACAAAAACACAAAAAAAUCAGAAAUUUAGAAAAACCAAGAAGAAAAAGGUAGGUCUUUAGCUGCUCGGCCCGGCAAAGACGAGAAGAUUAGGCAAUAGGCCGCAGGAGGAAGACCCGCGGUCGCAACUGACGGAACCGAGGCCAAAGGUGCAUUGACCGCGGCACCGUGAAUGUGACCGCGGCCGAGCACUCGACCACCGCAGUCGCGCGUCUCCUGACCACGGCCGUUGGUCGUUGAGGUGAUUCCGCGGAUUUUUGCCGCUUCCCGGUGUUGCCUGGUGUUUGCCUGGUGAUUCCUGGUGUUGCCUGGUGUUGCAUGGUGAUUUCCCGGUGUUGCCUGGUGUUUACCUGGUGAUUCCCGGUCUUGCCUGGUGAUUCCCGGUGUUUCCCAAAAUGUUCCCGGUAAAACCCGAAAAGAUCCUCCGUAAGUUUUAAACUUUCCUAAUGUGCAAACAAGAAAAGGUAAGUUCCCGUAAACUUAAAAAUUUCCAGAAAAUUUCCGUUUUUGCUUCAAAAACGCUUUUUAAAGAAAAAAAACAAACUUUUUGGAUCAAAACUCUUUCUUAUCUUCUCUUCCAAAAGACUUAGAGAUUUAGGAGAAAAAACACAUUUUUCAAUUCUUAAGCUUUUUAAGAGAUUUUUGGCUCAAACCUCACUCUUUUUCAAAGCUGAUUUCAAUUCUACCAUCAAUUCUCUCUUUCCAGCAAGGUAUGAACCUCAAACUCACCAUUCUUACUCGAUUUUGAACUUAGGGUUUUCUUUAAAAACCCAAAAUUUUGGUCUAUUGAUGGUGGAAAUAGCUUAAGAAUGAUAGAUUAUCCAUUUAGGUUAUCUAAAAAUCGAUUUUAGCACCUAGCUUAAGAGGAAUUGAGAUUUUUGAAAUUUGGAUUCUACAUGCUUAAUAAAAAUCGAAUUUGGAACAGCAAAAUUGAUGAAUUUGAUUUAGUCUUGUGUGAUUAGUGAUUAGUAUUGGGUAAUCUUUAGAAUUCACAUGGAAAUUGCUCAUAAAAACCGAUUUUUAGAAGAUUUCUAUGUUGAGAACAUCAAAAAUCUGAAUUUAGUCAUGAAUUACUUGAUUUCUCUGAUUUAAUAUCAAUUUUGUUUGCUAAUAGUUUUAAUUAUUCUCUUUAUACUAGUAUUAGUAUAACAGAUCUUAAUGUGUUAUAAUUAGCAUCCAAAUUCACUCUUUUUCCAAGAAUCAUUUCAUUUUGCAGAAAAUGGAUGAAACCAGAUCCCGAAGGAGCCGUCGAACUGGUGGCAGCUCCGAUGACAUUCCCGACGAUGCUACUCUAGGAGAGUACAUGCUGAACCAAGCCAGACCGAGAAGAAGAUACUCUGUGAUGAGAUUGCUCCAGCACUCGAGGGAAACACGAGCACCUCCCGAGCCACCACAGAUUCGAUACAUUGGGAGGGAGACAAACCCGAGAGUGGACUAUGCAAGGCGUUUCAAGAAGUUGAACAUCAAACCCACGCCUUGCAUUGAUUAUCAUACACUCGAGAUGCUUGGAAUCAGAGAGGAUGUGAUCUGGUACAUCGAUGCACUUAAGCUGAGACCCUACUUGGAGCUGAACCUUCCGACUUAUCCUGAGCUAGUCCGUGAGCUUUUAGCGACCGUUGCACUCCACCACACGAAGAGGAGGAACCCCAGAGCAUCAGAUGGCAUUUUGUCAUUCUCUAUCCGCGGACAGCCUUAUUCUCUCACCAUUUCCGAGGUUUGUGAAGCUCUUAAGCUUCCAUACACUGAUGGCAUUUAUCUUGAAGAUGAACCUGAUCUUAACCUGUGGAGAGAGAUGGGUCAUGGAGCCUACGAUAGUGGGAGAUCUAAGUCAGCCCUUCUUAGCCACCCAGCAGUGAGAGUUGUGCACAAACUCUUAGCACACAUGAUCUUCUCUAGAGCCAACAUGGGAGGUGUUUUGAAGACUGAGCUCAUUACACUUCAGAUCCCAUUUAUGGACGACCCACGACUUGCCUGCUUUGCAUGGAUCAUAUCGCAGAAUAUGGUAAAGGUGAAGCAUGAUUUACAUGGUUGCGAUGACGCUACUCCAGCUUUCGGGAGUGCUAUUACAGCGAUACUACAGACUGUAGGAUUCGAUUUCUCAUCUGACGAACCACUUCCCGAUAUCUGGUAUGAUCUAGUUUACCUCUCUCGCGAUCACACUAUCUCUCGUGCCGCUUUCGAUCCAGACAGGUUUGGUUACAAAUAUUGAACUGGCACCGAGGAGCACCGAGUCCGCUUACCUUCAGCGUCUAUCCCGAGAUUGUGCAACGGAGGACGUCCUCGAUGGACUCCGGAAUCCGAUGAUUUUCUGCCAUCUGUACCUCGUCUACCAUUCACCAUUGGCCAGUACAUAGUGGCCAAGGCGAAGCGUGAUGCAGCUGCGGCCCGUGCUCAUUUUCAGCCAUCAAUUCCGACCGGCCACACCUCAUCAUCUACAUCAUCACACACACAUUCCGAUCUGGAGCGCAGAGUUGAGAGACAGGGACGACGCUUUGAGCGCGUUGUCACCUUCUUACAGGAGCACCACCAGUUCGCAGACGACACUUUGGAGGAUGAGUGACUGAUCAGCACUUUACUACCAUCACGGUUCUAUCAUCAUUUUCUUUUCUUUUAUCUUACUUUAUUUCGCUUUUAUUCACCAACUUUUUCACAUUGGAGACAGUGUGAUUUAAGUCUGGGGGAGGAUGUCUAUCUGUACUAAUCAUUUUCCUGCUUUGCUUUUAAAUUUCAAAUACUUUUUAAAAUUUAAUAUGUAACCUAUUCGACAUUAAGUAUUUUUCAGGAAUGUUUGACGCAAAACUAUGAUGAUUUAGACCUGCACACUUCUACACUAUGCAUGAUAGCUCAUUUGUGGUUAGCACUACAUUAGGCGGUAGCUAGAGUACUUGCACUACGAACUCCCACCAGAGGACUUCUAUUCAUGGAGAUUCUUUCUGACAGGAUAUACUAGCUCAUUUUAUUUGGACUUAAUAUUGAUAUCUAAUUUUCUCAUCAUUGAUUUUAGGCAGGCAUCGACAUACACAUCUAGGACGUCUUUUACCCUCACUUUUACCACUCUUUGUCGUCCUAGAUGACCAGUUUAUCUUUAUCUGGUACCAUACCCUAAACCCAAAACCUUUGUUUUCAAUCCUCAUGCACUCUCUCUUUAGUUUAUAUCAGCAGAUAUGUGCAAAAACGUCGGAGAGAAGAGGAGCGACACAGUUUUCAGUCACUCGCAAAAGAGACUGAAUGGAAUUGGGAAGGAAGAGUAUCAGAAACAUAAUAAAGCUUUACAAGACAGAUAUUAACUGGUAAAUUCGUGCUCUCUAAGACUCUAUAUCUAAAGGUGUUACCUAUCUCUAAAAAAAAAAAAAAAAAAAACGUGAAAAGAGAAAGGCAAACAAAAAGCCUAAUGAGUCUUAGAUUGUCGAAAUUUGUGGAGCAAUGAGCAACCACUAUUCGUUUAAGGAGCUAUUGUUUUGAAAGAUUUACAAAAAUCUAAGUCUGGGGGAGUUUGGAGAGAACUUGAGUAAGAAGACCAUGAAUCUAUGUCAAGAAGAAAGUGACUGAAAACUGUGGAUACCAACAGCUUCACUCUCUCUUGCGGUUUUGCAUAAUGUCCUGCAUCCUCCAGAUCUUCAGGUAACCCUUAAACACUUUAAGCCAUACCCCCAAAAUAAUCCUUCUUUACACCUAGCCUAGAUUGCCUUGCCUAGAUUUUCUUUGAUGAGAACCACCGAGAUUUUUAAUGAAUGUUAAGAGCUAGUUGACUGGAAGUUAGAUUUUAGUGCAUAGAUUUCUGCAUGACGGAUUAACGGACUAGUUAUGCCUGUAUUGCUAGUGAGAAUUUUCUAGGCUAUUCCCGAUUGACGCUUACUGAUUAAUAUUGGUCUAGAAGUUUGGUCUCUGAGAUUUUGUUUAGUUCCUGCGUUUUCAAACCUCUCACUGAGAUUUAGCCUUUGUUUUGUUUGAGGACAAACAAAAGACUAAGUCUGGGGGAGUUGAUAACACCGGAUUUUGACCAUUUUUAUGGAUCAUUUUAAUAUCUUUUACAGGUGUUUUUACUCCAUUUUCAAAGGUUUUCAAAGGAUUUCUAUGUUUCCGGAUUUUAAAAGACUUUUCAGGUAAUUUGGGAUAAAGAGGCACAAAAUGGAACAAAUGAACUCUUUUGGAUAAAUGCAGACCGUCAGAACUCUCAUGGAGAGACGAAGACCUUCUCACCGUCUGAUCACCCUUAAAAUUGGACAACUUAUAGAAGAAUCAACCAGCUUUCAAUUGCACUUGGUUUGGAGACAUUCCAACGGUUGGAUCGCAAGAUAUUUCAUUAGCCCCGGAGCCACUCGAAGUCGGCCAGCAGCUCACGCGACCGCGGCCAACAAGCUAUUUGCCGCGGUCAGAAGCUUCCCGAUCGCGGCCAACAAGCCAAUUGCCGCGGUCACAACACUCCCGACCGCGGCAUUCAAGCUCCGACUUAAAGCCCACUUAUCUGAAGCCCAAGUCAUUCCCAGCCUCAAUUCCGGAACCCUAGAGACCAUGGAGUAUUGGAGACUAUAAAUACAUGUCAUUUAGGUCGUUUUUAGAGAGAACCCUUCAUACUUUACAGAAACCCUUUUCCUUUAGCCGUUUUUAUGAGAUUUUUGUAGAAGAUUGUUCAAGUCCGAGUUCUUCAAUAGAGAAUCUUUCUUUAUCUCUUUUCUUUAUUGUUUUUCAUUACUUUUAUUAAAACCAAUGAUGAUGUCGAACUCAGCCAUGUCUGAGUAGAUCCCGAGUUGGGCUUAGGGUUCCCGAAAGGGGCUCUCAUAAUCGAUUAAGACAUCUAGGUUUAUAGAUCUGUUAUUUCGACCGGUUCUCUGUUUAUUCUUGUUCUUAUUGCAUGUAUGCUUGAUUUAUCACCUAGUAUCUGAUCUAGAUAGUUAGUGUUGCGAAAGUUUUCAUUAAGUAUCAGCCCUAGAAUGAAACAGGCGAUUUUUCCGUAGGAGUGGAAACCUACCUGCGGCGAGAUCGUGAGUAUUGACAAGUCUUGUGCAGCUCUUGCGUUCUCUCUAUUCCAGGGCCAGAGUGGAAACCUACUGGUCACGGUUGCGAGAAACAGUUGGUUAUGAUCACGACAGUGACGUAGUCAUACCGCCGUACUCUAGCUCUAGAACCCAUAUAUUGUUAUCUGUCAAUCCCAAUCUAUCUACCUUAGUGUUCAAACCGAUUAUGAUCCCUUAGAGUUCCCAAAAGCUCAGCGUUUUUAGCCAUAGUGUACUAUUUCAAUCGAUUUUUACUUGCUUUCUUAGACCUGCAUUUCAAUUUCCUUAGUUCGUUAUUUACUUGCUUUAUUUACUUUUCAUGCGAUAUUUUACUUGCCUUAUUUUUGGUUAGUUCGAUAUUUUACUUAUUCCAUUUGCAUUCCAUUCGAUUUUCUUUACUUGCUUUUUAUGAUAGAUUUAUUUGCUUUCUUUUGUUUUAGUUUAAUUCGCAAGAAAAACAACCAACCUUUAAAACCAAUUUAGUCUAGACAUAAAGUUAAAAACGGUAGAAGAAUACCAGGUGAUAUGUCAUGGUUUUUAUGGUUUUUAACCAUGGUAUAAGUCCUAUUUAUAGAGUCUGUUUAGUGUCUUUCGAGUCUUUUGGAGUCUUUUCAGGUCAUAGGUACGUUUGGAGCUUAACUGGAGACUUUGGAGCACUUUGGAGCUUAAUCAGGAUCAAUUUCGUCAAGAAUGGAUUUUGUGCUUUGGUGACGCUCGACACCAUGGAGAGUGACGCGCGACACUUGUUAGAGAAAUAAGGAAAAGGCGAUUUUGUUUCCUAUUUGAAGAAGGAGUUGGGCCCAAACGAUUUCGAGGAAGCCCAAGACGUGUCUUAGAGAUAUAUAUAGGAUUUUUUAUUCCCUUUUUACGUUCACUUUUAGAUUUUGAGAGAGAGAUACUCUGAGUUUUCGGCUUUUGCGAUUUCUGAGCUUGGGGAGACAAGUCUGUACUCUGUUCGUUUAGAGAGAAGAUUUCGAACCCCUUUAUCUAUUUCGAUUUAAUCUAUUGCUUUCUAUUCAUCAUGCUUGUUGUUUCAAUAACCAUGUCUGAGUAGAUCACCUGUUAGGUUUAGGGUUAAUUAGGGUUUUCUCUGAAUGUUUGAUUAACUUGCUAGUUAGGGUUCAUAUCUAUUUGUUCUUCACCUUAGGUUGUUCUUAAAGCUAAUUCUGGACUGAUCACCUAGAAUUUAGAUCUUAGGUUGCUUAAUUGACACGGAAGUGUAAUUGAAUAACUGGAAAGAACCUGAGUUGAGCAAAGUAGCUAUUCGCAAAGGAAUUUGGUUUAGCCGCUUUGUGAACAUAUCGAACUUGUGCAAUUAAGGCUGGUUUAAAUCUGUAGGAUUUACAAAGGAAUUUGGAAUUCUAGGAUUUUAACUUAGAUAAUUCUCACAACGGAAGUUGGUUAAUUAUAAUUCUGUGUUUCGAGUUCAAGAACCGUGCUUAAUACCUGAACCCUGACUUGUUAAGUUGAUUUGCAUUCAUUGAUCUCCUGAAAAUUACCCUAGGCCUAUCCUUUAUCACAUCGAAUUUACAACUGUCUUCAUCGCUGCUUUAUUUAUUUCUGUCGCAUUGUUAUUUCUUUUGCAUAUUUCUGCUUAGCGUAACUCUAUCUACAUAAGGUUUAUUGAGUGAUCUCUUGUCUCUGUGAUUCGACCCCUAGAUACUACAACUGCACAUCUAUGCUCUUGCAGAGUAGCUUAGGGAUUAAACUUUGAGCAUAUCAAGUUUUGGCGCCGUUGCCGGGGACUUGAUUUCGCCAUUAAACCUAGUUUUUGAGUUUCGACUAAGUUUUUCAACUUAGUGUCGAGCGACACCACUUGUGGUGUCGCGCGACACCUUUCUUUUUAUAACCUAAUUUGCUUACUUCGUUUUCUCUCUCUCUGUUUUUGGUGUUUCAGGUUUAUGCAUACUCGUGGAACCAGAAGCAACAAGGACAUCCCGCUAGUGAAUUUGAGCAACGAACAGCUAGCUGAGUUAGAGCGAACGAACAGGAAAGCAAGAGAUCCGGCAAUGAUGGAAAACGCCAAUGGACUUGUUUGUGAUGAUGAUGGAACCUGGAGAGACCGAGAGGGUCAUCUGUGCAAUGCGAGAGGCCAAAGGCUUGAUGGAGAUGGUAACAUCAUUCCACCAGCGCCUUUACCAGUGGAUGUUGUUGACCAUAAUCCACCACCUGCACCGCGUGGUAAUGCUGUGAUCGUUCCACAUCAGAGGAACGUUCCAGAAGAUCGGAAUGCGAGGGAACCUGCGCCUGCAGCUGGUCGUGGACGAACACUUGGAGACUACAACAGGCCUGAGCAGUUCUAUGCAAAUCGUUCUGCGAUUCGCGCUCCUGCGUUUCAAAGAAACGAUUUUGAGCUGAAGCCUGUGUACUACACUCUUGUAGGUCAGCACCCUUUCCAUGGCCACUCUCAUGAGCACCCGAUGGACCACAUCGAGAGGUUUGAAGAUUUGGUCACCAGCAUCAAAUACAAUGGAGUGUCCAAUGAUUUCCUCCUCUGCAAGCUGUUUCCUUACUCUCUUGCUGGAGAAGCAGCUAACUGGUUGAAACAGUUGGAGCCAGGAUCGCUCACCACUUGGGAAGAAACCUGGAACGCCUUCCUGCACAACUUCUUCGACGAUGCUAGGUCUGAGGAGUUGAGGACGAAAAUCUCGACUUUCUCUCAGGAACCUACUGAAGCAUUCAAAGCUUCUUGGGUGCGAUUCAAAUCGUACCAGCGAGACUGCCCUCACCAUGGCUUCAGCGAUGUGCAGUUGCUGGGUAUCUUCUUCAGAGGUAUCGACUGGAGGUAUCAGAUGGCACAUGAUGCAGCAAGCAAUGGUAACUUAAACACCAGAUACCCAGAAGAAUCUGUUGAGCUCAUCGAAAAUUUGGCAUCCAGCAACAGCACCAAGAAUGCUGAUCUUGAGCGAAAGAAGCAAGCUGGGAACAUGGAUAGAUCGCAGAUCGCUGAAGUGAAGGCUAAACUUGAUUCUGUGCACAGCCUUUUAGUGGGCAAGAAAUCGGUCAGAUUCGCACAGGAGGUGGAGAGUUUCGAACCUGAGGAUGCAGUUGAGGAAGAGGAUGUCAACUUUGUCAGUGGAUCAGGAUUUUAGGGUCAGAGGUUUGGUAAUCAGCAAGGUAACAGAAGCUACAGUGGAAAUUACAGUGGAAACAAUCAGAGGAGUACCUUCAACAGUAAUCAGAACUUCUCUGGUUACACGCCUAAGCCUCAAUACCAGAAACCUUUUUCCAGCAACAGUUUUUCCAGGAACUACAGCACUCCUUCAUCUCAACCUCAAAAUCCUGUAAAUGAGAUGAAGUCUAUGCUGGAACAGAUUCUAGAAGGUCAGCAGAAGCUCACUGUGGACUUUAAUGGGAAGAUGGAUGCUCUCUACAUCGAUCUGAAUGGAAAAAUCGAAGCUCUGAACACCCAUGUCAAGCAGCUCGAUACACAGGUAGCCCAAACUGCAGGUUCUAUUAAAAGGCAAGAGGGUUUUCUUCCUGGGAAGACUGACACCAAUCCAAGGCAUCACUGUAGUGCUAUCACGUUGAGGAGUGGUAAAAAUCUGAGUUCUGAUCCCAAGAAGACGCCUCCUGCACCUGAAGUGGUGGAUUUAGAAGAUUCUGAAGCAGUUCUUGAGAUUGCAGAGCCGGUGACGAGCGACACCACCACUAGUGUCGCGCGUCACCAAUUGCAGAGCGAAGCUGUUGAUGUUCCGAAUCCGAAAUCUGCAGAGGAGAAAGUCUACAAACCUAAAGUUCCUUACCCAAGGAGCCCUAGGAAGUUCAAGCAAGAGCUUGAUGAUGCACGAUGCAAAGCUUUGAUGGAAAAGCUUGUGAUUGAGAUACCUUUGGUUGAUGCUGUAAAAAUCACUCCUGUUAUCAGACGUUAUGUGAAGCGAAUGGUAACCAAUAAUCUCAGCCAUGAACAAGGAGUGAUGAUGAUCUCUGAGCAAGUCAGUGCAGUGAUUCAGAACCGAAUUCCAGAGAAGUUGUCUGAUCCAGGAAGCUUUGUCUUGGAUUGCUCUAUCUUCACAGAGAGAUUCAAGAGAUCGCUGUGUGAUCUGGGUUCAAGUGUUAACCUCAUGCCUUAUUUGGUAGCUGUCAAUCUCGGCAUGACUGAUUUCAAGCCAACAAGGAUCUCCCUCAUCCUAGCUGAUCGUUCGACAAGGAUACCUGAAGGGGUGCUAGAAGAUGUUCCAAUCAAGGUUGGAGACUGCAUGAUACCGACUGACUUUGUGGUUUUGGAGUAUGGAGAGCAGCCUAAAGAUCCUCUUAUCCUUGGGAGACCUUUCCUAGCUACAGCAGGUGCUAUCAUCGAUGUCAGGAAAGGCAGGAUUGCUCUGAAUGUUGGAGAUCUGGUGAUGAACUUUGACAUGGACAAGCUGAUGAAGAAGCCCACAAUCGAUGGUCAGACCUUCUAUGUCGAUACUCUCACGGAGUUUGCUGAGGAUUUUCUCCAUGAGAUGCUGCCUACAGACCCACUUGAGAGAGCUCUGACCACAUCUGCCUCUGAGGCUGAACACUUGGACGAAAUUUCAGCAUCUUACUCGAAGAUGUUGGACUCCAGCGAGCAUGUGAUGCAGCUAGCAUCGCAGAUUGAACAGCUUGAGACUCCUGCGAAGGUGAAGCAGUUAUCCGACUGGAGUGAGGAGAAAGCUCCUAAGAUUGAGUUCAAACAACUCCCUGCAGGACUAAGGUACGCAUUCCUGGGCUCUAAUUCUACUUAUCCAGUCAUUAUCGAUUCUUCCUUGAACAAUGCUGAGGUUACCUUACUCCUGAGCAAGCUGUGCAAGCAUCGCAAAGCUUUUGGCUAUUCUCUUGAUGAUAUUUCAGGUAUUUCACCAGACUUGUGCAUGCACCAAAUCCACUUGGAGGAUGAGUCGAAGUCGUCGAUUGAACACCAGCGCAGGUUGAACCCUAACCUGAAAGACGUCGUCAAAAAGGAGAUCAUGAAGCUACUAGAAGCUGGAAUCAUUUACCCAAUUUCAGAUAGUGCUUGGGUGAGUCCUGUGCACGUGGUUCCUAAGAAAGGAGGAGUUACAGUUGUGAAGAAUGACAAGGAUGAGCUGAUUCCAACACGCACAGUGACUGGACACAGGAUGUGCAUCGAUUACAGGAAGCUGAAUGCAGCAACCAGGAAAGAUCACUUCCCAUUGCCCUUUAUCGAUCAGAUGCUGCAGAGACUUGCAAGCCAUCCCUACUACUGCUUCCUCGAUGGGUACUCAGAAUUUUUCCAGAUCCCUAUCCACCCAGACGAUCAGGAGAAGACCACCUUUACAUGUCCAUACGGCACUUUCGCAUAUCGCAGGAUGCCCUUUGGACUCUGUAAUGCUCCUGCGACGUUUCAGAGAUGUAUGAUGUCCAUCUUCACUGACAUGAUUGAGGAUUUCAUGGAGGUCUUUAUGGAUGAUUUCUCAGUCUACGGAUCAUCUUUUAAGGACUGUCUGGAUAAUCUCUGCAAGGUUCUGGCUCGCUGUGAAGAGAAACACUUGGUCCUUAACUGGGAAAAGUGUCACUUUAUGGUCAGAGAUGGGAUUGUGCUUGGGCACAAGGUAUCUGCAGCUGGUAUCGAGGUUGAUCGCGCGAAGAUUGACGUCAUGACGAGCUUGCCACCACCUGAUUCUGCGAAAUCGGUUAGAAGUUUUCUGGGUCAUGCAGGCUUCUAUCGUCGCUUCAUCAAAGAUUUCAGCAAGAUUGCACGUCCUCUUACUGCUCUGCUCUGUAAAGAUGCUAAGUUUGAGUUUACAGAUGAGUGCCUUGCUGCGUUCGAACAGAUCAAGCAUGCUCUGAUAAGCGCCCCCAUUGUGCAGCCUCCUGACUGGAAUUUGCCUUUUGAGGUGAUGUGUGAUGCUAGUGAUUUUGCUGUUGGUGCUGUUUUAGGACAGAAGAAGGAUAAAAAGCUUCAUGCAAUCUACUAUGCCAGUCGAACUCUGAAUGAUGCUCAAAGGAAUUAUGCUACUACUGAGAAAGAGCUGUUGGCUGUAGUUUUUGCUUUCGAGAAAUUUCGGCCAUACCUUGUGGGAUCGAAGGUGAUUGUGCACACAGACCAUUCUGCACUCAAAUACUUGAUGCAGAAGAAGGAUGCGAAGCCUAGGUUGCUGAGAUGGGUAUUACUCCUUCAGGAAUUCGAUAUUGAGGUCAAGGACAAGAAGGGGGUUGAGAAUGGUGUGGCAGAUCAUCUCUCAUGCAUCAGGAUUGAAGACGAUGUACCCAUAGACGAUUUCCUGCCAGAAGAGAAUGUGUAUUAUGUGGAAACCAAGUUCCAGAGCAGUUUUGACGAAGAAUUGCAGGUUUUUCGAAUUGGAGGAACGUUAGUGACGAGCGACACCACCACUAGUGUCGCGCGUCACCUUACUCAGGCGAACACAGAAACCUCCCAAAUUCGAAGCAGACUUCCUGAGAUCAGUUCAGCUGCUGUAUCCGCUACCCAACGUCCCUUGUAUGCUGAUAUUGCCAAUUAUCUCGCUGCAGAGGCUGAGCCUGAGAACUUUAAGGGCUAUGCAAAGAAGAAGUUCCUGAGAGAGCUGCAAAGAUAUCACUGGGAUGAGCCAUAUCUGUACAAGCACUGUUCUGAUGGGAUUUACAGAAGAUGCAUUGCAGAGUCAGAAGUUCCAGAGGUGCUGUUUCAUUGUCAUGGAUCUGAAUAUGCUGGACACUUUGCAACAUUCAAAACAGUGUCUAAGGUUCUUCAAGCAGGCUUUUGGUGGCCUACCAUGUUUCGCGACGCACAUGCAUUCAUCUCGCAGUGCGAUGCUUGUCAGAGGAGAGGAAAGAUCAGCAAAAGACAUGAGAUGCCACAGAAUUUCAUCCUUGAGGUUGAGGUAUUCGAUUGCUGGGGUAUCGAUUUCAUGGGUCCUUUUCCCUCUUCUUAUGGGAACAAGUACAUCCUGGUUGCUGUUGAUUAUGUCUCAAAGUGGGUCGAAGCCAUUGCCAGUCCCACCAACGAUUCUUCGGUGGUCCUUAAGAUGUUCAAGACCAUCAUCUUUCCUCGAUUUGGAGUGCCUCGAAUUGUUAUAAGUGACGGUGGUUCUCACUUUAUUAACAAGAUUUUCGAAAAAAUCCUAAGGAAACAUGGAGUUCAUCAUCGAGUUGUCACUCCUUAUCAUCCUCAGACGAGUGGACAGGUCGAAGUCUCGAAUCGACAGAUCAAAGAGAUUUUGGAGAAGACAGUGGGCAAAACUCGAAAGGAUUGGGCUGCGAAGUUGGACGAUGCACUCUGGGCGUACAGGACAGCGUUCAAAACACCUCUAGGCACCACACCUUUCCACCUGCUCUAUGGAAAGCCCUGUCACCUUCCAGUGGAGAUCGAACACAAGGCAGCCUGGGCGAUAAAGCUGAUGAAUUUCGACAUCAAGUCUGCUGCAGAGAGGAGACUGAUACAGCUGAAUGAGUUGGACGAAAUCAGGUACCAUGCCUAUGAGAAUUCGAAGUUAUACAAAGAGAGGACCAAGGCGUAUCACGAUUCCAAGAUCCUCUCCAGGCAAUUCGAACCGAAUGAUCAAGUACUUCUGUAUAACUCUCGUUUGCCAUUGUUUCCUGGUAAACUUCGUUCUCGAUGGUCAGGUCCUUUCAUAGUCAAAGAAGUUCGCCCCUAUGGUGCCAUCGUCCUCCUCACACCAGAUGGUAGCAGAGAGUUCACAGUCAAUGGACAAAGGGUGAAGCACUACUGGGCCAAAGCUGAGAUUCCGGAUGGACAUAUCGUGCCUCUAGAUGGCGCACCUCCUGCUUGAAUCGCCAUCAAGUCAAGCUAAUGACUUUAAACAAGCGCUUAGUGGAAGGCAACCCACUGGUGAGUCUGUAAAUAAGUCUUUUGUUUCAGUAAUUUUCGUUUUUCUUUUCGUGUUUUAGGUGAAACAGGGCUGGUGUCGAGCGACACCACCUUCGGUGUCGCUUGUCACUUGCUUCAGAAAAAAAAAAAAAAAAAAAAAAAAAAAUUUAGGAAAUCAGGAAACCGGAGUAAAACCAGAAAUUCGGAUUGGUCUGUUGGGGUAUGAGAGAACAAGUGUCGCACGACACCAUCAUCGGUGUCGCGCGUCACCAUCAUUGCAGCCAGGUACGUUCUCUGUUUUUCCUGUGUUUCUCUGUUUCUUUUCUUUUGUCACCAACUUCGGAUUUGAUUACACUGGGGACAGUGUUAUUCAAGUCUGGGGGAGGUAGUUGCUGACAUUGUGUUUGUUUUUCUUAAGAGUCAGUUGUGUCAAAACGUUUUUGAGUCAAAACCUGUUGGAGACCAUGAUGCUUUUCCUGGAAUUAUUGUGCUGACCUUUCACCUAAGUGACCACUGCUGCAGAUUCAGCCUAGAUCCGACUAAUGAAAAAUCCAAAGGCUGACCAGUUGACUAGAGGCGUCCAUGUUUCCAACAGAAUCCACUAACCUGAGCUAAGUACUGAACUUCACUUUUAACUCGCUGAUGUGACUAAUGCCUUAGAGCUUGAUUCCUCAUUCGUACUUGAUCAAUGAAAGCCUGUGUGAAAUUUAAUGAAGUGAUCUCUCUCCCUUGUGACGAGCUAAGAAAGAAAAAGGGCAAAAAGAUUGAGAUGAUUUUCGCUUAGGAGUGAAGGGCUAGGAAUGUUUCCAAUGAUCCCAUUAUUUCACUUCUAAGAUGGAAUGAUCACACAAAGGAAGGAAGUGAGGGGUAGGAAUGUUUCCCAUGACCCUACUAUUCGCUGAAAACCUUUGAUACAAGGUAAGGGGACAACUCGGGGACUUGGUGGCAAACACCAUCAGUACUCGCAGCUUUAUCCUUAUCGAGUAUGUGCCAUAAAAAAAAAGAAGAAGAAAAAAGAUGAUCAUUGUGCGAAAAGAAUAAGUCUGGGGGAGAGAAAAAGUACCAAAGUUUGUAUGGCUGAUUUGUUUGAGUACAGAAUGGGAAAGAAUCUAGAAGGUUCUGGGCAUUGGAAUCAUCAGUGAGAUCCAGCGAUGAGGGUUUAUGGACGAUGUUGUGAAAUUUUGGACUUAAUCUGGAAAGUUGUGAAUGUCUGCGGAGAAGUACAUGGUGGUUCGAUUUGGAAUGAUGAAGCAGUAGUUGAGUUGCAGGGUGAUCGGUCAAAGCGAUGUUCCAAUGAAAGGUUGAGUCUCUGUGUUUUCAAACUUCUUUCUCUUGUUUGGUGUUCUGUUUGCUUGAGGGCAAGCAAAUGCUAAGUCUGGGGGAGUUGAUAUGUCAUGGUUUUUAUGGUUUUUAACCAUGGUAUAAGUCCUAUUUAUAGAGUCUUUUUAGUGUCUUUCGAGUCUUUUGGAGUCUUUUCAGGUCAUAGGUACGUUUGGAGCUUAACUGGAGACUUUGGAGCACUUUGGAGCUUAAUCAGGAUCAAUUUCGUCAAGAAUGGAUUUUGUGCUUUGGUGACGCUCGACACCAUGGAGAGUGACGCGCGACACUUGUUAGAGAAAUAAGGAAAAGGCGAUUUUGUUUCCUAUUUGAAGAAGGAGUUGGGCCCAAACGUUUUCGAGGAAGCCCAAGACGUGUCUUAGAGAUAUAUAUAGGAUUUGUAUUCCCUUUUUACGUUCACUUUUAGAUUUUGAGAGAGAGAUACUCUGAGUUUUCGGCUUUUGCGAUUUCUGAGCUUGGGGAGACAAGUCUGUACUCUGUUUGUUUAGAGAGAAGAUUUUGAACCCCUUUAUCUAUUUCGAUUUAAUCUAUUGCUUUCUAUUCAUCAUGCUUGUUGUUUCAAUAACCAUGUCUGAGUAGAUCACCUGUUAGGUUUAGGGUUAAUUAGGGUUUUCUCUGAAUGUUUGAUUAACUUGCUAGUUAGGGUUCAUAUCUAUUUGUUCUUCACCUUAGGUUGUUCUUAAAGCUAAUUCUGGACUGAUCACCUAGAAUUUAGAUCUUAGGUUGCUUAAUUGACACGGAAGUGUAAUUGAAUAACUAGAAAGAACCUGAGUUGAGCAAAGUAGCUAUUCGCAAAGGAAUUUGGUUUAGCCGCUUUGUGAACAUAUCGAACUUGUGCAAUUAAGGCUGGUUUAAAUCUGUAGGAUUUACAAAGGAAUUUGGAAUUCUAGGAUUUUAACUUAGAUAAUUCUCACAACGGAAGUUGGUUAAUUAUAGUUCUGUGUUUCGAGUUCAAGAACCGUGCUUAAUACCUGAACCCUGACUUGUUAAGUUGAUUUGCAUUCAUUGAUCUCCUGAAAAUUACCCUAGGCCUAUCCUUUAUCACAUCGAAUUUACAACUGUCUUCAUCGCUGCUUUAUUUAUUUUUGUCGCAUUGUUAUUUCUUCUGCAUAUUUCUGCUUAGCGUAACUCUAUCUACAUAAGGUUUAUUGAGUGAUCUCUUGUCUCUGUGGUUCGACCCCUAGAUACUACAACUGCACAUCUGUGCUCUUGCAGAGUAGCUUAGGGAUUAAACUUUGAGCAUAUCACCAGGCACACAAAUCUCUGUGGAUUCGAUCCCUAAAUACUACAACUGAUUAGCUGUGCACUUGCGGCUUUCAUUUGUUUUGUUAAGGGUAAAACUUGUUCCCUCACGUAGUUGACACGAGCGAGCACGCAUCAAUAACACUGCUGGUUCUUUACCAAAGUGCAGCCCAUAACUCGUAGUGUAUCGCAAAUAGUUCAACACCCUAGUUAUUGCUUUCCAAUGAGUAUGACCUGGAUUACUUGUGUAUCGACUUAACACGUUUACCGCAUGCGCUAGAUCGGGUCUUGUACAAUUGGUCAAGUACAUCAGACUUCCAAUUACCCGUGCAUACUCCACCUGUGAUACUGGUUCACCUGUGUUCUUGGUUAGGUGAGCUUGCAUAUCCAUUGGAGUUUUUGCGGUUCCAUUCGAGUAGGUCUUAAACCUCUCUAGGAUCUUUUCAGCAUAGUGAUCUUGAGACAGAGUAAUUCCAUCUGAAGUUCGAAUGAUCUUAAUCCCAAGUAUGACAUCUGCAAGUCCCAUGUCUUUCAUGUCAAAUUUUCCAUUGAGCAUGUUCUUGGUUUGUUGAAUGAUAUUUUUGUUACUGCCAAUAAUCAGCAUGUCAUCUACAUACAGACAUAGUAAGAUGUAUCCGUUUGGAGUACAUUUGUAGUAGAUGCAUUUAUCACAUUCGUUAAUGCUGAAACCAUUUGACAUCAUCACAUUGUCAAACUUUUGUGCCAUUGUUUUGGAGCUUGUUUCAGUACAUACAGUGAUUUCACGAGUCUACACACUUUGUGCUCUUGACUCUUAACCUCGAAACCUUCCGGUUGUUUCAUGUAUAUCUCUUCUUCUAAAUCACCAUUUAGAAAGGCAGUUUUAACAUCCAUCUGAUGGAUUUCCAAGCCUCGCAAGGAUGCUACACCAAUCAAUAUUCUGAUCGAAGUUAUUCUCGUAACUGGAGAAUAGGUGUCAAAGAAAUCUAGACCUUCUUUUUGUCUGAAUCCUUGCACCACAAGGCGUGCCUUGUACUUAUCUAUAGAACGAUCAGCUUUCAGCUUGGUCUUGAAGAUCCAUUUACACCCUAGUGCUUUGAACCCUUGAGGUAAGUCAGUUAUCUCAUAGGUAUGAUUCUGCAUUAUAGAACUCAUCUCACUAUUGACAGCAUCCUUCCAAUAAGGAGCUUCUGGUGUAGACAUGGCUUCUGUGUAAGAUCUCGGUUCAUUCUCGACAAGAAAGACCAUCAUGAAAUCUUCACCAAAAGAUUUUUUCUUACGAGCUCUUUUGCUUCGUCUAGGUUCAUUUUCAACCUGUUCUACUUCCAUCUCAUUUACAGAAGUAGUCACAUCUCUUUCUUCACGAGUGCCUUGAUUCCAUGAUAGUAUUCACUUGGACAUCUGAUACAUCUAACUUAUGUACCAGAAAUUGAUAAGCACUACUAUUGUGAGCAUAUCCAAUAAAGAUACAGUCCACAGUCUUAGGUCUAAUUGUGACCUUCUUUGGAAGUGGCACUGCGACUUUUGCUAAGCACCCCCACACUUUCAGGUAUUUGUACGAAGGUACAUUACCUUUCCAAAGUUCAUACGGUGUUUUGCCAGUUACCUUACGAGGUAUUUUGUUGAGGAUAUAAUUUGUGGUGAGCAGUGCUUCCCCCCCCCACAGAUUCUGGGGUGUCCCAGAUUCCUGCAAUAUUGCAUUCAUCAUCUCCUUCAGAGUUCGAUUCUUUCUUUCCGCAACUCCAUUGGAUUUAGGUGAAUAGGGGGCUGUAGUUUGAUGGACAAUUCCAUUUAUCUUGCAAAACUCAUUGAAAGGUCCAUCAUAUUCUCCACCCCUAUCACUUCUGACCAUUUUGAUGGUCUUUGCCAGUUGCUUUUCAACUUCGAGUUUGUACUCUUUGAAUUUGUCCAAGACUUCAUCUUUACUACUCAGCAAGUACACGUAGCAGUACCUUGUACAAUCAUCAAUGAAAGUCACAAAAUACUUUUUACCACCUCUUGAUGGUAGAUAUUUUAAAUCGCAUAUAUCAGUGUAUAUUAAUCCAAGAGGUUCAGUAGUUCUUUCAACAUGAGGUGAUGGUGUUUUUGUGAGCUUUGCUUGGACACAAAUUUCACAUUUGUCUUUGCUAAUUUUGCACUUUGGAAUCAUGUUCAAAUUCAUCAGUCUUUGAAUGGACUUGUAAUUAACAUGUCCUAAACGUUCAUGCCAAAUAUUAGAAGACUCAACCACAUAAGCAACUGGGUUUUUAUUAAUUAAAUCUUUGAAAUCAUGUACAACUUUGUUUUUCUUCAAGAUUGUCAUUACAGACAUUUUGAUCAAUCCGGACUUAACAUAACCUUUUCAUAUGAAAACACUAUUCUUCCUAAGUAUCAGCUGGUCAGACUCAAAGUUGAUUGCAAAACCAUGCUUGCUCAUUAGAGUACCAGAGAUCAGGUUCUUCCUCAUGUCUGGAACAUGCUUCACGUUGUUGAGAGUAACCUCCAUGCCUGAAGUCAUCUUCAACACAACUUUUCCAGUACCUUCAAUCUUGGAUUGGGAAAUGUUUCCCAUCUUCAGUUGAUCAUCAAUCUUGCACUUCUGAUAGGUACUGAACAUUUCUCUGUCAAUACAGAUGUGUGUGGUAGCACCUGUGUCAUACCACCACACCUUGGGGUUCUCUUCCACCAAGUUAGCCUCUUGCUUGCGACAGGGCCUUUUGCUUGUAAGCAAGAUAGUUCUGGAAGUAUGCCCAACUUGGAGGUAACUUCUCAAUGAAGCAGUUCACCGUGAAUGUCUCACAUAACUUCAUUCCUUCAGUCCUAAUCUCUUGAAAGAUUAGUUCCAGCUCGUGCACUUGUGGCAUGAUGGGACGAGAAUCCACCAUCUUAAACUUGAGGAGUUUCGCAGUAGCGAAUUUCCCAGAGCCGACAUUGUACGACUUGUACUUCUUUUCCAAAGCAUCCCAGAGUUCUUUGGAAAUUUUGACCUCACUGUACACAUCAAACAGCUGGUCCACCAGGCGAUUCUUGAUGUGCCCUUUGCAUAGGAAGUCUGAGUUCUUCCAUGCUUCAACGGUAGCCAGAAUCGUAGCAUCUUUGUUUCCUUCUGGCACUGUUGGGGGAUCCUCUGUGAGGUACUUGCUCAGCUGCAUUGACGACAGAAAGAAUUGCAUCCUUUCUUGCCACUGCUUGAAGUUCGAACCAUCGAACUUGUCAAGAUGAAGUUCUGCGGUUACCGACGCUGGCAUUCUGACUUCACCCGAGCUUCCAUUGGUAGUCAUGUCGACAUCACCGUUAGUCAUAGUUGAAUCUGUUCACAGAAGAUAACCGAAGUUAGUAUUGAGAACCAAGAUUCAAAUCAGCGAUUAAGACGUUUAAGUCGCUAUGAACAGCGUUUUUCCGAAAAUGAUUCGCUUUGAGUUUCCACAGAUAUUACCAAUAGGUAUUCUUAGAACUCGAAAAUAGGUGUUCCCAGAAUCAUCUUUUGAUGACAUUCUUAAACCCUAACAAUUUUUUCGGACCUGUCUAUGACUGCCGCAUAAACCGUUUCAGAAGAUUCGUCUUUAACAGAUCAAAAGUUCUACGAAAUAGCUAAGAAACUUUCUCAGAAACUUUGUAGAUCGAUUUUAAAAACUCGCUUUUCCAAAAACCGUUUAUAAAAACUGUUUCGCAAUAUUCAAUCCGAUUCAAGCGAUAAGCAGGAAGCGGAUUUAUUGAGUUAAGAUUGUAGGACCGCAAAAAUCCGAUUGAAAUCACGAAUAGAAAAUAGCAAUAUUAUAAACGAUAUGUUAAGGUAAGAGAUUAAAACGAGAGUUUGAAAACCGAUUGAAAACAGACGAACACACGGAGUCGAGAUAUGAUCUCUUUCCUUAACUCAAUAAAUUGUCCGUAAUGUGUGACGGUUUGUUGCGAUUUUUGAAUCCCAGGAUACAACCGUGAUGAGACUAUUACGCAACACGCGUAAUAGAAUCUGCGAACUGAGAUUAUACUACGCUAUAGCUCUCGAGACACUUACGAUAUUAAGACGAGAGGGAUUUGCUAGAAAUAAUUAUUUGCUGUGUGUUUGGUGUAUUCGAGAAUUCGAUUUUUCAUUCGAUGAUCUAGAAUGAGAGAAGAGGGCGUCUAUUUAUACUGGAAGGUUCAGCUUGAUCCGCAAGGAAUAAGCUUUGGCAAAAAGGAAUAUUCACGAGAUAUUCUCCUUUUUCCGCAAGUAAAAGGAUUCGGAAAUCUUCCGUUAUUAUCUGGACGCAAUCUUUUAUUUCCUAAGAUUUAUCCUUUCAAUAUGCAAAAAAAUAUUUCGCAGGAACUAAGAAGCCCACGACCCACACCCAGCUAUAUAGAGCCCAAGAGCCCAAAAGUCCUAAGAGCCAACUAAAAAAAUGCAACAAGCAACGAGCAACGAGCCCGGCACCGGCGACGGCGGCGGCGCGCAUAGGUAUUUUUGCAUAAUGCCCUUUUACUUCCACAAUGCUGUUGAUCCUUAUUGUGAGAAGGCCAUAUAUAUACAAAAUAUUUUUCUCCUUAGUGAGCAAUGUGGGACAAAUACACUUCCACUAAACUUCCAUUUUUAGUUAUAGCCAAUAGAAACAUUUCAUUUCUAUAGGCUCAAACUCAAAUCUCAAAUGAAUUUAUAAGACUCAUUUGCUUAUUAAAUUUCAUUUCUUAUUCACACACAAACUUAAUAUUACAAGUCCAAAUAUUUAUUAAUAUUAGGUUCAACAAAAGACACUAAGACAAAUCGGAGUGUUCAAAGUAUUAGAGGAGUUGAUUUCAAGGUCUUGUUCUAGAAGAACAGAGGUUGUAAGUUCAGAACACUUGGAACGUCUCUUCAAUAUAUUAUUACCCAUUAAUGACAUCCUAUGAAAUGGAUCCGUAUACUGAAAAGUCUGAAAUAGAAAAAAGAAUAGUUGAUGAUAAAGGGCAGGCUAAAGAAGUGGAAUUGACAAUUUCUGUCAUGUCUAAGAGUAGAAAGUAUAUAAAAGCUUUUAAGAAAAGACUUGAUGAAUGGCAGGAAGAAUAUGACCAGGGAGUUUUAUAAAGCUGAGGAUGAUGAAAAAUCGAACAUACAAAGUAUUUAGCCAUGUCUAAAACCAGAAUAUCCUACUGCCAAAUCUGUUGGGUAGUAGAACUUUUCUAGUCAAUGCAGUGGCAAAUCGAAUAUGGGGGAAGAAGUGUAAGAUUUUUUCUCGAAAACUUGGUGAAACUUCUUAUAUGUUUCAUAUUCCGGACGCACCAACUAGAGCUUGGGUUCUACAACGAGGUUUAUGGCACAUAGAUGAUUGUAUCACGUUUUUUGUUGCUCCAUGGACUUCUGCUGCCACUUUAAUAUAUAUUUUUAUUGUCCCAUUUAUUUCUUGCUGAACAAGAAACCCAAAUGUGGAAAGAAAAGAAGAAGAAAUUGUUUGUGAUUUGAUCCUUUGAAGAGAUCAAUACACAUGUUUUUACAUUUUUAAAUAAUAAAAUUAAUCCACCAAACACAUGCCUGACUUUUCUAAUAUUUUUUUACUAUGUUGUUCCAAUUUGUAUUUGUUGGGUAUAUGAUAUAUCAUGAUGCAAAUGGAGAGUAUCAGUCUAAAUAAGGGUGCAUACUUCAAGCUAACCUAUAGCAAACAUGUAAGAAUCUCAGAGAUGAAAAAAAAAAACAACUCAAGCGGAAGAGUAUAAGAGAACUGAUUACCAGAUGGAUUAAAGGCAAGAAACGUUUUUUGGUAUCUUUGUCCUCCCAUUCAAACUCAGUUAUCUCUUCUCCAGGACCCAUAUCUAUUGUAAACCAGGCAAUUCGUGGGACACUUGUAGCAUCUAAGGGAAGCUUUCUCAGCUGUGGACACUCUUCUACUGUUAAUUUUUGCAAUAACAGUAGAUACUCUCCAGCUUAAGCAAAUUUCUUAUCGAAAACACUUCUAGUUUCUGAAACGGUGUAAUACCUCUAACUGUAAGAUUGACUUCUUUCUCUUUGCUUAUAAUAAUAUCUUCUACUUCUUCUGAAUAUCCACUUUGUAGGUAGACGACAAGGUUUGGAGCAAACAGUGGAUUUCUAAGUUCUCUAGUUUGGGAAAUUUCGUGGCUUAUGAUGAACAAGUUGGGGUUUGCUGAAUUUGAGUUCUGGUUUAAUCAAGACUGGUUAUAUCAUUAAUUCUUUAAGCCAGUUAAAGCAUUAUUAUGGUUCUGUUUUGGAAGUGGGUUCACUGACAUUGAUUUUUUUGUUUUGUUUUAUAAUUUAAUUCAUUUUCAUAGAUGAAACUGAAAGGUUACAAAUUACAAUGAUUCCCCGCAGGGUUACAGCGCAAAUAAACCUCAGACCGGUGAUCAUGUAUAAGCUUUCCAGCAGUCAAAUCCCAUACCUAUUGGAUAUGAUCAAAUAUUAUAUCAAUUGUUAGAAACACAUACGUUGGGGAAAAGAGAAUGCGCAAGAUCCAUUUAUAGAUAUUGCAGGCUUACCUUUACAACAUUGUCAAGUCCUCCAGUCACUACCCAACGACCAUCGGGAGUAAAUUUGAUAGUGUUGAUGCCACGAGUAUGACCCUUGUACGUCUGUAUGCAUCCCUUCUUUCUGAUGUCCCAAAUCUUCAAAUUCGUGUCACUUGAUCUAUGAUGCCAAAAAUUCACCAAACGGAUGACAUUCAACAGCAGAACAGUUGGAUCUAUGUCCAGUAAAAGCUCGAACCACUACACUUCAAGAGCAAGAGUGAACAUGUUAGACCUCAUAAUUCUAAAGUAAACGAUAGAUAUGGUGUGGUACACUGCUCAAAUAUCAGUAUCUCUAUAUGUUCCCAUUUGAUGGAACUAGCUAGGCAUAAAAAACAAAACACACUUUUUGCUCAACGAGGAAAAAUUUAGACAAGAGAGAAAAUGUGAAACAUACCAUUAAAGAAGUAGGCUUGCCGAUCGCCCAAAGGUUGACCUUGUAAUCAUCACCACCAGUAAUAAGGACCCGUAAUGUCUUCUUUCCAAUAUUUAAGCAAUUUACAUUUGCGGAAUGUGCCAAAACUCCUCUAAGUUUCCAAAUUUGUCAAGGUAUAAGCAAACACCAGACAAGAACAGCUAAAGAAAGGAGCAGCCUUUGAAGCAACUCGACAGCAAAACAUAAAGCAGGUCAUAAAUGGAUAGAAGUACUUUCACAUACAAAACAUAUCCAGAAAAUAUCCAUUUUCUAUCAUAUUGAGCAGCCAAUGAUAGAAACAUUUGACCCGGUAAUUUCUGCUGAAAUCUUGAAAUGCUAAUCAAAACUUGAAGCUUAUCUUGAAAUCUUGAAAUGCUAAUCAAUAGCAAACUAAGCUUUGCUCUUGGGAGUUUCUAAAGAUAAAGCCCUAACGAUUCAGUGAUAUAAAAAAAAAACGACAAAAAAAUCUCAGGAUGGAGCUAAAAAUCCAGAGUUCGUUCAAUUUUACUCAGCUUAAGAAUCAACAAAAUCGCCAGGAAUAUAAAAGGAUACGCAGCUUAUAUCCACGCUUCGCCAUUUUCUACUCGAUUCCCAGCAAAUCCGUGGGAAUCAAUGCAAUCCGAAUCCGGAAUCGAAUCUCUAGCUUCCGUUAUCGAUCUUAAAAACGGUGAAUCGGAGCUGAAAAAAAUUCCCAAUUGUCACUACACGACAGAGCUCGAGAUUUUCGGGAGAUUCAAAGGGAGAAACAUGAAGAAGAAGGAGGUUGCUUCCCGUUGGGAAUUCAAAUCUAAAACGUGAGAAAAGAAUCAAAUUCCGGGAACAAGAAUUUUGAAGGAAACGAGAUAAUCAGAGAUUCAAAUAGUGACACGGAGCAGAAAGAAGAAAAGAAACAGAAGAGAAGAAGAAAAAUGGUAAACCGAAGGAAGUUUUUAUUUUAUUUUUUUUCUUCAGAGUUAUACAUUUUUUUAUUUUUUUAUUUAUAGUUCGGUCGGUCCUUUUUUUAAUUUUUAAUUCAGAUUUUUAAGCAUUUUUCUUGGACAGUGGACCUCAUUUCUUCGUUGUUCGUUCUUCUCAGUUCUGACGGAAAUAUCAUUUUGUCCAGGCAUUGAAAUGAAUAUGAAGUUAUGAAAAUACCCUUGCUUUUAAUUGACUUCUAUUGGUUACAGUUUUUUGAUUUUUUCUCCAACUCCUUCAUAAUUAAACAUUUUUUAUGUUGUCAAAUAUUAUUCGAUAGGUGAGGAAACACUUCAUCAUCUCUUGGGUUUGUUUGUUUCUAUUGUCAACCUUAUAUAUAAAUAGGGUAAAUGUUUUGUUUGAUAAGACGUAAUAUUAUACAAAUAUAACACUUAAAUACUCGAAUCAAAUAGAUAAAUAGAGAAUUUUGAAUCGAAGCCUAUACAUAGUGUCUAGAAAAUCAAUAGAAACAUUUAAAUGAUUUAGAACCUUUAAACGAUUUAGAUAUUAAAAUCAAUUUUCAAAAAUAUUUACCAAAACUUUGUGGAUGAAAGAUGUUUUGCACAAUAUUUCGAAAAUUGAAACUGGACUAAAUUAUGUAGGAAAGAAGAAUCUACGACCGAGCUAACAAACACCCGAACACGAAACUCAUUAUGAUUAAACAAAUAUCAAACCUUUUUUUUUUUCUGACAUUUAUAUCAUGUUUUUCUAGGUCGGUCAGUUUCUAUGGUGCUUCUCAUCUUUAGAUGCUUUAGUAUUUCUCUUACAAUUAUGUUCAUUGUAUUUAGUGGUUGGAUGAUUUACUUUAAGAUUAGAAUACUAAGAUUUGAAUAUUCAUACAACAAUUUCUACUGUAGUUGAAAAAAACAAAGUAUAGCAAAUUGAACACAUUAUUGAAACACAUGUUAGGAAUCUUAUACUGAAAAUUUGAUAGAACCUAAAGUAAUAUAUAAGUGAAACGGAUCAAUCUGCACCAAUUACUUUUAAGUCAGAACCCAUAAAACAUAUUGUGGUAGCGGAACCCAAAUUUUGUUGACUUACGGUAGUAAUAUAUAAGUGAAAUUAAUCAAUAUGCUAAUUACCAGUUACUUUUAAAUAAGAAUAUCAUAACGUAAUGUGAUAGCAUAAUCCAAAUUUGUUGAUUUAAGUAGGAUAGCCCGAAUAAGAAAUAUUGUAGUUCGUGUAUGGCAUACUGCAAAUCUUAGAAUAUGUUUUGGUUUGAGUCUUCAAGAUGUGCUAGAUAGUUAUCAUCUAAAGGAAAUGGACUUAAAGAACUAUAUAAGAGAUACACUCAUAAUUCAUAUAUACCAGAAUCCAUUUUAUUGCCAAUUUUUUUUAGUUAGGAAUUAUAACCAAUGUUCAAAAAAUCGGCCUCAUAGAACUAUAUAAGAGAUACACUCAUAAUUCUUAUAUUGAAAUCAACAAAUCUUAGAAUAUGUUUUAUUUGUAUUUUUAGUUAAAAAAAACAAAGUAUAGCAAAUUGAACACAUUAUUGAAACAAAUGUUAGGAAUCAUAAGUUAGAACCUAUAAAACUUAGAAACAUAUAUCAUGAUAUAGAAUCAAAGGUCAUCUCACUAAAAAUUAUUAUGCUCACAUAUGGUUUAGUGAUUCAAAAAAAUAAAUAAUCAAACAUACGAAUUAACCAAAAUAUAGUCUUAAAAGUUUUAGGUCUGCUAAAAUGUUUUUUUUUAAAGGUGUUACUAUGCUAAGAGCAGGUCCAUUGGAGUAUGAUAUCUAGAAAAAGGCCCAGUAUCAUAGGCAAAUCAUUUAAAAUAAAUAAGAAAAAAGCCCAAUUGUUAUCAACCCGUUUGCUAUUUAGCAGACUUAACAUCUCGUAUGUUAAGACAGGUGGCUGCAGCGGAUUGGUUAAAAAAAUUUAAGCGUUUUUCCGAAAACUGCCCUUCUCUUCCACGACUUGUCAUUUUUUCGAACAAUCACUUUUUCUUUCUUCUGGGUUUCUCUCGCAGCCACCGGCGAUUUCUCUGUGGUUAUCGAUUUCGGCCCCGUUUACGUCAGUUUCAGCUAGGAUUCGACGGUGGAAGACUGCUCAAGGUAAGACCGAACUCUAUCUCUUCGAUUUUUUUAUUGUUCGGUCGAAAUUUGUAAAUUAGGGUUUCGUAGAUUUGGGGAUUUUUAAAAUUUCAUGUUCGGAUCGAUUGAAAAUGGCGUUUUCGGUUUGAAAUCUGUGUGUUGUAGCAAUUGAUACAAAAGAAUGAAUCCGAUUUGAUGGGUUUGUGGUAGUUUGCUUUUAGGGUUUCUGUGAUUUGGGGAAAUCGGUUUUGAAGGUAGGAUCCAUUGAAAUUUGGGUUAGUGUGGUGUGUGCGGUUGUUCUUCGAAGUGAUACAAGUUCGAUGAUGGCAAUAUGUGUUCGAUUCCUGUACUUGGAUAAAGUUGGUUGAUAUCGGUUUGUGUUCUCGAAUUUUGAUCACUUUACCUGCUCUUGAAUCAGCUGUAGUCACUUGAUAACUGUUCUUUUCGAGUUAUGUGAUGUUGGUUUAUCGUUGCAAAUGUUUAUGAGUUAUGUGAUGAAUGAAUAUUGACUAUCGAUGUUUAAGUAUUGAUUGUUGAGUUUUGUGGUUUAGAUAUGUUUUGAUAUGAAUGUAUAUAUGGCUGUUCUGUCUGAAAUGGAUAAGGUUAGUUUAGUUGUUUAUAUUACAUGGUCUGACUACAUUGAUAUCUGUUUAUGACAGAUAAUGCCGAGUCUCCCAAGUGACACCUCUUCCGAACCUGAAGUGGACCUUAGCUGGGCAUAUGCGGAUGCGACGUUUGGCAUCGCAGAGAAAUGCUUUUGUGGGCGACGAAUGAUAUUGGAGUCAAUGACCGGUGCAGGACCAAACUUACCAGGCCGCAAGUACUAUACUGCCCGGACUGGCUUGAAGAGGUAAUGGACAUAAUUUGUUGUUUUUAUGUACUAUUGUGUUGUUUUUAAUGGACAUACUGUGUGGUUUUUAUGUACUAAUGUGUUUUUUGUUUCUGAUUAAGGGACACCGCAUUCAUCAUCACCGCUGGCAGUGGUGGGAUGAGGCGGUAACCGAGCAGCUCUCCAUUGUGGACUCGACGCUAAGAGAGCAUAAGGAGAUGCUGACAAGGAUGGGUCGGAGUCCGUUUGAUCCAACCAUUGGGGAGAUAAACGCAGCGGUCAGAGUCCUCCAAGCAGAAGUGGGUAGACUUAAGGAACAGAAACAAGGUGAAGGGUUUGUCACCUUGUUUUUUAUUUUUGUUAUUGCAGUAAUCUCGUACUUCUUUAAGUAGGUGUAGCCUCGGUUUAGCUAUGUUCGACUGGUUAACAAUGGUUUAUUUUACUCCAUACGAGGAGUUAACUAUGACAACCUUGUUAGAUUGUCUUUAUUUACGGUACUAGGACUUCAAAACUUGUAAUGGUAUGUUAUGGAGCUAUGAAGCUAUUAUGAUAUGAAGUACUCUAUUUAAUGAGUUGGUUGAUGUAUUGAUUGUUGUGUUUGUUUGAUGUAUUAAGUUAGUUUUAAUGCUUUUUGUGAGGUUAAUGGUGGACCAAUCGAAAGAACCAAGUAAAGCUUCAGGUUCAUCAUUAUGUUAAGGUCAGUCUUCUCUCUUCUUCGUUUGCUUUAGUAGUCCAUUAGGAUUGUGAUAAAUUCUUGAUGACUUUAUUAGGUAAAUGUCUUUCAUAUUAAUGAUCGUAAAUUUAGGGUUGGUUUGUAAAAAGUAAAUGCUUUGUGUUAAGCCUUUUGCUUUCUAUCAUAUCAUAUCAAUGCCAUAGUUAUUACUAAAACCUAAACUUCUUCAAUAUUUUAAAAGUAGUAAAGACUUAAACUUAAACUUCUUCUAUAUUUUAAAACUUCAAAGACUUGAACUUAAACUUCUUCUAUAUUUUCAAACUUCAAAGACUUAAACUUCCAAAUCGUAUCCUUCUUCUUUCAAAACUUCAACUUCGCCUUCUACUUCUAAACCCCAACCUGAAACUCACUCACUUAUGGAUAUCCCUAACCCCUACCAAAAUGGUGAAGGUUUUGUUAACCUCUUAACAAGCCAGCUAGUUAAUGAGGUUAAUGCACCAACUAUCGACCUUCGAUCAGCCGACCUCCCACAUUUCAGUUCACAAGUUUUUGGGGAACCAACUCAAGGAGGCAGGAAUCAGGCGGAGCGAAGGAAAUGGACGCCAAAGGAAGACCUGGUUUUGAUCAGUGCCUGGUUGAAUACAAGUAAGGACCCGGUGGUUGGUACAGAUCAGAAAAAUACAGCCUUCUGGAAACGGAUUGUCGAUUUGUUCAACUCCUGUCCGGAUCUAGUUGGUCAGCCCAGAAGAGAGGUUAGCACCUGCAAGCAGAGAUGGGGACGUAUCAAUGACCAUGUCUGCAAGUUUGUUGGGAGUUAUCAAGCCGCCACGAAGGAGAAGAGCAGUGGCCAAAACGAUAACGAUGUCAUGAAAGCUGCUCAUGACAUCUUCUAUAACGACUAUGAGAUGAAGUUUACCCUAGAGCAUGCAUGGAGUUUACCCUUAACUCAGUUAUGCGAUGUUGGUCAGUCGUUAGUUUGUAUUAUUUUGUUCUCUUUGAUGUUAUUUGCCAUUUCGUAUGUUUGUAUGAUGAUAUUUGGUAUGGGUGUAUUGAGUUUUCUUUAAUUUUUGCUUUUUCAGGUCCUCAAUGAUGGCUAGGUGGAGUCACUUUAUGAAGUUUACGUCGUUGUGUGACCAGAAUAUUAUCAACUUGUGGUUGUCAUGAAAGUAUUUUGGAAUUUAGCACUUUAUAUUUCACGAGAUUUCAUUUUGUGGAUGUAGUGUAAUUGUAUUUUUGUGCACUUUGCAAGUUGUAAAACCCGUGACUCAAAUACUUCUCAUUUAUAUACAGUCUUUACUUCUUCACAUUCUUCACCAAAUUCUCAAAAACACAUACUGAAAAUCUCUUUCUACCAAACCACAAACUGCGUUCUGUCAUAAAUUUUUUUUCAAUAUAUAGCAAACACAAACACCAAACUAUGGCAUCUUCCUCAAACAACGAUUAUGAUGAUGAUUUUGAAGACGCGUUUGAUGGCAUAUUUGAUCAAAAAUUUGACGAGGCUGUCCAAGAAGUUCUAGACCGUCAAACAAGAGCAAAGCAGAAGAAGAAGCGUGCGUACAUUGAAAGGGAACGCGAACAAGGCCACAACCGUCUGUGGAAUGAUUAUUUCGCUGAAGAUGCAACAUAUCCUCAUCAUCUUUUCCGUCGCCGUUUUAGAAUGAACAAGGACUUGUUCUUGCGCAUUGUUCAUCGCCUAUCUACUGAAGUUCCAUACUUUCAACAAAGAAGAAAUGCGGCUGGCAGAUUUGGUCUUUCCGGUUUACAAAAAUGUACAGUAGCUAUCCGUAUGAUGGCAUACGGUUGUGCGGCUGACGCAUUUGACGAAUAUCUUCGUCUAGGUGCAAGUACUGCGUUGUUAUGUUUGGAAAACUUCACUGAAGGAAUAAUUAAUUUGUUUGGUGAUGAAUACUUGAGAAGACCCACUCCAGCCGAUCUCCAACGCCUCCUCGAUGAAGGACAAUCACGGGGAUUUCCCGGGAUGAUUGGAAGUAUUGAUUGUAUGCAUUGGGAGUGGAAGAAUUGUCCAACCGCUUGGAAAGGACAAUAUACGCGUGGUGCUGGAAAACCGACAAUCGUCUUAGAGGCAGUAGCAUCCUACGAUCUUUGGAUCUGGCACGCGUUCUUUGGGCCUCCAGGUACAUUAAACGAUAUUAAUGUACUUGAUCGUUCACCUGUUUUUGAUGACAUAUUACAAGGUCGAGCUCCAAAAGUGCACUACUGGGUUAACGGAAAUGAAUAUCGUUUGGCGUACUACCUUACGGAUGGCAUUUAUCCUAAAUGGGCAACUUUCAUCCAAUCAAUCUCACUUCCUCAAGAUCCUAAAUCUACGUUAUUUGCUACACGUCAAGAGGCAGUCCGCAAAGACGUCGAACGUGCUUUUGGAGUUCUCCAAGCUCGGUUUGCGAUUGUAAAAAACCAUGCUCUUUUCUGGGAUAAAGAAAAAAUUGGCAAGAUUAUGCGAGCGUCAAUCAUUUUGCACAAUAUGAUUGUGGAAGACGAACGAGGUACCCACACUUUAGUAGAUACAACACAAUUUGAUCAAGUUGAAGGAACUAGAACUUCACAUGUGGAUAUGACAUAUUCUACAAAUAUGUCUACAAAUCUGAACAAUGUGAUCAGCGAUCGAAUUCAAAUCCGAAAUGAAGUUCGGGAUAGGACAAUGCAUCUUCGAUUGAAAGCCGAUUUAGUGGAACAUAUCUGGACCAAAUUUGGUACUUUUGAUAUUUAGAUAAAUAUGUUAUGUAUUUUAAAUAUCUAUAGUAUUUAUGUUUAUGUUUUUAUUUUUUUUGUAAUGAUUCUAUUAAUAUGAAAGUUUUAAUUACAUAAAAAAAAUUUUAAAUUUGCAAAAAAAAAUUAAUUUUUUAUUCCUAACAACCUUUAUCUCGGGUUCACUAAUGGAAGCCCAAAUCAACCUCAGUAUCUUCACUGUUCACGUCUGCCAAAAGUAAUACUAUUUUAAUGUUAACAACCCCAUUAGUAGUAUGACUAAUGGACAUGCCCUAAGCUUCAAAUUGUAUUGUCUUCACUCUUCAGUAUAAGACUAAUGAAUAUUUAAUUUACAAUUUUGAAUUUUCUAAAUGGAGUAGGCCAAGAUCAGGCCCAAGCUAUAACCGCUUCCUACAGGCUAUUGAUGCAAUCAAAUGUUACAAAUUGCAAACGGCUAUUUGCAAUUUGUGUUCGCAUUGGUCCAUUGAAUUUUCUUUUUCUUUUUCUUUUUUAUAUCUUGUAUCGAGUCAUAUGGAAAUGGACAACACUCAGUUUAAUACUAGAUGCCCGGUAUCGGUUCUUAUCAGCUUCGCUGCUUUAUAUAUAGUCGCCGUCUGCAAGAAUCAUUCUGAGAAAUGCUAGACAAAAGUGAGAAAGACGAUUUCGUAAAAGAAAGAAGAUUGAGUUUUUCCAGAAACUACUCUACAAGAUUGUUGUAGUUUCUGGACACGCAGCUAUUUCAAACGACGAACCAAUGUUCAAGACCGGUGGGCGGUGAAUAAUUGUGCAUAUCAAUUAAGCUUGCGAAUUUUUUUUUUUUUUUUUUUGGCUGAAGAUUUGUUCUUGGGUUCUUGUUUUAAUGUUCUUAAUGUGGUGAAGCCAUUAAAAAAGGAAUGUGAAAACUCUUAAAAUUAAAAAGACUCUUUCCAUGUCUUCUUAAGUGAAGUUGUCUCUUAAGCUUAUUGCCCCCAAAUCAGAAAGCCUCUAGAUAUAGUUUGGGAUUAGAUGGAAGUCAUAGCAUCUUCAGAUUAGGUUUAGGGGGUUUAAAUUAAAGAGUCUGAAAAACAGGAUCUUCAUGAUUUAGCAAAAUCAUAUAACUUUUCAUCUUGAUUCCUCCGGUUAACAAUACAAACACACUGCAAGAUGAAAUAGAAAAAGCUACAGGUAGAGGAAUUUGAUUUUGAAUAGUGAGGAAUCAAAAUACACAGUAAAUUCAGAGGCAUCACAUGCUUUUAUGAUAUAUCCUUUCACGUAAAAGCAUAAAAACUGUUGAUUAUAUAAAUACAUGUAGCUUGAGAAAAAAGCAAUCCGCCUUAACUUAUUACAUAGAAAAAUGAAAACAGAAAAUCCAAUUGAACAACACAACACACUGCAGAGAGAUAAGAAUGCAUAGGAAAAAACAAUAAUACAAUCCAAUGAACAACACAUCACACUUUGAGGAAGAAAGAAAAGCAGAAGAAGAAGCGUGGAUUCUGGUUUCUGACUGUGAGGAAUCCCAAUCCAGCUUAAGGUAUGGUUAGUCAUACAGAACCUGUUAAGAAGAAAUAAAAUAAACAAAGUUAGUGAAUAUACAGAAAUUCAUCUAAAACUGCGAGGAAUAUCCAGCAAAUUCUGCCUCACCAUUAAUUUACUAAUUUUAAUCAGUUUCUAUUAAUUUACUAAUUUACGAAUGUGAGAGGAAACGAAGAAGAAAGAAAAUACUGUUUGUGAUUUAGUCAUUUGAAGAGCUCAAUGCACGUAUGUAUCUAAACUUUUGAAAUUAAUGACCCCUCGUAAAUAUCCAACAAACACAGGUCUGAUGAUUUUGCAGAUAAUUUUCUAAUUUUGUGACCCAAUUUGUGUUUUGUUGGGUAUCAUGAUGCAAAUGGAUCAUAUCAGACUAAAAAAAAAAACGAUCACACUUCAUUCUAACCUUGAGCAAACUUGAAAGAAACUCAGUAAGAUAAAUUAAUUUAUUCAAGCGGAAGAGAAUAAGAGAAAUGAUUACCGAAUGGAUUAAAGGCAAGAUACGUUUUUUGGUAUCUUCAUCCUCCCAUUCAAGCUCAGUUUUCUGUUCUUCAGGAUCCAUAUAUAUUCCAAACCGGUCAAGUCGUGGGACACUUGUAGCAUCAAAGGGAAGCUUUCUCAGCUUUGGACACUUUCUUACUUCUAUGCGCUGCAAUGAUGGAAAGGGGAGAGGACUCCAGUAGAUACUCUCCAGCUCAGGCAAAUUUAACAGGGAUAAGUAUACUAGUUUCUGAAAUGGUGUAGUACCUGUAAGAUUGGUUGCUUUCUCUUUGUUUAUGAUUUCUUCUAGUUCUCCUGAAUGUGAAAUUUCUAGCAAAGUCAGAUUUGGAGAAAGCAAUAGCCAAGUCAGAUCCUUAAUGCCAUGACAGCUAACCAUUGACACGACGGAGAGGUUGGUAAAGCAUGGACUUGUUGGAUUGUGUAAAUGAGAUGAGUCGGUCUUGCUUCCUCUGCAUUUAAUAUAUGUAUCAAUCGCCGACACAUGACUACCAUACACAUGGAGCACACUAAGAUUCUCCAUACUCAACAGCGAUGACAUUUU